rnacentral:lncRNA from 1 species
UUUGAAAUAUUAAGUUCAUUUUCUGGUUGAAAAAUCAUUUUAUGGUUUUAUUGAGCAAAUAUAUUUCCAUUUUUUGAAUCCGCUUACUAACAUUUUGCAUCUUUUACCGAAAUACAAACUAAUUAUUCCUCUACGAAGAUUAAAAAUAUAAUGAAUAAAAUCAAAGGCUAUACCCAUCUUAAAUAGAAUAAAAGUUAAUAACCAUCUUAAAUUUCAUCUUUAUAGUAUAAAAACCACUAAUUUUUUUGUUAAAUCAGAGCUUCUAGUCUUCUAAGUUGUACAACAGAGCAACCUCAAAAGAAAACAAAAAAAGUUUCCAACGAAGCUUCUUGAACGGUCAAUCAAUACUGCUUUGAACUUUUCUUGAGCAAAAGUUCGUGUACUAAUUGAUGUUAAUUAAAAAAAAAAUUAACUCUUAUCCAUAUUCUAUUAUUAAAAAAUUCAUAAUAUAAAAUGUUUAAAAACUCAGAGAACUUAAAAUAAAAACAAUCCUAAUCCAAUUUAAAAAAAAUAAACGAUUUUAUUUAAUGAAAUCUCAUAAAACUAAAGUGAUUUUAUUAUUAUUAUAUUUGACCCCACCCCUCCCCAUCGUCGAAGUAAAAUAUUUUCGUUGAACUUGAACCAUGACCUCUUACUUUUACUCUAGGAGCAAGACGGAAUGGAAAUAUGGAACCGUUAAUUAUUAUACCCAUGACCCCUCUAAUUAAAGGCUCUUUCCCUUUCAAUAUUAUUGUACGUAUUUGCAAGGAAACCUCCUCUCUCUUUCUUCCAAUUAAGACUUCUUCUGUCCAUAACAUGUGCGGCCUCGCGCAUUUGAUUAUUUUUCUAACUUUAUACAAGUAAAGUAUCUCUUUUAUACAAGUAAAGUAAAUCACUUAUUCCUUGCAAAAAAAAAAAGUAUCUUUUUUUUUUUUUUUUUUGUCUUAACCACGAGGUAUCUUGGGGAGGGCCCCAACUGUGGGAGACACCUUUAAGCCUGUACUACAACUCAGAUUAGAAAUCUCUGCUCGAACCGGGAACCGGGAGGCACAGAUUCUCCCAACAAAAUCACCUUUAAAAAUGUUUUGUUAUUGAUUAAUAAACAAUGGAUGUGGAUUGUUUAUGACCCUCCUGAUCCUAAUAUAUUAUCUUAUGAGAAAAACUUAUGUGGAACAGGCGCACUACUUCAACCUGUUAAAAUGAUGUGCAUACUACUAAUAGUAUAUCAUUUGACAAGUCUAACGAGUACUUCAAUGAACUCCAUAAAUUAAAUAAUAUAAUUUUAUGUUAUUUUAAAAUAAAAAAAUUUUAUGAGUCCCAAAAUAUGAUCUAUUGCACCUGCCAAACAGACCCGUAACGAGUGUACUCCACGGAAGUUCCUUUGAACAUCACCACGGACAACCCCAAAGGGUCAGUGGUCAAGCAAAGAUGCAAUAUCAAUUAUUUGACUUAAAAUAAACAAUUGAACGUUUUAAAUUGCACAAUCGAGUAUGUUACUUAACUAAUUUGCUAGAGUAAGUAGUCUUCAUUUUGAAUUUUUAUGCCAAAUAAUAGUUUAUAGCCUAUACGUAAUAUGCAUGAAUUAACAUUUUCUUAAAACUAAAAUAACUGGAAAGGCGUGCGUCAUUAAAUCUCUUGACAAAUCAUUUUUUUUUCAAUAAAUCAAACUAAUUUAUUACUUAUUUACAUAUUAAUAAUACUCAUCGUAUAAAAUUGUGAUAUAUACACAUAAAAUAAAUAAUUAAUUUAUAGUGCUAAAAUAUUUAGAGAGACGUGUCACAUGAAUCCCACACCGUUGUCCACAAAUAUUAGGAUUUAGGAGAGUUCAUCUACUAUGACGCAUGUUAGAACUGUUUGAUCUCAGUUGAAAUUGUUUCUUUAUUUUGUUUAUAAAUUAAAAACAAUAAAGAAAAAUAAUUUUCCAGGAGAUAAAACUAAAUUGUAAAUUGUUGUGUUAAAAUUUAUUUCCCUUUUUCUAUUUAUUAUUAUUUUUGAGCAAUUCAACAAAUACUAAUUUAUCAUUCAUGUGAGUCAAAUUUGAAUCACCAACGAUGGUGCCACUUUGUGCCCAACAACGGACCUUUUAAGAAAAAUUUUAAGCCCAUUUUGACAUUUGUCCCAUUAUUGAUUUGAUUUAUCAUAAACGCUCCUCAUAAAUUUCCAUAAUAUCAAAAAUGUCAAUUAGUAAACGUUUGACUUUCUUCUUUUCUAAUUUUUAAUUUUUCACUCUCUCUAGAAAAAACCAGGAGUUUUAUGACUCUUCAAUCUUCUCUUUCGCUAAAAAAGCAGGUAAGUGUUUAAAGGUUCUAAAGUCUAAUUCACAUUGAUUUGCUUAAGGGUGCUCUAGUUAUUUAGGUAAACAGUUCUCGAUUGGUUAUCAUUUUUUUAAUUUUUUUGGAAAAAUAACAUCUACAUCUCAAAGUGUGCAAAAAUGUCACAAAGACUCCAACAUUUUUUUAAAAAGACGCUAAAAUCCUCUUUUAGCUAUAAUACCUUUUAAAUCUAUUAAUUAAAAAAGUUGACUCCAAUUGAUAUUUUACAAUCUAUUAGAUAUAUUUCAUUGUAUUAAAGUAAAUUUUAUAAUAAACAGAAACAUAAUAUUAAAAUAAAUGUAUUAAAAUUUAAAUUAUUUUAAAUAUUAUGUAAAAUAAUAAUUUUAACAUUAUUAGUAUGUGAGAUUUUUUUAAUUGUAAAAUGUAUUUAGCCCAAAUAUUUAUUUAAAUUCUCUAAAAUAAAUACAAAUAUAUUAUUAAAAUAGAUAUAAUAAUUUGCAUAUUUAAAUUUAUUUAAAUAUUAAAAAUAUGAAUUUUAUUGGUCUACUAGACAUAUUACAUUAUUUAUAUUAUUUUUAUAUUUAUUGAAAAUUUUAAAGUUAAUUUUUUUAGUUAUUAUAUCCAAAGGGUGUUAUAGUAAAAAAGCAGUUUUGGUAUUUCUUUUUUAGAAUUUGAGGGUGUAUAUGACUAUUUUUCCAAAUCUUAAAGGUUAAAAUGUCAUUUUUUCAAUUUUUUUGGAGAUUUUUAUGAGAUGAAAGAAUUAAGGUCAUGUCCUAUGGAACUAUGAAAACAAAGGAUAGUUGUAUAUGUAUUGAAUUAAAAUUUUGAUACUUGUUAUUUACUGAAUAUUUUUAAAUUAUAUUACUAUCUAAACUUAACUCUUCAUUGAAUUCUUCACUGCCGCUACAAGUAUCUAUGCAUGAGCAAAAUUAACCCACAUUGUGUGGCUCAGCUAUAGUCAUCCUAGUUCAAAUAAUAAUAUAGUAGAAUUUCUAUAAAUUAAUACUCGAUAAAUUAAUGAUCUCCAUAAUUUUCAUAGUCCCAACUUAGGCCAAUGGACCAAAUAAUAAUUUCAAUAAAAUAAUAAGAUAAUAUUUUUCUUAACAAAAUUUUAUAUAACUUUGUGGUCCUAUUCAAAUCAUAAAUUAAUAAUUUACUGAAAUUACAAAUAUAGUUGACUAUGAUAUUUUAAUUACAUAAAAUAUGAGUCCAUUGUUACUUUUUUCUUAAAAUCUAAAUUUAGUUGGAUCUCAUCAGUUAUUUUUCUUAUUACAUCUAGAAGCUUUGGGGUUGACUUAUCGAAUUAUAAUAAAAUAAGAAAUUAUGAAGUGUUGUUGAUGCUUUGAGUGCUUCCUUUUGCUCAACGGGCUCUAAAACUACUAUAUGUUAAUUAAAUUGUAAAUAAAUCUAUAAAUUAAUAAAUUAUUAAUUUAUUAAUUAUUUAAUAUCUCUUUUAAUUAAUAAAUUUUAUAUAGUCCCAACCUUAUUAAUUUAUAAAGAUUUUACUGUAUAUAAAAGAUGUCAAGAGUUAAUGGUUAUCGUCAUCAUUUACCUCAACAAAAAGGAGAAAUAAACUUUUAUGGCGCGUAUUUAAAAAAAUUAAGUGCUUUUAAUAGUCAAAAGGCUAGCUAUUCGAAGCUCAAGAUCCUUUUAUACAAGAUAAACUUUAUGAUGGUUUGGAGUUCCAGACGGUCCAUUCUUCUCCCUUUGGUAUAUGGUGUACAAGUUUGAAAAACUUAUUUUUGCGGAAUUAUUAUGAGCAUUAUAUAUCCUUAUUGUGGAGGCAUCUAGAUUAUCUAUAAAUGAAUCUAGUUAAUUGGAUUUGUUCUACAAAGUCAAAUCUACAGCUUUCUGGGCUUUGCGUAUCACUCACUGCACGAUCCUUUUCCCAUUAUGCAUUCUAAAAUCUCAACCUCCACUAGUUCCGACGGCAGAUUCAUUCCACAGGAAGUUGGUUAAAAAAAUUAUUACGAUGAAAAUUUAUUUAUGUUUCUGACCGAAUUUUUAAUGCUGGGAAAAGUGGGAAAAAAUAAACAAAGAAGAAGAAAAAAAAUCACACGGCUCUUCAUUGAUAUUUUUUAACUUACAAGGAUUAAACUGCUAUUUUGAGAAGGGAAAUUAUCAUUGCACCACCUUUAUUUUACCUUAUAUUCAUCCAACCACUACAAAAUUUUAACAUGUACUUUGGACCACCUUUUUUUUCACAUUUGUAUCGACUAGCUACUUUUCAAAAGACAAAAAGAAGAUUUUUUAGCUCGACAGUACACAAAGUUUAGUCAAAGGAAGAAACUAAGCAAGGUCUGCUGUACGGCCAAGGCGGAUGUACGGUACAGCAGACCCCCAAAUAAAUUAAAAGACCAUUUUAUUUUAUAAAAAUUUAAAAAAUAAAAAAUAAAAUGAUAAAAAUAUACCUAAAUUUAAUAAAAAUAAAUCCCAAAUAGAGGUGCUCAACUGAUUUUUACUAAAUUUAAAUUUUACAACCAAGGCGGAUGUACGGUACAGCAGAAAAAUAUACCUAAAUUUAAUAAAAAUAAAUCCCAAAUAGAGGUGCUCAACUGAUUUUUACUAAAUUUAAAUUUUACAUUUUUUAUUUUUUAAAAUUUUUAUAAAAUAAAAUGGUCUUUUGAUUUAUUUGGGGAUAAAAUUGUCAUUUUAUUAAAAUUAUUUAAUAGUGUUAAUGCAAAAGUGGCUAGUUGAUACAAAUGUGAAAAAAAAAAGAUGGUGCAAAGUACAUGUUAAAAUUUUGUAGUGGUUGGAUGAACAUAAGGCAAAAUAAAGGUGGUGUAAUGAUAAUUUCCCUUUUGAGAAAGAAUAGGUAGUUGUUUGUCAUUUGUCCUUAAUUUCCAAUGAUGCCAUUUGUUAUAGUAUCAUGAGAAGUAGUCGUUAAAAGAAAAAUAAAUAAUUAUGUCAUUCGGCGUUAUGUAUCUUAGAAUUUCUCUCAAUAAGAAAUUUUAGAAUAUCAGAAGUAAUACAAUUUACUAAUUUAUGUAUGACAUAUAUAAUUAAAUUGCCAAGGCGGAUGUACGGUACAGCAGAUAUAUAUGUCAUAAUUUAUUUAAUUGUUAUAUGACUAAUAUAAUACUUCUUAUGUAUUCUAAAAUUUUUUAAAAUGAAAAGUUAAUUUUAACUGUCAAAGCACUCAGAAAGCACUUUGUAAUGCACUUUCGAAGGGCAUAGUUGAAAUUAAUUUGUCAAAAGCGCUGAGAAUGCGCUUGUUGUUGAUGGACACCUUACAAGAAAGUACUUUUUCUGUGAAUGGAUUAGGGUUUAGGGUUUAGGGACUCAUUUGAAAGCACUUUCUCAGGGUGGGCCUUGUGAGUCCAUCAUGUAUGUGAGAAAGUGAUGAGGAAAAAAAAAGGAGUGGGACUAUUGGCACCACUCUAAGUACCUCUUAACACCCCUUUAGUUAUUUUACAAUUUUAACCUUUAGUAAAAUUACAUAAUAGGAUAAUUUCUAAUUAAACCCCCACUCAAAAUUAAAUAAUUUAUUCCCCUUCAAAAUUCUUUAUACUGCAUUUUUUCAUUUAUACAACAUAUAGUAUAAACUCUCUUUUCUUUCCUAAACCUUAAUCUAAGAGUUUCAAAUUUAGGAGAAAAUAAUCAUGCAAACAGAUGAGGAUGAUAAUAAAAAAAUAAACCAAAUUAACAGAUGAGGAAUUAUUGGCGACAGCAGCAACUCAUCAUAACAAGCUUCAGAGAAGAAACCUUGAGACCUCGUGAGGGAAAUUAAGAUUCAAAACUUGUGCUCAACAUAUUCUUCAGUAAACCAAAUUAACAUUUGGCCUUAGAAUUACAUGCAUGGUGGCCAAGGGUUUGCCAGGUGUCAUCAUCAAUUACAAUGCAUUGUCAUGCAUUGGAGUAAAGUGCCUGCCAUUUAUGAUACCGUCUUGUUUCGAUCAGGUAUGGCGUACUACUCUAGUCCUGACUUUUAAUGCAAAAUGACCAUAUAUAAAUAAAUAUAAUUACUGAAAAUUUUAAAUAUCUAACAGCAUCAUGUUAUUGUUUAUAUUACCUUUCUUAAUUGCUGGGAAGUAUUUGUAAUUAAACAGAUGAAUUUGAUAUUUCAUGUUUGUUUGUAAUGCAUGAUUAUGUUUCUAAAGUUAUUUUAACUUUAAAAAAAUGCUUUCAAAUUCAAAACAAAUUAAUAUGAAGAUUUUGAUCUUCUAUAUCAAGUAGUUGUUACCAGUAUAGAGAGCGAGAAUGUCAGGCACGAUCGCAAACGCAAAGAAGGAGAAGGAGCAAGAGCAAGAGAUUGCCGGUGGAAAACAAGUUGAUGCUGAAAGCUGUAUGCAAGAUCGUGCUGACAUUUCAGUGAUUUGCCACGUAAAAGUAGUAGUUUCGUGGAGCAAGUUCCUUUUUUUUUCCUCUUUCUUUCUUUUUUAAUAGAUGAUUAGUUAUCUCAAAAUUCACAAAUCAAAAAUUAAAAAAUGGAGUUUAUAUUAAUAAUUUAAAUUAAGGGUAUUUUUGUCAUAAAAAAGAUGUUAAAAGAAUGUUCUAAUAUUUUUAAAUAUUUUAAUGGGGUUAUUAAAAAAGAGGUGUUGAGAGAUAUUUAAAGGGGUGCCAAUAGUCCCACUCAAAAAAAAGAAAAGAAAACGAAGAGAUCGAUCUAGUACGGCCCAAAGAGGACAACGCAAUUAAUUUUAGUGCAAGAAACCCAAUCGAGCCAUCCUUAGAAAUGAACAUCCAUUUUGGAAAUUCAUUGGACAAUCUCCAACAGAAUCAAGACUAGGGGCAAGAAAAUAAAUGCAUUUUCCAACACCGAUAUGUUGUUAUUUAAGGAAUCUAUAAUAAUAAUAAUAAAAGAAAUCUAUAAUCAAAACAUUUAACACCAUUAUCACUAAAUCAUAUAUUUGUGUGUGUGAAGCGUUGACGGAUCAAAACAAUUCGCAAAAAAAUGGAGUUUUCAAAAUGUAUAAUUAUGUUCUCUCUUUUCUCAAUCAUUUUCUUCACAUUUUCUGCUGCAAAUUCAGCUUCUGUUGAAGAAAACUUUCUCCAAUGCCUUUCCAUGCAAUCUCAAUCCUCUAUUGCAAUCUCCGAAGCCAUUUACACCUCAAGCAACGCUUCGUUCUCGUCCGUUUUACAGUCAUAUGUAAGAAACCUCAGAUUUGCUACACCAACAACACUGAAGCCACUCGUUAUUGUGGCUGCCAAGCAUGAAUCCCAUGUCCAGGCAACUGUCAUUUGCUCAAAAAAGUUUGGCUUGCAGAUCAGAAUCCGGAGUGGAGGCCACGAUUACGACGGCCUCUCGUAUGUAUCCAAUGUUCCUUUUGUCAUCCUUGACAUGUUCAAUCUUCGGUCUAUUAACAUCAGCUUAACAGAUGAAACUGCCUGGGUUCAAGCCGGCGCAACGGUUGGAGAAGUUUAUUACAAAAUUGCGUAGGCAAGUAAAAUCCAUGGGUUCCCUGCUGGAGUGUGCCCAACUCUUGGUGUUGGUGGGCAUUUUUCCGGAGGCGGAUAUGGCAACAUGAUGAGAAAAUUUGGGCUGUCAGUGGACAAUAUCGUUGAUGCGCAAAUUGUUGAUGUUCAAGGUAGGAUUCUCGAUAGAAAAUCAAUGGGAGAAGAUCUUUUUUGGGCUAUUAGAGGAGGUGGUGCAGCGAGCUUCUGUGUAAUUCUUUCCUGGAAGAUUAAAUUGGUUCAGGUUCCUGAAACUGUGACUGUGUUUCGAGUGGUGAAAACCCUGGAACAAGGCGCUACUGACUUGGUUGCAAAAUGGCAACAAGUUGCGACCGACAAAUUGGACCAAGAUCUCUUCAUAAGAUUGUUUAUUAAUGCUGUAAAUGGAAGUAAAGAAGGUGAAAAGACUGUAAAAGUUUCAUUUGUUGCCAUGUUUUUAGGACAAACAGAGAAGCUUCUUUCGUUGAUGAAACAGAGCUUCCCUGAAUUGGGGAUACAGAAAAAGGAUUGCUUUGAAAUGAGAUGGGUUGAAUCUGUUCUAUUUUGGUUUGAUCAACCAAUUGGAACUCCGUUGGAAGUUUUACUUAACAGGAUUCCAAAAUCGCAAGUCUCUUUGAAACGAAAAUCGGAUUAUGUUCAGGAACCGAUUCCGAAGACAGGCCUGGAAUCAAUAUGGAAGUUGAUGAUUGAGCUCGGAGAAGUGGGAAUGCAAUGGAAUCCUUACGGCGGAAUAAUGAGUGAGAUUCCUGCAACAGAAACGCCAUUUCCGCACAGAGCUGGAAACAUAUUCAAGAUUCAGUAUUCUGCGAACUGGAAUCAACCAGGAAUUGAAGUCACCAACCGCUAUCUAAAUUUGACAAGAACUUUUUAUGAAGCUAUGACUCCUUAUGUUUCCAAGAAUCCCAGAGAAGCAUUUCUCAAUUAUCGCGAUAUCGACAUCGGUAGCAAUACUAAUGGUACUUAUGAAGAAGGAAAGAUUUAUGGGAUUAAGUACUUCAAGAAUAAUUUUGACAGGUUGGUGCGUGUGAAGACAUCGGUGGAUCCUGAUAAUUUCUUCACAUAUGAACAGAGUAUUCCAAUUAGUCCAUCUUGAUGCAAGAAGAGAGAAGGAUCAUAGAGAGUUUUAAGUUUUGUCCAUUUGUCAGUUGUGAUUUGCUUUGGCAGUAGGUUAUUAGGAUAUAAUGCAAUAGAACCUCAAAAAUAAAUGUUUCUUCGUCAUAAUUUUGCUGGUCUUGACCUUUGAAUAAUUUUAGCAUUUUUAUUUGGUACCAUUUUCAAAUGCAUUAGCAUCUUUCACUAAUUAUAUUAACUUACGUAGUAUCUCUAAUAUAUUAUAAAAUUUCUCCUAAUACAUGUUUGAGAAGUGGAUUAUUCUCAAAAAGCUUUUUCUUUUUCCCUAUGAUAGCAAAACGACUUUUGAAGCAUGCAUGCUACUAGAUGUACACUUUAUUUGAUCUUUGCAAUGAACACAAUUUACUUUCUUUAUCGUUCUAAAAUAUUUUUUAUUUUAAAAAUAACAUUAUCAAAAGAUAUUCAAUAUAUAUCUUCCCAAGCGUGUCCAUUUUUAAUAUUUGUUGGAGCUUGUCAUCAUUUUGUUUGCGCACUAAUGUUGUGUGAAACUUUUGAAUCACCGUAAAUGGUGAAAAGUUCAAGGCCAUAGCUAAAAGUUAUGAAAUGGAAAAUAAAUCAUCACUGUGUAGAGUGGAAACUGUGUAGUCCAAUGACUUGACUGUAAUGAUUAAGGGCUUGAAAUAAAAUAUAAAAAUAUUCCAUUUCAAUUGCAUCUCUCCCAUUUUGAUGUCUUAGUCCUGGGAAAAUGAAAUAACAAUUAUGUCCAAAUCACACCCCUGCCAUUAAUUUCCCAGCCUAAAAGAAUAAUUUGGUAGACAGAAAUUAUUGGUUACUAAAUAAAUAAAUUCAUGUGAACUGUGACAUAAUUAAUUAAAAAUAUAUAUAAAAAUUAACUCAUUCAAUCGGAACAAUCGCAUACAACAACGAAGCAAUCUUUCACUCUCAGAAUUAUGGAACAAAGCAUCCCCUCUAAAGAUUCAGACAAAUUGGAUAUCAAAACACAGGAUUAAUGUAUCAGUCCUUGAAAAAAAAUAAUAAUGAAUUCUUAAUCACCUCUCUCCCAUUAAUUUCCCAGCCUAAAAGAAUAAUUUAGUAGAUAGAAAAUAUAACAAUGAAUUUUAAUGAUCCCCGAAGUUAUGCAGAAUUUGGACAAAACAUAGUAAAUAGAUAGAUUAAUUGUGUAGUUUAAACUUUCAAGAGGAGAAGUUCUUGGUCUUGUAUCGAUACAGAACCCUUUUCUUCUUGCUUGAGGCAUUGUCAAUUGUGAGAACAAGCUUUCCAGCUUCAUUGUUCUUGAAGGUGUUGCGAAUUGGCCCCUCAUGCGACCCCAUCUUCUUUCCUUUCUGAACAAUAAUGGUGUAUGAGCCUUCAUCAGUAGGCACAAACUCCUCCUUGUAACUCACUUCCCAACCCAGAACAGUCAGAUCCCAAGUGAUUGUAGUUCCAAUCUGUCAGAAUAAUUACAAGUAUGAUUAAUUUCACAACUUGCCCCACAAGAAAAAAACAAAUGAUUGUUAUUUGUUUCAUAAAGUUAAUUAAUACCUCAGGAGCUUGAAUCUCAAUAGUUUCAGUUGAUCCUGCCUUGAGAGUAAUCUCAGAAACAGCACCACCUUCUUUGGAGAACUCGAAAUCAUUCUCCCUCUUGAAGCCACCAUAUUGAACAGGGAGCUCCUCGGCUGGAAUGUAUCUAUAAUCAAGAAUAAUUCAUCUCCUUUAAUUAGCUUUUAGCUACAGUACAUUUUCAGAAAUUAACACGUAGGUAAAAGGAAAGAUAAUACUUACUUCAGAAGUGUUUCUGUGACCUUGGCCGGGCGAGCAACAACAAAUUUGCUCUUAGUUCUUUGCGUUAAGAAAGGUGAUAUGAGAGCAUUCAAAGCAUAGUACCAAAAUGGAGCAUUAAUAAUUAUCUGCAAUCAAUCAAAACAAAAGACCCCCAUCAAAUUUGAUUAAUUAGAAGAAGCAAAGGGAAAUAAGAUUAACGAGUAAUUAAAGGAAUUGCUUACAUUUCUGGCAACAAAUUCAGGGUAAUUGUUCUGCAAUAGAUCGACAGCUUGUUUUGUGGCAACCCUCAGUUCCUUCUUUGCUAAUACUGGAGCAUUCUUCAAAUCAUUGAUCUGAAGCAACGAAGAAAUGCCACCAGGCUUGAAAUCAAGCUUCUGAAUGCCCUGCUCCAUCAGCCUCAGCCUCCAUCUCAAGAACUGGCCACGCUUCUCCUCAGUACCAAAAGUCUUCUGAUAAAGUUCAUCACUCUCAAACACCCCAUAAAUGUUGUAGCAAACAGGGUGACCUUCCCGAUCGACGCCGUUCAUAUAAGCAGCAGAGCUUAAAUCUACCUCCAAAUCCUCAUCCAAAAUGGAAUCAAUCUUGUUCCCCUUCCUCCACUGAAGCGUAUUUUUCAGCAUCUCCAAUGCAUCAUUCACCUUAAACUCCCUAGCCCUCAAGAACUUCAGCAGAAUCACAUCAAUCCCCUCAGCUCCUUUGCUUGGCAAAAGCGGCACUCCCCAAAGGGCAAUAUCCUUAUCAACUUCAACACAUUUCUCUUCUCCUUCAGCUUCAUUUUUCUCUUCUUCUUUCUCAGCUUCCUUUUCAACUUCUUGGGCUAUUUGCUCUUUUGGGUUUUUGUCUUCCUCUUGUUCAGCUUCUUCAUCCACUGGCUUUUCGGCUUCUUUCUCCUUCUCUACAACUCCACCGGCUGCUGCCUUUUCAUUCUUCUUGAUGGUCUCCUCUUCUUUAUUCAACAAACUGUUCCCAAGAAUGGCUUCUUCAAGCUUGGCCUUGAACUCAUUCAAAGCCUUCCUCUCAAACUCCUUCAGAUCACAGAGAAAAUUGCUCUCUUCCUUAUAAGAAGAACAUUUCGUAACAGACUUUGGCUCUUCUUUCGUCGCAGCAACUCCAUCAACGUUCUGGGUUUCUUCUUCAACUUUAACAACCUCAACAGUCAUUGUUAACCCCUUUAGUUUUCAAAGAAGAACAAUGAGAGAAAACUUAUUAACUCUCUUCUUCAGUUAAUAUGAUUUUUUUUUUUUUUUUUUUUCCUCUCUUUCUGCUUGCUUUGUUAUAUGAGCUCGCGUUUGUUUUGCUUGUUUUUUUCGAUGGAAAAAGAAGAGGGUUGCAACGGCUAUAUAUUUUGAAACCCGCAUAAAGUGGGGGCCACCAACGGUCACUUAUCUGGAUCCACCGCAUUGGAGCCGUUGGGUCUUGGGAUUCUUUCGUUUUGCUAGCCUGGAGGCCAGCAAACUUCCGCAGCUUUUGGGCCCCGAAUUUUUUUUUUUUGUUUUAACUCUACAAAACUUGUUGCUGUUGUUUGUUGUUAUUAUUAAUUUAGCCCACGAAAAUUUUGGCUGCAUUUAAACGUUAAUCAUUUGUUAUUUUAACCAACUCCUUUCUGUUGGAGUUGUUCUUAUUCACAGCCAGCCAGAUUUUGCUCAAAAUUUAAGUGUCUCUGCAAUGAAGAAUCUUCUGCGGUGGAAUUAUUUUUUUUUAUAGAAAAAUGCUAAAGAGAGAAAAAAAAUGAGAGAAAGCGUGUUGAAAAGUAAGAGAGAGUGCGUUGGGUAGAGAGUGAGAGAGAGAGUAAAAUUCUCUCAUCUUUCUCUCUUUUUAGCAUUACGCUUUUUUUUUUUUACAAUGACUGCUUGGUUCUUUCAUUUGAUAGAUACAUAAUUAAACUAAAAUCUGUAUAAAAUCUACAAUUAUUUUAUGUCAAUGAUUUUUUUAAUUUGCCUGUGAGAUAAUAAUAAUAAUAAUAAAUGCUACAUUUGAAAAAUAAAAUCUUAAAAACACAUAAAUUUCAAUUUUCGAUUUUAACUUAAAAUUGUAAUUUAGUAAAUAUGCAAAACUUUUAUAAUAAUAUUAGAAGGGAAGGGCUCCUUUCACCUUUUUUUUUUUUUAAAAAAAAAAGAUGUAAUAAUAUUCCAAAAACUUCGAUAACCAUGGUCUUGAUGUGGUCACAAUUCAUUAGGCAUCCAUGCCUAAGGAGGUUGCAUUAUUUUUUAUUUUGUUAAAUAGGUGUUGACAGCAACGGUCAACACCUACCGACCAUAUACGGUGUAAUUUAUGGCAUCCAAUAUUUUAUUUCUACUUUAUAAUGUCAUUGAUGAUGAAAUAAACAUCCCACAUUGUAACUAUAAAACGAUUAUCACAAUCGCCAAUAAAUUAUUGGCAUUGACAUUAUCAAAAUAAUUUUGGCAUUUUAAGCAAGUUGGGCUAUUUGUGUUGAGAAAAAAAGAAAAAAACUUGCACUGCUUGGUAUUCUUCAACGCAUAAUCAUGGCAUAUUGGCAUGACUAAAUUCAAAAACUUUUGUUUUUUUUUAUAAAUAAUAUACAUAUAUCCAUACAUACAUACAUAUUAUAUAUAUAUGAUUUGCUGGCAUGGUUAUUGAUCGUGCUUGUGGGAAUGCAUGCCGUUACGACGUUAUUUGCUUGUACAAUGGAUUGUGUAUAGCUUAUUUUCUUGAUUGUUGGACUCUAUUGAAAAAUCUUGCCACUUGGCAUCGUACCACCGGUCAAUCAAUGAUCGAACAUUUUUUUUGUCUUAAUGGCUUCUCUGGCCGCAUGAUUAACUCACUGGCCAAGUAACAGCUGCAUGUGGUUGUCGAAGAAGAUUUUAUAUAAAUGUGCUGCAGAUAGCCAACAGCUGGAGGAAAAGAUUUUUGUACUUAGCAGCUAAGUUGCAGUUCAACAGGAAUCAGCUCAAUCAAAGGCUUCGCAGAUUUGGGCGGCUAAAAAUUAAAAUGACAGAGAAUCCUGAGUCUCCAAUAUACCAUGUUUUUGUGCUCGUUCAAUACAAUCAUGACAAGAUCUGCACAGAAGACUUUUGCCUGAACAUGGAACCUAUUCCAAAACUUUUAAUGUGCAUAAAAAGGUAAUAAGAUAACCAGAUCAACUCUUUCAUGCCUGAACGGUGUGAAGGUUCUCUACAUCCUGAUGAGUCCACUAUAAUCAACCUAUAAUAACCCUCUCCAACAUGAUCCUUCACCUCAACGUACAUUUGUGUACGGCGACACACGUGAAGACACUGAUGUAAUGCAUGGGAAAUGGGUUGACAAUAUUAACACACGUACGGGCAAACAUGCAGACUGCAGAAACACACACAUGAAGAGAGAUUUUUAUCAACACAGUAUCAACAACCAAGUUUAAAGGCAGAAGUCAAAUUCAUAAAUGUAAGUCUCAAAAGUACUAGCUUGACCUAAUCCUCAUGAGCUGUAAAUUUCCAAGGCCUAGCCUGACUGACAGGUAGCGUUUCAAAUACCAUAAUGUAUUUUUGGAAGAGGCAAUAAUACCUGUUGGCUUUAACUGAACUGCGUCUCAUCAGAAAACUACAAAUUGAGGCACUGUACAGCACUCAAAAUAUCACAUAAAUACAAGAUUGCCAACCCUCUCCCGAUAGUUAAACGAUGUCCAUGUAUUCACCAGUAACUCUGCACAAAAGAAAAAAAAAAAAAAAAAUUAUCAACAGCAGUUCCACCAGAGAGACAGAAGCCGAAGAUUGUAUUUGAAUCCCCAGAUCAAAUACUGCUCACAAGAAGAAUAUUUCAUUUUGAGGCUACAUUUGUUAUGGCUUCUCAAAAUACAACUUCUAAGUAAAGGUUUUACUUAUAGAGCUUAUACAAGUUGAGCUUUUACUAAAAAUAUUUUACUUGUUUGAUGAUCAAUGAGAGAUUUUAUUAAAUAUUGCAAAAUUAUUUUAAUAGGUAAGAAAUGAAAUAAGGUUAUGAACUAAAUUAAGAGUAGUUUAGAUAAUUUAACUCUUUAAACAAACUCUACAACCUCUAAUCCCAAAAGCCCAAAAUUUGAGUUUUUCCUAGUAGAGACAAAAUAACUUAUUUAAUUCCAAAAUCUCUACUCAAAAUACAACUAAACAAUAAGAAAAACUUUGAAAAGAGCUUUAUGGGAUUACACAAGUACUUUUGGCCAUCAGAUAAGCCAUAUCAAACAUGUAUUGAAUUCCAAAUACACACACACACACACAUAUGAGGGGGGGAAAAUGAAAAAGAGAGAGAGAGAAAGACUAACAUGUAACAUGUUAUGCACAUGCUUUUUCUUUUUUCAAUCAUUAUCACUGAUGCCUUACUUUUUGGUAAAGACUUUAAAAUCAUUUUCGGUAGUUUUCUAACUUAGCUGUGUUGUGUUAAUUAUCAAAUUCUUCUUCAAACUGAGCUAAUUCAUGAGUUCAUGUUGUGAUGAGCGGUCCGUGUACUGUGGAUUGUGCAGUAAGUCUCAUUUUGUCCGUAAGAUCAUAUAUGUUUUAUUAGUGAGACCUUAACGAGCAAGUUUCACAUACCUAUUAUAUGACAAGAACGCCUCGCCUAUGGUUCCUACAACCUUAUUUCGUACCUUCCGCACACAAACCUGCAGUUAUACAGUUUAAAUAACUUUCCUUGGGUAGAGAGAUGAUAAGGAUGAUGGUAAAAUAUGUCCAUAAGGGUCACGCAUAAUACUAUAAAGAUUACACCCACUUGUACUCUAUCAAUAGGUCCAGCCUCUGGAUCUCGAUUACGGUGAAUGACAAUCCCAUUGUCACAUUUGUUUAUGAAGUGUGCACUUCCACUAAUAUCAUAGAGAUUAGGCGGCUCCCCAACCCAAUUGUGCAGCUGUCAGACAAUGGUAAAAUUAGAAAGAGGAAUUACUGAGCAACAAACUAGAGUUCAUGGAUGCUCACCUGUCUAGGAUGGGCGACAAACCAAACAUGGCAUGCGUGAUGUUGAGCAAACCGCUUGACCAUCGUAAGCAUCUGACUCACAUACUCAGUUUCGGUUCUGUCAGAAAUAAAGUUCACAUGUUCAUAAAAGUAGAAAUUCUUCAGUUCAAUGUGCAAGCAUAUGGAAUGCUUUGAAUAGAAGGAGAGCGGGAGAGCAUGAGAAAAUGUUUUCCUAUGAAUGUAAAAUAGUUAAUGACUUUUUUCCUUUUGCUAGGACAGAUUGACCUUUAGUAAAACAAAAGUAUAGAUUGCUCCUAGGAAAAGCAACUUAAUCUCAAGAAAGAUAAUAAGCCAGCAAUCUGAAGAGACAAAUUACAAGUCACCAGACUGGUUGGCCAAAUAUGAGCAUACAAGGAAGAGGGGCAAGGAGACAUCUUUCCUCUCUGAGAGAGGGAGAGAGGUCCUCAUAAGAAAAGCAAAUAAUUGUCUUCCACAAGCCAAUGGUGGCACAGAAUGAUAGAUAGAUAACAGAAUGAGACUCACUGGCUCACAGGACGUUGAUGAUCAAGCUCAUUGUAAGGAUCAAUUACAAGUCCACGCACACCAUGUCUUAAAACCGCUGCUUUGGCAAGAUCAAGGACCCAUUUUAUACUUGGAAGGGAAUCAUUCUCACACCUGUUGCAUAACUAUACAUGAGAAACUAUAGUGAAACAGCAGAAACUGAAUAUAGGUAUAAAAGUUACCUUAAAGUCUUUACUAACUCCAGAAGCAAACUUUUUAAAUUAACCAAGGCAACUUUGUCAGGCUGAUAACCUUAACAUCAAUGCUAUGACUAAAGAAGUACCUUCCAGAAUCAAGAUAAUUUUUCAGGAAGAAUUAAUGCUGUGAUAGCCUAAUGAUGUUACUGCGAUGUGUAAGGAACAGUUGGCAGGAAUAGAUUUUAUUUCUUCAUUGCUCUCUCAUUUAAAUAUUGUGGUUUAAGCUUUUCAAGGAAGCAAGAACUACAUGGUUUACUGUGACUUGUUUUUUAAAAUUUUUGUUGAGAAAUCUCUUCAGUAAGAGAGGUGAUUCAGGCGUAGAAGCACAAAUUUUAUGCGGAUUAAAUAUAUCUGCAAUAAUUUGGGUUAUUUGGAAAAAAAAUGAAUAGAAUCGCCUUUGAACAAGAUUGUGAAGAGGAGGUUUAUAUUUUUUGGGUUAAAUUUCAGCUUUACCAUCCUUACAGACUUUGUUUUCAAAGUAACUUUUUCUAUCUUCUCUAUUCAAACAAAUUCAGAUGAAUUUCAUAUUAAAUUUUGAGUACUUACUGCUGUGCCUCAAUAGAUAUGCAAGUUUAUGAGAUUAAAAACUCCUGUUUUUUUCCCUUUAUACACCUCAACUGGUAAGCAGUUUUGGGAUAAACUUGUUCAGGCUGGUUCAGCUUUUAAAAACAGUACAAGGUUUUCCAUUGUAGAUGACAAUCAUUGACUGAUCUUGAAUGUUAUCCAUAUAGUUUUUUUCUUUCCCUCCCAAGGGGUUUUGAUAACUUAUAUAGAUAGCCCAAAGCACAGAUUUAUUUAUUUAUUUAUUUUUCCCAGCAUAAUACAUAUUUUUCAGUUUCUUGUCUGAAACAAGAAGCCAAGAUGUGCAAGGUUUUGCUUGUUUAAGGUACUCUGCUGUUUCACAUGAAUUGUACCUUCCUUUCAGCAAAUAAAAGCUCUUCUAUUAUGCAUUUAAUUGAGAAGAAAAAUCCUAUGACUAGAUAAUUGAGCUUGGCAUACUCCAUAAAUCAGAGGCCAGGAAUACAUUAAUGCUUAUAUAUUUAAGAGUCUACUGAAAAAUGAUAAAUAGACUCUCACAGUAUAAGUUAAUAUUAGUAACAUAACUAUCAUAGUAGAUAUACUAACCUGCAUUUUAACUAGCCAAAUUGUAUCCACAAACUUGAAGCAUCAACUUACCUUAUAAGAGAAAAUGUAUUACUCAACCAUGCCUUCCCUUGCUCAAACUCUUCAACAGUCAUUCGUUCAGCAGAUCCUCCAUAACUGUGGUGAUCAAGGUGAGAGAACUGAAGUUAAAGGGUAUGUCAUUUGACAAUUAAUGAAUUCUGAAGAAAACAAUAGAUAUAAAAGAAUUGACUUCCCCCAAAAAAAAAGACUUUGGUCAACCAACCCAUUGAUGAUGAGAAACUUAUAGAUUCAAUGGUCAAAGUAUUUCACAUGUAGACAGUCUUGUCUGUGCAAUUAUGCACAUUUACCCAUCAGAAAAGAGAAAAGAAGAUGACAACUAGCAAAGUAGAAGGAAAACUAUUAUUCUUAUAUGACGAGAGGGGCCAGAUUCUCAAGUAUGCAGGAAAUAUACAAGAUACUUAGAAAAGAUAAAAGUAAAAUCUAGUUUCUAAGUUUCAAUAGACCUAGAAACUCCAAGAAAGGAAAGGAGGGAAGCAUCUUUGCAAGUCCGAACUCCACUUUUACCAAAAACGGCUAGCUUAUCCCCAACAAUGUCUUGCAAUUGAACUCCAGCCUAAUAUACGUAUUAAAAUUUGAUUUAUUAACCACCAGAUAUUCUGCUCUUUCCCCUCCUACAGACUCCCACCAGGGACUUUAAAAGCUCAAAGCCAAACAAAGAUAACAUCACAAUACCCAAAAGAAAUAAGAACGAACAAACAAAUCUCACAACUACACAAGUGGAAAGUGUACCAACAACUAAUUGCAUGUCUCAGCAUAAGGUUUACGCAUGAAGCAGCCACUGGCUACAAUUCUAUUCCUCUACUAUAAAUUGUCAGUAGUAACACAUUGUGGCAAGACACCAUCUAAAAGAAUGUCUCAGCCUGUCUAUGAUCAGGAUACGAGACUUGGAAGAAGAACCCCUCCAUUGAAGACCAACUCUUUGUCCAAUAUUUUCCCAAAAGAAAUAAAGAGAAAGAGUGAGCAGGCUCUCUUUCAUCCUAUUUCGUAAUUGCAUGCUCCUCUCUAUGUUGUUGUGCGUAUCAGUGUUUCUUUAUUUUCUUUGUUGGAAUAGAUAGAAAGAAAUGUUCCAAAAAGGAUUAAGGGAAAACCCGGACUUAACAGUGACCAAAUUUCAAUAUAUUCAAUAUUUUAAGCUAUAUAACCAAUGAAUAAUUUAUAGUUCACAACUAAAGACCAGAGAUAGUUCUGAUAUAAAAGUCAGAAUCAAUCAGUAGAAAACACUGACCAGAGUUAAUCGAUUACAGGAACUAAAAGGACAAAAAGAAAGAAAGAAAGAAAGAAACUGAACCACGCAAAUUUAAAUGAAGCGUAGCACCCUUAAACUUACUUUGCUUCAAAAAAUGGCUUCUUUAUAUGUUUUUCUAAAAGUUUUCUUGCAUGCUCCCGCACCUGUGAAUGAAAUGAGAGAGAUGAACGCAUCAAAAGUACAGAGAAAAAAGCUUAAUAAAAGCUAUAAUUAACUAUUACAGUUUACACACGCCGCUCACCACCACCACCACCACCAAACAACCGGGCAAAAAAAGGGGGGGGGAAAAGUAUAAAAGUCCAUUGCACAUAUUUUCUUUACACAAUAUCCAUACUUUUAUAACUGCAAUGCUCAGUUGGGAUGUCUCCAGAAACUGACAAGUGUGUUGUUUGAAAUCAUUACAGACACGCACAGGAAAAAUCAAAUCAAGCAAAUUACAAACUCCACCUUGUUCUCCAUGGAGCAGAGUACAAAUUUCCAGCCAGCAUGUUCAUUAAUAUUGCAUAUGAGAGCAUCAAUCCACUCACUCUUCCCAGAAUUAGGAACCCCAGUAACUAUAGUCAAUUCUCCAGGCAGAACCUGGUCAAGAAAAAAUUGCCAAGAUUAAGGGUAAAAGGUUGAAUUAUCCAUGCUUGUUACUCACACUCGUACACUCAUACAUACAUACAUUAUAUAAUAUAUAGAUACAGGAAGGCACUCACACAUGCACAUAAAUAUACAUAUAUACACAUGCAUUCAUAUACAUUAUGUACUAUAUCAUGCUUACAUUGUAUAGCUCAUUUAGAGCCCUCCAACCAGUUGAUAUACCAAAUUCAUCUCCACUUGUCCGAUGAUAAUAUGCGUCAAUUUCAUCAAAAUAAUCUCUAAAGUUGAAUAAUCCCAUUAUAGGGUACAAUUCAGCAUUCUCAACUACCUCCUUCAGUGCACCAGGACCUAGGUACAUAAGUACCUGGGAGCAAAAUUAAAAAUGUUGUUAGUAUUGCUGCAAUGAUCUUAAAAAAACUUAGACAGUAAAACAACUGCAAACUGCAGAGGACCAGCCAAGAUAAUGCAAAUGCAAUGAAACACAACAAACACUUAUGCAAACAUAUUUAUCAGUAUUGACUUGAUCAAGAAUAGUCAAUAUCUGAGAAAAUAAGCAUACAAACGAUGCAAAAAGAAAAUUGCCUGCUUGAAGGGACAUACACCUUCACGAAACUUAUGCAUGGCCCUUUAAAUGCAAUUAUAGCUAAGACAACUGGCUACAACCCAAACUAUAGAGAUUAGUGACUUCUAAGAGAAUCUUCUCCUAUUGACCCAUCCAAUCUAGUAUGGAAAACUUGAGAGGAGAAGACAAAGACUGAUUGUGAGUUACAAUGUAACACAAUUUCCACUACCCAUUAUUCAUGCCUAAUAUAUUGCCUGAUAACUAAACUUUCACACUAUCAUCAAUGCAAUCAAUGAUUAUAAAAACAAAACAAAAGUCAGAUUUAAUUCGUCAUUAACAAUUACACCACAUGCACGCCCAUACAAAUUAUACAAAGAGAUUGAUAUCUAACCUCAUUUGCAUCUUUAAAAUGAUCGACAUCAUUUUUCUUUGGCCAUCUGACUCGCCAGCAUCUGCAAGUUACGAAUAAGUAAUAUGAGGAUUCCUUAGAGAGAAUGACGGAUCAUAAAAAUUAUGAGCGCAGUUAUAUAAACCUCUCUCUACCAACACGGCGUGCGAGUUCUUCAGCUAAGGCUUGACCAGGCGGAUCCCCAUCAGUGGCAAGUAUAAUGCGAGAUGCCUAUCAAUACCAAUAUCUUUAAGAACCAGAGUCUUUCUAUGUUUACAUUGGUCAUAAUUCAAAGAAGUAAACCUACUAGUACCAACCUGCUUUAGGUACAUUUUGCAGUUCCAUAGAUACUGAUACUUUGUGUCCUAGCUUUACCAAAUACAGAGAAGACAAAUUAGAUCCUACUUUAGCAAUUUAACAUAAAGAAAUGUUACUCCAAUGAAGAGAGCAUUCUAUUUGUGCUCCACUUUUUCAGCUUGAGGAAAAGGACAUAUAGCAUUCUAUAUGUGCAAGUUUUAAAAUAAAAUUUGUAUAACACUAAAAAUGUCACACAUAUUUUGGCAAAUGAGACGCAAUAUGCUAUAAUUAUCCAUGCAAAUGUGAGACAGUGGUCGAGUCCUAAGUUCGACCAACCAAAUCUUCAUUUGGAAAGUGUUUCAAAUCAAUGGCAUCAAACAAUUGUGGCAAAUGGUAAGUCUCAGCAAUAAAAAAUAAAAAUGAAUAAUGAUAAAGAGGCAAAUAAAAAAUUAUCAUCAAAUCUCCAGUCUGUUCAGACAAUAAUAUUUACAAAGAUGGUUAUCGUAAGUUGCAUAAAGAAGCAUAUAACAAAUGAAUCAUCAGACUUCAUCUGUUCAGACAGAAAUCUUAACAAAGAUGGUUAUUGUCAGUUGCAUAUUACAACUAAAAAAGGUAAUAUCCUGGCAUGGAAAUGACAACAUGAACAUGUCUCCAGGCAUCUGUAUUGACGGGGUGGCGGGGGGGAAUCCAGCAAACAAAGAUCACAAGUUUAGUGCAAUAAAUAUUUAGUUCUGUCCUUAACUGAAAUAAUUAGAUGGUAACCAUGUCUCUGUUGUUACCGUAUCCAGUCAAUUGACUCGCAGCAAAUUUUUUUAUUUACAAAAGGCCAAAUAAAACGGCGUUCAAUGACAGAACAUGAUAGUAAUUGGAAAUUAAAACUUAUUUCACUUAAAUUAUGAGAGCAUGUGCAUGAAGAUGAAAAUAAUGUUCGAAUACGUUGAUAUAAAUAUCGCAUGUGGAAGUGUAAGACAGACAACUCUUGAGAGGUUUUUAAACUCAGUUCAAUAUUCUUGAAUGACCACAAAUCUUGUCAAAAGAAACAAAGCAAUUAUUCAUGACAUAAGGAAAAUAAAAAGAUUCGAGAUUUUAGAAGUCUGCAAAACCUGCUCUUCAGAUGGAACAUUCUUUUUGGAAACCGAAGAAGGUGCUCCAUCAGGUACACUCACACAAUUAAGAAAGCCAGCUUCUUCCAUUGAGAGUUUGUCCAUUUCACCCUCAACCUGUAAUCAAAAGUUAAAAUUACUAUUCAUUAAGUAUCAGGUCCAAUCAAGAUAACGCAGAAAGUCCCAAUAGAAGGAUAAAGACGUACAAUGAUGAUAUCACUUUCUCCCUCUAUAUCAUCCAGGCCGUAGAAUACCUUUUCAGUGUCCUUUUCCUGAAAUAAAAGCAGACCACAAACAAGAUCAAUAUGAUAAAGUCCUUAGAAUCUAUUGUACUAUAAGCAUUCAAAGGACAAGGGCAUGAUAUGAGAAUAGUAGUAGAGGGAAUUCUUUGAUGGAUGAAAGAAAAUCACUCCAGACAGAUCAAUCUAAAUUCCACGUUUGGUCAUACUUAAAACAUUAAACUCAGAAGGAGUUACAAGGAAACACACAUCCAGAGGAUGCAGAAACUACCUUCACUGAAUUUUAUGUAGAAUUUUUUUUUUUUUUUCCAUGAAAUCGAUCUGAGCUGAUAAAAUAACCACUUUAUUGCUUAAAUGUACAUUUAGCACCAUCAAUAGGUGCAUUUACAAUCCUCUGCCCAUGAGAUAUUUACACACUUGAGAAAUUUAAUGUUGUCAAAAUGUCAAAAGUAGAAAGCUAAAUAAUAUGCACUGAACUGUUUUGAAAAUUCAAGUUUCAAAAAGACACUUGCAUUAGAACCUUAAGCCAUCAUUAACACUGUUAUUACAAAUUAAUUUAAGGAAUUAAUAAAUAAGUAAAAACACUUAACACAGAAACCUGCCAAAAUUUCUUGUUGAAGUCACGGUACUUGCAAUUUACAAGCUUCCCAUUUCGCCAAUAAGGGAAUGCAAUAACAACCUGACAACAAAAUUUCAGGAACAAAUUACAUAAGGCAGAUAAUUUUCACAUAAAGAAAGGUGAUGAUGUUUGGAGCUUAGCCAAAUAGAAUUCUGUGUUAUUUACUUUGAAUGGUGGAUAAAAACUGGAGAGUCUCAGAUCUAAAGAGAAAAUCUACUUUGUUCACCUUUUUUUCCAAGAACUAUUUUCAGGUGUUUUCCUAUUAAGCAAAGUUUAUCGAGCGAACGUCCUGGGGGGGGGCAAGGAAUCCCUUGAUAUAUGUUGCAGGAAGUUGCAGGAGGAAAAAUUAACCGCUUGGAUGACUCUAAAACUGUGCAUCACCAUCUGCUCUUUCUCAAUUUAUUGCGUGGUAUUUUGAUCUAUUUAAGAAAUCGUCACAUAUAGCUAUCUGGUACUUACAUUUACCAAAUAGACCAUUUCCAAAGGACUCAUCACAGGAUAAAUUGCAUGCACAGAGAAUCAAAAGAAAGGGGAAACUUGCAAAUUUUUUUGGUGCAUUUACCAAUAACAAUGUGAAAGCCACUUAAAUAUCUUAUAUAAUCUAUUCAAAUUUAUGUCAUUGGCAUUCUAAGCAUGUGAUUUAUGAUUCAAGAUAGUUGGGCACCUCAUGACCAUGUCUCUUUUGCAUAACACGAUUUCUACGUAAUGUCUCUGCUGAUAUCAGCCGCUCCGCAAAAUAAGCACGAAGCUGAAACAGGACCAGAUAAUAAUAUUAUCACAAAAACAAUGCUUAAGAUGAAGGCAAUGAGAUCACCAAUAGUGUACAAAAACAUAGCAACCCUCCUAAAAUCAACAUCACGUGAAUGCCAAAGUCCUGUAGACUGCCUAUAUAGCAUGUUUUAAACGAAAAGCACAUAGUUAUAUAGGGAAAGGGAAAAGAAAUUGUGCUCUACAAGUAGCACCUAGCAGAACGAGAUUGAUUAAGCUAUCAAAUGAAUUUCAAUAAAAUAUCACUACCAAGGGAUAAAAAAUCAUUAAAAUAGAGGAAAGAGUGGGACCAGGGUAAGACCCAGCACCUCGUUACCAAGUGGUUCCAAUUCCAGACUGUCCUCUGUGAUUUCUCUUAUGGUCUUCAUUUUGCUGAAUUUUUUCAAACUUGAUUGAGAUCGGUUAUUAUCUACAAGUGCCUGCAAGCACAGAUGGAACAUCAGUUUAAAGGAAAACCGCAAUCAAACACAUAUACGAUCAUAUAACAACCAGCAACUACUCAUGAAAUUCAGAUGAAUAAUAUCUGACCGACGUGCUGCCUUUCCAUCCGCAUUUUGCUCGAAAACACAUCCAUACGGCUGAGAAUCUAAACACUCACAAAGGCCGAAGUAAAAGUAAAUGGUAAUUUGUUAAGAAUUGAAAAUGAGAAAGUUUAAAACAGAUUAAAGCAUAGACAGCAUACCCAUCUUCGUCAAGGAAAAGAGACAAGCUUAACUCCUCUGAAUCACCACCAUUACACUGAUGAAAAGAAUAAUUACUAAUAUGAUAGCUAACAUUUGCAUUAAUUUAUAAAUCAAAUGAAAGCAUCGAAAGCAUACCUUCAAUGAACUAGUAUCCUACAAGAGAUGCAUUCAAACAAAAUACCAAAACUUGUAUAGACAUUUUGAGGAAGAAAACUAAAGCAAGUAAAGUAGAAAUCAUUUAAGAUUCUUCACAAGAUUUUUUUAAAAUUUUUUAAAAUCAUUUUCAUUUGAGAAACAUAUAGCAAAAAGACCCGUAACAUCCACAGCACGAGACUUUAAGCAAGCUUGUAGUGAUCAUCUAUAAAACACUCUUCUCUUAUGAAUUACCCUCAACCACAUGCACAGGUAAUAAUAAAAAUGUGAAUAUCACAUUAACGGGUGCAUAAUACACUUACUUUAGUUCUAAAGGAUAAACAUCUGUGAAUUAAAUCAAAUAAACUCUAGGAAUUCAACUAAAAAGAAGAAAGCAAAGAAAAUACUUUUGGGCAGAGCAUUCUAUUUUCCACCCCAGGAGCACAACGACCAAUGUCCAAUCCCAGCUGUUUCAACUUAAUCUUCAAAAUUUCCCAUGAACGUGAAUCCAACAUCUUUUCUUCUGUCUCUGCAGAGAAAAUUGGGGGAAAAAAAAACUCGCAUUUUUAUCAGACACAACAAAAAGAGAAUUUAGAGAAAGGGGGUUUCUAUAGAAGUAAUUUCUGUAAAAGAAUUUCAUAUCCAAAAGAAGAAGCCGAAAUGCUUAUUAAUUUAUAAAAAAAAAAACCAGUAUGAAAUGUUUCAGCAAAUAAAAAACACAACAAAAUAGACACAGAAGCCCUUCUGGCUAAGUGAAAACACUUCCAAACACGGCCUAACGCGGUCUUGGAUAUUAAAAUUAAAAAGAAAAAAAAAUAGUUACAAACCUGAGGUUGGAGUUGGGUGAUUGCGAUAAGAGACAGAAGAAAGGUCUUUAGUUCUGAGAGUUAACGGGUGAUGAUUAUUAUUAUUAUCAUCAUCAUUUUUAUAGUUGUUGUUGUUAAUGCGCUUGAAAGCCAAAGAAGUAGUAAUUAGUCGUCUAGGACUGCUUGAAAAACAAGGAGAAGAGUUGAUAGUGAAAAGUCUUGUUGAGGCGGCGGCGGUUCUGAGAGUAGAAGAAUCCAUGAACAGAUAUGAGAGUUUGUGAAGACGGCUAUGGCUGAAACUGCCAGCAAUUGGAUUAUGCUGCAGAAGAAAACGCAUCUCUCUUUCAAAUGUAAGUCUUAUAAUGAAAUGUAUCAGUUUCCGCUCAUGUAUUGCUUGUUUUGUUCCUUUCUUCAAUAAUGGGAUGGAUUAUAGGGAAGGGAUGAGAAAUUGAAACGAGGUUUUAGCCUUUAGCCUUUAGCCUUUAGCCUUUGGGGUUUAAGGGUUUACUUCUUUCUUCUCUGUAUCGAAAUUGAAGUUUUGUGUUUUAUCCCUUUUUUUUAUUAUUAUUAUUAUUAUCGGAUCCGGGUAUAGGGACUUUAGGAUUGGGCUCAAGAGAACAGAUCUGCUUAGCCCAGUUUUACUUCGGUCCAAUAAUAGCUAUGAAAAAUGAACCCCAUCAUUACUAAUCGUCCCCCCCGCCCCUAAGCCCCAAUGUGAGGGUAAAAUUGGAAAGAGAAGUACUGUUAACACCCCCUCAGUACCCUUUCAAAUUAUAAGUGAGAACGAGUUGAAUGUCAACAAUUAAUUUAAAUUAAACAUAUUUUAUAUUCUAGUUUAAAAUUAAUAAGAAAUUCUAGUUUAUAAGCCUUCGCAUGUUGAUAUAAUUUAAUUUGCAAGGAGGAAGAAAAAUGGAUUAUUAGGCAAGUUCUUGUAAAUUAAUUAAAUUGAUUGUUGACUUAUUUAAAAAAAAAAAAAAAGCCAUUGUUGAUGACCGUAGAGUUUGCGGGGGAAAAAAAUUAUACAACGCUGGUUAUGUUUAAAGAAUUUGGAUAGAGGAAAAAAAAAUGGAUAGUUUAGUUAGACUAAAUUUAUUCUUAGUAGGGGUGAUGAAAGCACCACUCAAUUGGAAAUGGCUGCCUAUAUAAAGUGAAUAAUGAUAUUUCUUCAGUAUCAAAUUACAAUCCGUUAAAUUUAUAUUCAGCAAAUUCGUACACUCCUUUAUCACGAAAUUUGGAUUUUGUAACAUGUAAUGAUAGAAAUUUGAGAUUGGAUACAAAUAUAUUAUAUUGUCACGGUCUGUGAUGUUGUUGACUUGGUAAUAUUAAAAAUUACUGGUCUUGGGACUCAUCAUCACCAACUGUAUGUGCUACUACUUAUAACCCCCCUCCCAAAAAAAAAAGGGUUUGUACUGCUAAAAGGACCACUUUGAUGCAGAAGAAUCACUUUGAAGCAGAAGACACUGUAUGGUUAACAGCCCAAAACUAAAUUGAAAGACGUAAAUUAGCUAUAAAUUUUGCUACAAGAAAAUUCCUUGGAUCAAGAAAAGAAACCCUCUACUUCUAUGGAUGUGUUUUUCUUGUUACUUUGCACACUGUAAUGCUUCCCCCGAAACAUGUAGCUGAUAUAACUCGGCGUUUUCAAUCACUUCCCUCAGAGCUCCCGGACCCAAACACUUGAGAACCUAUAUGGUAGCAAACCAGAUAUGUAAUAAGCACAGAGGUUGAUAGUACAGUGACAAAAACUAAAGUAAUGCUAGGACUUAUCUCUUGCCAAGAAGGGAGUUGAGUUAUCUAAGAGUAAUGGAUAAGCAUUUCUCACGAAGGAGAAGCAUAAUUGUAGAGACAGUAACGAUGAGUACGUUUAGAAAACUAUUCCCAGAGACAGAUUUAUAUAUUUAGCUAACUACAUCCAAAAGUUACAUCUUUGCUUCUUCCAAGGUAAUAUGACAGGCAAAAGGGUGGAAACAAGUAUCAAACCUCAUUUGCAUCUUUGAAGUAACUGAACUCAUCUUUCUUUGGCCAACGUACACGCCAGCAUCUGAAAACCAAAGAAACAAAAUGUAAAGAGAGAAUUCCAACAUACAUAGGUCGGCAAACCACAAUCUUAAUGUCCAAGGACGUAAAGAACUCAGCGGGAUCCUGCAAUUGCCAAUGAUGCUGCCUAAAUUAAGGGUCUCAACAAGGUCAAGAUUUUAAGCCAUCAAAAUCUAGACAAUCCCACAUUAUUGUCAUUUGAAGCAAAAAGCCAAAAACUACCCCAUCUCUAAACCUGCGACUAGUAGGCCUCGUAAAUAAUUUUGCUCAUGUUCACUGAUUAACCAAUCUCAAGAAGAAUGCAAUUACUACAUUAUGACAAAGGAAUUAGUUAACAAAUUGAAACCUGUCUUUUCCAAGUCGACGUGCUAGCUCUUCAGCCAAGGCAUGGCCAGGUGUAUCUGCAUCAGUUCCCAGAAUAAUGCGAGAAACCUACAAGCUUUAUUUAUUUUAGUAGGCUUACUUUCUUUAUUUUUGUGAAGUAAAAUUUAUUAAAAAAAUAAAACAAAAGCAGAAACAUUAAUAUUAAUUUCAUACACCUUAUCCAAAUGCUCUUUGCAGUUCCAUAAAUACUGAUAACCAGUGUCCUGUUACCCACAACAGACACAAAAGAAAAAGUAAAUCAGUACCCGAAAAGCGAUGCCAAGUGACCAGAUUGAGAUGAGAUAAUAAUAAUUCACAUCUCUAAAAUAGGAAGCACAUAAUACUAUAAACAACGAACUGUUAUGCGACUUGCUGGCCAAAAAAGGGGGCUGGUGGGGAGGAAUUGAAAGUUCCAAUAUAAACCUUUUCCCGUGGUGGUAAUUCUCUGUUAGAAACUUUUGGUGGUGCUCCAGAAGGAACACUUACGCAAUUCUGAAAGCCCGCUUCCUCCACUGAAAGCUUGUCUAUUUCACCUUCAACCUAUAAUCAGGAACAAAAUAGUAUAAAUCAGUAGAAAGAUUUUUAAAAAAUUGGGCAAAAGCACCCAAAAUAUGAUCACAGUAUGUACAAUGAUGACUUCAGCAGUUUCAUUUAUGUCAUCAAGUCCAUAUAACCACUUUUCUGUGCCCUUCUCCUGAAAUAGAAGCAUAAAUCCAACAAGAAUUCAGAUUACAGCACAUCCACACUCCAUUUUACAAUGGGAAAAUAGGCACAACAGAAAUAAAAUGGCAUUUUAAUCUACUUUCAAGAAAUUCGUCAGUACUCAUUAGCAUACAGUGAUACAAGAGAUAUAAUCUUCUAAAGCAAAUAACAUCGGUCAAUUUAUUUUUUCUUGCACCAAAUAGUUGACUAGAUUCUAUAAAAUAAUAACAUAUAGUGUCCAAAUGGAUGCAUCUAUCUCUAGCACAAUUCCUGGUGCAUAUACCAUUCCAUUGCAUUGACAUGUAAAAUUUUAAAAUCCUACAUCCAAAAGUUACAUCUUUGCUUCUUCCAAGGUAAUAUGACAGGCAAAAGGGUGGAAACAAGUAUCAAACCUCAUUUGCAUCUUUGAAGUAACUGAACUCAUCUUUCUUUGGCCAACGUACACGCCAGCAUCUGAAAACCAAAGAAACAAAAUGUAAAGAGAGAAUUCCAACAUACAUAGGUCGGCAAACCACAAUCUUAAUGUCCAAGGACGUAAAGAACUCAGCGGGAUCCUGCAAUUGCCAAUGAUGCUGCCUAAAUUAAGGGUCUCAACAAGGUCAAGAUUUUAAGCCAUCAAAAUCUAGACAAUCCCACAUUAUUGUCAUUUGAAGCAAAAAGCCAAAAACUACCCCAUCUCUAAACCUGCGACUAGUAGGCCUCGUAAAUAAUUUUGCUCAUGUUCACUGAUUAACCAAUCUCAAGAAGAAUGCAAUUACUACAUUAUGACAAAGGAAUUAGUUAACAAAUUGAAACCUGUCUUUUCCAAGUCGACGUGCUAGCUCUUCAGCCAAGGCAUGGCCAGGUGUAUCUGCAUCAGUUCCCAGAAUAAUGCGAGAAACCUACAAGCUUUAUUUAUUUUAGUAGGCUUACUUUCUUUAUUUUUGUGAAGUAAAAUUUAUUAAAAAAAUAAAACAAAAGCAGAAACAUUAAUAUUAAUUUCAUACACCUUAUCCAAAUGCUCUUUGCAGUUCCAUAAAUACUGAUAACCAGUGUCCUGUUACCCACAACAGACACAAAAGAAAAAGUAAAUCAGUACCCGAAAAGCGAUGCCAAGUGACCAGAUUGAGAUGAGAUAAUAAUAAUUCACAUCUCUAAAAUAGGAAGCACAUAAUACUAUAAACAACGAACUGUUAUGCGACUUGCUGGCCAAAAAAGGGGGCUGGUGGGGAGGAAUUGAAAGUUCCAAUAUAAACCUUUUCCCGUGGUGGUAAUUCUCUGUUAGAAACUUUUGGUGGUGCUCCAGAAGGAACACUUACGCAAUUCUGAAAGCCCGCUUCCUCCACUGAAAGCUUGUCUAUUUCACCUUCAACCUAUAAUCAGGAACAAAAUAGUAUAAAUCAGUAGAAAGAUUUUUAAAAAAUUGGGCAAAAGCACCCAAAAUAUGAUCACAGUAUGUACAAUGAUGACUUCAGCAGUUUCAUUUAUGUCAUCAAGUCCAUAUAACCACUUUUCUGUGCCCUUCUCCUGAAAUAGAAGCAUAAAUCCAACAAGAAUUCAGAUUACAGCACAUCCACACUCCAUUUUACAAUGGGAAAAUAGGCACAACAGAAAUAAAAUGGCAUUUUAAUCUACUUUCAAGAAAUUCGUCAGUACUCAUUAGCAUACAGUGAUACAAGAGAUAUAAUCUUCUAAAGCAAAUAACAUCGGUCAAUUUAUUUUUUCUUGCACCAAAUAGUUGACUAGAUUCUAUAAAAUAAUAACAUAUAGUGUCCAAAUGGAUGCAUCUAUCUCUAGCACAAUUCCUGGUGCAUAUACCAUUCCAUUGCAUUGACAUGUAAAAUUUUAAAAUCCUUGUAAGUUAUUAAUAUCCUCUCUCUGGCAUUUUUUUUGAGGGGGGGGGGGUUUGUGGGGGGGACGACUAAACCAAAAGCCGGGCCACCCAAAAUGUAGCAUCAAAAGGAGUUGAAACAGAUCACAAUGUAGAACAUAUGAGUGAUUUCAGGGAUAUUGUUUGUAGAAAGCUCGCAACGUGUGAGAGAAUCCGAUCAAUCUAAGGUUUGGGAGAUUAUUACUAGUGAUCUUACUCCAUUCUGAAAUUCAUUAAACAAAUCCAAAAAACAAUAAUUGUACUUCUUCAUGUGGUUUUGUCCUAUUCAGAUUCUUCGCACUUAUUUCUCUGUCAUUCCAUCAUUUUAUAGACAACAUUUACUUAUUCGUCAAUCAGAGAUAAACAUAGCACAAAUACCUGCCGAAAUUUUCUCUCCAUACUUCGGUAUUUGCAGCCAACAAGCACACCAUUAUGCCAAUAAGGGAAAGCUAUGGCCUGGUAACAGAAAAUCUCAAUAGGGUUAGGAGGAUUAGAUUGCAAACACUCAAAUGGUUAAUAUCUAACUUCAAAACAGACAAAAUCCAAUGUAUGCGUAAAAGUAAGCCUACAGAGAUCUUAUGUCAAAAGAAGUCAUUUCGUUUCAUUCACAGAGGGAGACAAUGCAUUUUCACACGUUUGACAUCCACUACUACAAUCACCCAAUUGUAUAUUUGCAGCUUAGUUUUGAGCAGAUGGAGUAAAUAUAUAACUAUAGUAAAUAGAUUAAAAUAGAUUAACUCCAUAAACCAUGAACCUAGGGAUUCAAAAUGAAAUUGACAAAUGAAUGCUAGAUUACCAACUAAAUUUACAGACCCAUGAGUACUCCAAAAAAGAACAGGGCAGAUAUAUCCGCAUAUUCAUUGCAUCCAUUCUAGCACACAGAGUUAUUAUAGCUAGGUUUCUUCCACAAUCACAAGGCCAACUCGACCAUCAAAUAAGCACUGGCUUGUAACUGCAAAUGAGAAGAGAGACCUGAUCGUGAAGUCUUUGCAUGACAGAAUUUCUCUGUAGAGUUCCCUCAGAUAUCAUUCUUUCGCCCAAGUAUGCAAUUAACUGAAACAGAGACCAAAUUUACAUACUUAAUUAUGAUCAUCCGCACCAAACAAGGACAUACUUUUUGAAGUCCUCCAAUAUGAUGUAAAUGAUAUAAUCUAGCAAGGGGGAAACAUGAAAAAUAAAAAGAAACCUCAUGCAAUUGAAUUAAAACAGAUAAAAGAAAAGAAGCCGAUCUACAUGCCUUCUCACCCAGUGGUUCUAAUCCUAAGCUCUUCUCUGCCACUUGUCUCGAUGACAUAACUUUUCUAAUCUUGUUGCUGCCUGCAAAGGCCUACAACCAAAGUUAUCAACUGGCACAGAAGUUGUAUAAUUGAGAACAGCAACUAGUAAAUUUACUUUAUGGUGGACAAAAGCUCAGAACAAUAUUAGGCAAAAGGAGAGUUUAUUUUGGAAAUAGGAACCCUGCAUUGUCAAAUGGUGGUUUUAAGACAAAAAUAUCCUUUCACAGUACGGAUGACUUAAUGUUUAAGGUUCCAACCCUUCAAUGGAAGUAACACUUUCUUGUAUCAUUCAAGUUUGAAUGCCUAAAGAAGAAAUAUACUAAGGUGCAUAUGCUUUCGUAAAAGUUGCUUUUAAGUAAUCAACUGCUUCUUGGAGAAGCAGUUUAAGUGUAUUGGUCAACUUUAUUGACCAAAAAGUUUUUUUUUUUUCCCUUUUGCUUCAGCAGAAACAACAGUACUGCAGACAAAGUGAAUAAAAAUACCAAACUGAAACUAAUGCAGAAAAGGAUAAAAGAUGUAUGGUGAUGGAUAGAGGAUACCUUUGAAUACUCCUGAGAUAGAAAUAACAAGAAUACAACAGAGUUUUUCCCAAAGAAAUAAUAAAAAAAAAAAGUCAGCUUGUAAAAUCUAAACAAGAUACUUAAUUAUAUUAACUACAACUUAUCUUAAUAUGACUAGGAAACCUAACCUAAACUAGGAAUACAAUUCAAGUAACCAAUACCCAAAACAAUAAGAGUCUCAAUAUACAACCAAAUUAAAGUAAAAUGCAAAUCAAUUAAAAUAUUCCUAAACAUUAUAAAUUUCAAUCCAAUUUCAAUCCAAUUAGGAUUUCUCCAAUUUCUUACCCGGCCUGCCCAUCCACAAUCAACUCGAAAACACCUCCACAUUGCAAAAUCCCUACAACAACCAACCCAACAAUCAACCAACGCCCACGAAACGAUUCAACGCAAAUAAACAAGAAAACGCCUUAGCAGCUUUACCCAUCUUGGAUUAUGUGAACAGACAAACUCCUCUCCAAUGACCGACCACCACCUUUACACUACACCACCAAAGCAUCGAACAUUCCACUCAAAACAACAACAACAACAAUAUUAUAAAGAUUGGAAUUUUAAUAUUGAAAAAAGCAUAAAGAUAAUGCCUUGGGGCAUAACAAGUGAGCAUAGCGUCCCGGAAUACAAGAAUCGUCGCAAUUUAUUCCGACAAGCUUCAAUUUUUGCUUCACUUCCGUAAGCUUCGAGAUGUCAAUAGUAUCAUCCUUAUGCUCUCCGAAACUCUCCGCAUCACUAUUACCUUCAACAAAAAUAAGUUGUAUAUAUAUUUCAUGCUGUCUUUUAAGUUUUGUAGAUUCGACCAAAGCAAACAAUUUAUUAUUACAUUGCAAGGAAGGAUUGCCUGUGACGUGAGUGGGAUACGACAGCAGGCGCGACCAAACGCGGCCUAAUCUUCUGGGCACUGUUACUGACGAAGUUGUUGCGAGACCGUUGGUUAGAGAUAAGUGACCGGGUUGCAUUAUCCUAACCGGCAUUUUUCUUUAGAUUCGUUGGCUUCAAUGGGGAAACCAGUGAUGUUAUCAACUGCUCGGAGUCGGAUAUUUGUUCUUUAAUGAAAGUGAAAGGCUUUUCACCUCCAAUGGGCCCGUUGUUCUUUUCUUACUCUUCAGUCUAACCUUUUUCUUUUGCGUACCCUCUCAAAAAUCCUCUUGCAAUUGAAAUUAUUAAUUAAUUCCUUAUUUGAAAUAAAAAUUCAAUUAAACACCUAAAUAAAUUAUUUUGUUAACGGCUAUUUCAUACACACCCCAUUUUAUAGUUUAACAUUUUAGAAUUUUGUAUGUAUUUUAUAAAUAAAAAACUGAAUAUAUGAGAUUAUAUUUUAUAAAUUAAACUAGAUGCAUUUUAGGAAAUAAAAAUAAAAAAUUAAUAGGGCAAGUUUAUAAAAAUUUUAGAUAGGUGUUAAAAGCUCUAUUCUUCUCUAUUUUUAAUUUCGUUUAACCAUCCAAACCUCCGCUAGGGCUUUCACAAUGUACAGAUAAAUAUACUUCUACAAGGCAUUAAGACUCAAAAGUGGAGUGAGAAAGUGUCUAGAAAUUAAGGAAUUUUUGGCAAUUAUGUUGGGGGCCAAAAAAAAACCCUUAAAUUAAUGAAAUCUAAUUAUUUACAAUCACUAUUUAGGGAGAUACUCCAUAUUUUAAAUUAAACAUAUUUGUUCCCCGUCUUAACAAGUGAUUUACAAAUAAUUUAUUUUGACUAACCACUCAAAUUUAUAAAAGAAAAGUGUAAAAGGUUCAAUUUAAACUUACUCACCUAUAUUUAAAGAGAAAAAAUAAAAAAUUAAGAACUCGUGGAACUCAUAAAUUUAACAAACAGAAUCUCUUAUUAACAUUGAGUGAUGAAUGAUUAGAGAAUGAAAAAUCAUAUAAGUAGGAUGGUUUAUAUAAUAUAUGCGUAUAUAAAAUAUUUAAAGCAAAAUUAAAUCAUCUCCAUGACAAAGUUGAACUAGUUUGAUGUCUAAUUUAUAUUUAAUAAUAAUAAUAAUAGAAGAAGAAUGAGAUGAAAGAUUUUACCGAUGUAAUCGGACUCUGGUGUUUGACUCAGUCUUAAGUCCAGGUAAGUAAAGAAUUUAUUAAUUAAUUAAAUGGUAUUUUAGAUGUUAAUUAUUUUCGGUAAAUCUAAUUCGUUGCAGCUGGCUUGCAGCCAUGACAAAAAGUGAAAAAGAAGAAAAAAAUGAAACAAAAUUGAAGAGAGCAAUGAUCUUCAUUCUCUGGGCUCUGGGAUCUAGUUCGAGAAUUCAGAAAAUCAGUGUUCAUUAAACACAAAUUAUUCAACUUAUAUGAUUUUUUUAUAAUUAAGGGGAUCAGAGAGAAAAAUAACAAUUAAUAACUAACAAAUUAAAAGGUGAAUUAAUGUGCUGUGCAAAGCAAAUGGCGGUUGAUUAUGGUCUAGUUAAUGACAUUUUUGAGAGAAAAAAGAAUUAUUUGCCCCUUGCACAUGGCAAGAGCCAAAAAGUAACGGUAGGUGGUUAACCAAUAAAUUUUCCUUAUUAAACAAAUAAUUAGGGGAAGUUAAUCACACAAUAAUUAUUUUAUAAAUUAUAUAACCGCCAAGCAGCCGCCAAAACCUAGUAACGGUUUCCAAUAAAACACCCCGCCAAAAUUGUCCACGUGUCCCAGAAUUCCGAAUAACCAGCAGGUGGUUACUCACAUAAUUGAUAAUCGCCCUCUUUUCUCUCCGCAAAUACCCAAACUCCCCACGGUCUCUCUCUCUCACUCUCUCUCUAUAAUAAACUGCCAUCGUUUAUUCAGUUUGAUUAAAACUUCCACUUCUCACUUCAAAAGUCUUCUUCAAUUCAAUAACAAACAAACCAACGACAAGACAACACAAUAUCUUCUGUUCCAGGUACCCUCUCUCUAUCUCUCUCUUCGCAUGUCUUUUAAUUAUUUAUUUUAUCCAAUAUUAUUAUUUAUUAAUUAUUUUCUACAGUUUUCAACUAAUGGCCUUGAGUUAUUGCUCAAACUGGGAGUCGCUUCAGCAACUCACCUCAGAUAUGCUAAGCUACAGCAGCAACAGCAGCUUCCAUCAUCAUCAGCAGCAGCCGCAGCAGCUGCAGCAACAAGCACAAGUGGUUCUUCCCCAGCUGCUGGAUGAAACCCUUUUCAGUUUCGGCAACAACAGCGGCGGCUGCUUUGAGUUUUCGGAUACUUUGAUCGAUCCAUUUUUGCCGCCUGAUGAGUUCUUUUACGGAGACAGCUACACAAAUCUUCUCCCUUACUUCUCGUCUCCAUCCGAUGCCCUCAUCUCACUCUCUCCCGAAAUCUUCCCCCCGGAAGACUUGGAGUCCUGCCAGUUACCAAAGCGGCAGAAGAGCCAUCACUGUGACUCAAAUUUUGCACCCAAUUUCUUUUAUGGCUACGUGCCGAAUCCUCCACUGAUGCCCGAGUUCCUCCCCGAAAUUCCAGCUCCGGUUACACAGUUUCAAGCUCCGAAGCCUGAGAGUAGUGUGAAGAAGCCGAAUGGAACUAGCUUGUCAGUGCAGAGCAUUGCCGCAAGAGAAAGGAGAAGGAGAAUAACUGAGAAGACUCAGGAGCUUGGGAAGCUGAUUCCUGGAGGGCAUAGAAUGAACACUGCUGAGAUGUUCCAAGCUGCUUCUAAAUAUGUCAAGUUCUUGCAAGCACAAGUUAAGGUUCUUCAACUCAUUCAACCAAAGCAGCAGGUAUAUAAUUAAUUUAUUUGCUAAACUUUUUAAUUUUAUAUUUUUCGGCAUUUGGGGUAGUUACUUAUUGUUAAUCACAUUAUGCAGCAGGAAAUGAAGGAACCGUUUCAUAUGCAUGCACAAGAUCUACAGAAUCUUCUUGCUUCUCCAAUAAUCCAAGAGAAAUUGUACUCAGAAGACAAGUGUUUGGUCCCAAAAGAAUUUGUGGAAACCCUGGCUAAUGAUCCUGAAAUCCAAUCGAAGCCUAUGGUUUUUCAGGGCAUCGAUCAGUUGCUGAGAACCAACAUUGGGGGUCACUCAUGAUUAACGUACAGCAUUUGAUUUUCAGUAUUAAAAGUUAAAACUAAUCACUUUGUUGUUGCGCAUUAAUUUUCUUUUUCUUUUUUUUUUCUGUAGUUUUUUCAGGUCGUAGAUUUUACGACCUGGCUAGCUAGGAAGUUAAUUAACCUGUAGCUUUUAGCUAGGCACUAAUCUAACUAUUUUCUUGUAAUUUUUUUUUUCAACCAAGGAAUGGAUUAGUGUUUUUUACUUCUGUGUUCCAAUAGUCUAGCAAAUUGCAAUAUGAUUUGUUGAGUAUUGCUCUUGUAUGUCAUCCAAAAUUAACUGCUUAAUUUUAACUUGGUAAGUGAGUGGCGCUUAAACCAAGCAUAUCACCGCAAUCAUUUCUUCGUUUUACUUGAUUUUCAGAAUUUAGACAGUUCUAAAUCUUUGUGAGCCAAUACGAUGUAAUUAAACUAACUAAGAUGAUUAAAUUCUGAGUUUCAAUUUUUUUUUUGGAGCAACUGAAUUUCAAUUAUUGAAAUCACAACUGUGUACAUAAAUGUCAUUUUCAUUUAUUAAUUAAUUAUGCAAAAUUCAAAAGCGAACAAGCCAAUAAACAGGAGAAAGAACGCAUAUUGAGCCAAUAGCUUAUCGACACAUGAUGAUUUUAUGUUCCAAUUGAUAUUUAUUGAACCAACUCUAAUCCCAUGUUUUAUGUAUUAAGUUAAGUUUCCCUACUUUUUCUGAACUAACUUUCUUGUGGAGAAAGAAAUAAAACAGUAGUCAAAUCAACGACCCGGUAAAAAUAUAUUUCUUUUUUUUUUUUCCACCGUCAAAAUAUUACUUAGGUAGGAUCAGCAAAUCAUGAAUAUGUUCACCGAUAGAAAUAUGAUUAUUAGAAUGGAUUUUUAAUAACAUCAAAGGACAAAAACAUGAUUGCUUUUGAAAUUAAAGAAGACUUCAAUGGAAAUUCCUUGCUGAAUUUGAAACCGUAUGUACUAUCAACUGCUCGUAACUUCCACAACCUUGAGCAAUUAAUUAACUUGCACACAAAAACACACACCCACACACUUAACACUGAAAGAAAAUCAACAUUCUCAUUGGCCAUGGCUUCCAUUUCCGAAACUAUACACAUCUUCUUCCUUAUUUCAUCACUUCAAGUAUCUCCAACACUCUCAGCAACAGUUGUAGAAGAUCUCAACAACUUACAUCCACCUCCAGAUUUCAACUCAACAAUCAUGAACAACUGCAUCCACAACCCAUCUCUCAAAUACUGCAACUCCUCAUCCCCGAUGGACUUAAAUGAAAUCUUUAAAUCCACCAUUGUCGCAAGCCAUCUAUGCAACGAGUCCAAGAAUCCUAAUUGUGUUGAAUCCUUUCCCAAAAUAGACCUUCGAAGCCGUCCCAAGAUCACACCACUUUACUUAUCAUUCAACUUCUUUUGGAAGUACUGUCCCCUAGGCAUCAUGUCCAUUGAUCUUUCAAACAACUCUUUAAAGGGUGCUUUCCCGAUUGAUGUUCUAUUGUGCACUCAAAUUCAGGCUCUUGAUUUGAGUUACAAUCAACUUUCUGGUGACAUCCCAGUUGAAAGCUUCUCUGUUCUUGCUAAUCUUACUUUUCUCAAUCUUUCAUACAAUCAUUUCUCUGAGAUGAAAGUUUCGGAUACGAAGUUUUUCCAACGUUUCAACUCUUCGAGCUUUCUCCAUUCAGGUCUCUUUCCAGGGCACCAUAAUUACACUAUCAAAGCUGUAAUCCUGUUGGUUGGUUUUCCAAUCUUUGUUAUUCUUAUGAUAAGUUGCACGGGCUGGUUGUGUUUUGUAAGGCCUGAUUUUUUACCAAGAAUGCUUAGGAGAAAUCAUAAGUUUACAACAUGGAUGCUUAAGGCGGCAACAAAUGGGUUUUCGAAGAAGAAUUUGGUGGGCAAGAAUGAGGGAGCCGCAAUUUAUAAAGGAAUCCUGAGAGAUGGUACUCGAGUUAAGAUUGAGAUUUACAAGGGUGAUGUUUCUAGGGAAAUCCGUGAUGAAUUCGUUGAGGAAUGCAAGCUUCUUGUUCAGUUUCAGCACAAGAAUUUAAUUCGAGUACUGGGUUGGAACAACAGUCGCAGAACAAGAGCCAUUGUUACAGAAUGGACAAAUGGUGGAAACGUAGAGUUAUGGCUAUCAGAGUCAGCUCCUUCAUGGAAACACAGAUUGAAAGUUCUGAUUGGAGUUGUUGAAGCUAUGUGUUAUUUGCAGGAGCAAUGGCCUGAAGUUGAUUAUGAUCUCAGGACAGGCAGUGUUUUGUUAACUGACAAUCUAGAGCCUUUGAUUUCAAGGUUCAAGAUUGAAUAUCAACACCGUAGCACCAAAUGUAAGUAGGUUUCUAUCAGCCUGAAGUUUCUUUUCAUUGUUCGGAUGGCAUUGUGAACUAAAUCCAUGAAAAUUUUCUGACAUUUCAGAUGUUUACAAGUUCGGAUUAUUUCUUCUGGAGAUGAUAACAAACAGGAGGCCCCUUGAAGAAUUUGAGCGUGGCGAAGCUGGUUUCAUUGAGUAUAUCAGGAUGCAUUAUCCUGAAAAUUUGCAGCUGGUUGUUGACGAGAGAAUGAUGCUGACAGAAAACAUGUUUGAUCAAGCUGAACAGGGACUGGGCCUUGGAUUGAUGUGCACAGAUCAACCAACUGGAAAACUUCCAAGCUUGGUUCAGAUUUACAACAUGAUAACCAGAGCCUACAAGUCCUGCCCGAUUUUGACAUCUGAAAAUCAUAGAAAAUCACACGCUGAUGGAGGUCAUGGUCACAAACGAGUUCAAUUUAAAUAAAGCAUUGUCACUAAAUGAUAAGCAACUUAGCGGUCUCAGAUGUAGAUGAAUUAGUGGUCUCGGAUGUAUAUGAACGCAUGUUCGUUAAAGUAGAUAAGUUAUUUCAAUGCAUAAAUUAUAAACGGACCCAGUAUUGUGUUUCGCAAUAGUCAAACAUAUUUAGCACCAUUAAGUUACAAUAGCAUGAUCUGAGCUGGUUCCAUCCAUUUGAUGUAGAAAUCUGGAACGUAUGGAUCAGAGAAACCUACUGUUGAAACUUGAAUAACUAGUUUAAGAAGCGUACCAUAAGGAAAUGUCCAAUAAGCAAUAUGUGAGAACGAGACAAAAAAGGACUCCAUUAGCAAUUACCACUUGCAAAUACAUACAUUUGAUAAAAUUUGGGUGAACAUUUUGAAGACAACUGGUCAUCACAGGCAAACUACAGGCAAAAAUGUAUAAAAGCAUCCUAUGAAAAUUCCGUACGAAAUGAAAAUUCUAGCGAAAUGCUAACUCCACCUAGCAUUCACAGUCAUCAUAUAAUACAUACAACAUAUUUUUCAAUUGCAUUGUGCAAACUAGCUUUACUACAUUAUCAGAAGUAGGCAAGACGUCAUCUGAUAAUGCCAGGCCUAUUGGCCUGCACUUUAGAUCUGCUCUUCGAAACCCUCCUAGGCAUUUCAGCUGUUAAAGCAUACAUCUUCACAGCAAAUAAUUCCUCAGGUAAUCCCUUCUGAUCCUGAAGUAUUGGAAAAGUAUGCAAUAAGAUUUUCAAGCGUCUCUUUAAAAUACAUGCAGCGCAAACCUUCAAUAGAAGUGUAAAAAUAAAUCCACAAACAGCUUAUAGAAGUAUAUCCCAAACUUAUAUUCCCAGGGAAAACAUUCUGAAAAAACUACUCUUUUACCAAAGGAGAACUUACAAGGCAUCAUAGUAAUUUUGCAGAGUUUAAUACGCUAUUUAUCAAUUUAUUUAUUAAGGUAAGAGUAGAAACCUUUGAUUUGUAGAUAUGUAAUCCACACCGAGAAAAGAGUUCUUUAAAGUAAAAAUCAGAUCUGGUGAUGCUCCGAUCUUCUUUAUCCAAUACAAAUCCUGCAAAUGUUUAAAAUAUAUCUAGAAAGAACUUAUUUUUGUAGGGAAAUGCCUUCAUAUUACGUACAAGCUAAUUUCAAAUAAUUGGAGAAUCUCUACAGUGUCCAAGGAAUGAAUUGAUGUGCAACAAUUAACAUAGGUGUUCAAGUUGAUCAAGCAGAAUUGAUAUGUUUUAACCAUUUUGUCUAGCAGUGAUCUCCGUGGUGAUUUAACAGAACCUCGGUGAAGUAGGACCUUGUAUGCUAACCCUGGUGCCUUGGAGAAAUCAAUUUAUGAUAAUUCUAACAGUCUUCGGUUCUUUAUAACAAUGCAGCUUAAAAUUCAAAGGAUAUAGAUGCAUACAGCAGCAUUUUCAAGAAUUGACACCACCAUCCCAAAUUUCUAAUAUAUUUCAGGCAUUUUGGUUGAAUAUGAACAGGUCAAACAAAAGAACCUCAUUAAAGUGCCUGAUUGAAAGAACAUUUGACACAACCCUGCCAGAUCAUAAUAGUCAGAUUAGAGAAUGAGAGAGAAGGAAAGUACCACUUCUUGCAAUGUUCUCCUUCAGGACAAAAAAUCCACCAGGUUUAAGGCCAACCUGGAAUUGGAAAAUUAUCAGAACUAUGGCGUAUCUAUUCAAAUGUUAAUCAAAAUUUUUACAACCAGAACUAGCAAGAAAAACACAGAAACAUCAGAUGGUAUGUAGCGGCACACUAAAUCUAUAAGACGGAUUCAGAAGAAAGUUUAAUGGAUGGGAAUCAUGAAGCAUCGCAGGCGCACUAGUAAUCUUGUUGCAGUUGUCUGAUUAACUUGGGACAGGCAUUAUGGGUAUCACAGUGAAAACAAUAGUAAGCAUACAAAAACUUCUUAUAUGAACCAUCUAGCUUGGUGAUAAUCCUAAUAUGCAUAGAAUAAGGUCCAGGAAAUUCUAUAUGCAUGCUAACCCACUGCAUUCAACUGUUAAUUGAAAAAUGAAAAAGAAAAACAGAUAUGUAGUCUCUUGGAGGGGGCAAAGAAAAGACCAUUGACUUGGGUAAAAAGAAAUACUACCCAUAAUUGGCACAUAUUAAAAUUCAAUUUCAUCAACAAUGUCAUGGCUGUGAUGAUAUAGCAUUAGGAAAAUGUUGAAAAAGAAAGAAGGAAUGGAUAGUAAAGGCAUAGCAACUAGCCAGUGGAUAAUGAGACAACAAGCUUUCAAUUCCUUUUUAGUCCUUCCUAUUAACCACACACAAAAUAAAUGUUUCAACUUUCUAUGUGUUCCGUACACAAAUUUCCACUUAUUAUCCCAUGAUAUAAAACUUAUAUAUAUUAUGAUUCAAGUUUGAGAGUGAUUUACCUUAGCUCUCUUAAAGAAUGAAACAAAGUCGUCAUCUGUUAGAUGACCAAUGCACCAUUGAACCCAUAUGACAUCAUAUCUUCCAGUCUCUGGAGUAAAAUCCUACAAGCAGAGUGAACGAAUUAUACCUGUGCGCCAAAAAGAUUAGCCAAAACGUAUAAUAUGCUUUAAAUAUAAUAUAACAUGGAUUAAUAUUUAGAGGAAAAAAUGAAGAAGAAAACAAAAAACCCCAAAAAUCCAUUAAUCUGUAAGCCACAUAAACAGGAUCGUUCAUUACAAAGAAUUAGGAAAAACAUUUUCACUGUAUUCUUCAAGGGCAACAAUCACAUAAUCGUAACAGUUUGAUGGCUAAAAUCCUAAUUGUGUAAUAUACUGCUCCAAAAGAAUGUGAUAAUUAGGGUUAACAUUAUUAUAUAUGAGAAAACAACACUAAUUAUUGGAAUUACUAGAAAGCUAUUCAUGGUUUAGAGAAAUUACAUUCCUCUGCUAACAUAGCUCCUAGUUAAAUAAUCUUGAUUCGAUUUCACAUCUUGGAGUGCUACGCUCACAUUCCAGCAUUUACAAUGAAUAACAAAUAGAAAUAACAUUAAACAAAUGAAACAAAGCAUAAAUAAAGAUACUGCUCAUUGCCUUGGAUAAAUGGCAGAAUCAUCCAAAAAUAUUACCGCAGAAAUGCCUUUUUUUGCAAUUUUCACUUUCUUACUUCCUACUUUUUUAUUCUUUUUCUCUCUGACCCUACAAAAAUCAUUUCAAUUACAAGUCCAUAGUUGGUUCUGAUAUGGAUUAUGCACAUCACAAUUGAAGUCACGCAGAGUUAAAUUACCGUUAGUAUCCACUUUAUUUAUUAUAAUUCUGAGCUUACGAAUGAUAUUGGAUAAUAUUAGUAAUUACCUGAAGCGGCACACAAAAAAAGUUAGUAGCUUUGUGCAUAUCAGGGGCCAUAUGGUUUUCAGGGGCCAAACUUUCACGAGCAGCAUCUAGGAAAUGAGAAACGGGCUCAAGAAGAUCCACCUGGAUCACAUUAGAAUGAUAGUCAAUAAUGAUGACAAUGAUGACAAUGAUGAAAAAGUAUCGGACACAGAAUAUCUAAGAAUACACUUGAAAAACCUAGAAAAUAAUUAUUAAAAGAAACCUUUUACCUCAUUAAAAUAUCUUAUUAGAAGGUUCUUGGUGAUUCUUCCAAUGCCAGAUCCACAAUCUGCAGCGGUUCAGAUAUCAGAGAAAACUCGUUGCCAAUUCAUAAGCAGGUGGAAUGAUACAUGUAUAUCAGACAGUAUAAAAUACAGCUGCACUAGAAAUCUGGUAUUCUAAGCUAUAUAAUGUCGAUCAGAAGUUAGAAAGUGAAGAAAGAAUGAACAGAAUGCAUCAAAGUAACAAUCUGUCAUCAGACAUAUAUAAUCACUGAGAUGUGCUUUUCUGCCUAAUAUUAACGUUUCCAUCAAAAAAUGAAAUGAAAUAAAACAUGUAACUAUACAAGUGCUAUACAAACCAAACGCAAAGCCUUAUCAUAAACUGAACAUGAGAUAACACCUACCAUAUCAAACAACUCUUGAUCAUUGCUUUAACAAAAAUCAAAUUUUAAAUAGAGGCACUUAACAUGAACUUUUGCAGAAAGUGCUUUCUACAAAAUCACCCCCAAAAAGCGCCAAAGUUCAUCUACUUCCGAGCAAUUCUAACAAGUUAAAUCUACUUCACAAAAAUAAUAAAAGCCAUACAAGCAUAGAAAGAAAGGUAAAGGUACCAAGAGCAACAAGAUGUUGAUUAUUUCUAGCGUUGGGGAAACGGUCAGAGAGAAGCAUCUGGAGAAAAGCUUCGCUGCCCUUUAUAUCAACUUCAUUCACAUUCCCGAAUCCGCCCAGAACCCCAUCAACCGACGCCUCUACGCCCUGAGGUCAGGUUGAUAAUUUACCCACUUCUCCAAAGCAAACAGAAAUAUUUUGAAAAAGGAAAAAAAAACAGAAAAGAAAAGAACUUACUUCCCAAUAAGAAAUGCCUUCACGAUACCACUGGGUCUUCUUCUCCUGCUGUUCUCCAUCUUCUCCAAUUUGUUCUCUCCACAUUUCUUCCGCGUUCUUGAACUCUUUCCCAUCGGAGUCUAACCCACUUACCUCCAUUGCCGAGCUCUCUUUAUGUUUAGGAUCAGCAGCUGCCCCUGCUUCAGCGCUUCUCAGUUUUUCUUUUCUUCGUCCGACAUGUAACAAAUGUAAUGUAGGUUUAGCCCUCCUUUUUGUUUCUAAUUUUAGGGAAGCAUGUUGAGUCAAUUUUGCACACGUCAAUGGUUCUUUUGGAUAAGCAUGUAACCUAAGUCGAUCCAACAUGGCAACGACAGAACCUGUGUGACUAAUUAAGACUUGUUAUCUUUUAUUUUGUAUGUGAUCGUUUUAAAAUUUAUUUAUUUCCAAAAAAAAUUGCCCAUAUUCCAAUCCAAAUCCUAAACCACUGUAAAUUUUUUAAGAAGCCACAAGGACAUUUAGGUAAAAUGGGAAGAAAAAAUAGGUGAUGGAUAUCCCUUAAAAUAUCCACGGAUUGAAAUUGCCAUCUGGUGGUAGUGGGCCUGGGCUUCACCUUCAACAAAGGCCCAUCAACAAAUUAUUUGGUUUGUCAAUGACCCAUUUACCAUAUUUAUGUUUUCAAACAGGCUUUACAGAAUUCAAAUAAAUUUACCCGCGCGAACAAAAAUGGAGAGGCGAAAGACAACAAUAACGCACUUAAUAAAUCUCUUGCAAUCAUGCAUAGACAAGAAAGCCCACGUAGCCGGCAAGCUCCUCCAUGCCCACAUCCUCCGCAAUGGCCUCUUCGACGACACCUUUCUCUGUAACCGCCUCAUCGAAUUGUACUCUAAAUGCAACAACACUCACUCCGCCCAGCAUCUCUUCGACAAAAUGCCCCAUAAAGACAUCUAUUCGUGGAACGCAAUCUUAAGCGCUCAAUGCAAAUCCGACGAUUUGGAAUUCGCGUACAAGUUGUUCGAUGAAAUGCCUGAGAGAAAUGUCGUUUCGUGGAACAAUCUCAUUAGCGCGUUGGUACGAAAUGGGCUGGAAGAGAAGGCGUUGAGUGUUUAUAAUAAGAUGAGUAAUGAAGGAUUCGUGCCUACUCAUAUCACUUUAGCCAGUGUCUUUAAGGCGUCUACUGCGUUGUUGGAUGUUGAGCACGGUAGAAGAUGUCAUGGUCUUGUCAUUAAGAUUGGUCUUGACAAGAAUAUUUAUGUCGCUAAUGCUUUGUUGAGUUUGUAUGCUAAGUGUGGGUGGACAAAGCAUGCGGUCCCAGUUUUUGAGGAGAUGUCUGAGCCAAAUGAGGUUACUUUUACAGCAAUGAUGAGUGGGCUAGCAAAGACGGAUAGAGUUGUAGAGGCUUUGGAGAUGUUCAGGCUGAUGAUCAGGAAGGCGGUUUCUAUUGAUUCUGUCUCCCUUUCCAGUGUUUUGGGUGUUUGUGCUAGAGAAGGAUGUGGAGUGGAAUCUGAUGUUUUUGCUCAGAGUGAUAACAAAUUUUCAAGGAAUGUGCAUGGGCAACAAGUGCAUUGUCUUACUAUUAAACUUGGGUUUGAAGCGGAUCUUCAUUUGAGUAAUUCAUUACUUGAUAUGUAUGCAAAGAAUGGGGAUAUGGACAGUGCUGAGGUAAUCUUUAGUAAUCUUCCCGAAAGGAGUGUUGUUUCUUGGAAUGUUAUGAUAGCUGGCUAUGGCCAAAAAUACCAAAGCACGAAAGCUAUAGAGCUUUUGCAAAGAAUGAAAAGCUGUGGUUUUGAGCCAGAUGAGGUCACAUCUAUUAAUAUGCUUGUGGCAUGUGUCAGGUCUGGGGAUAUUAAAACAGGAAGAGAAAUGUUCGAUAGCAUGCCAAGUCCUAGUGUGAGUUCAUGGAAUGCUAUGCUCUCUAGCUACUCCCAGAGUGAGAACCACAAGGAAGCAAUAAAGCUUUUCAGGGAAAUGCAGUUUCGAGGGGUGAAACCUGACCGAACUACUUUGGCUAUUAUCCUCAGCUCAUGUGCAGCAAUGGGGAUUCUGGAGUCUGGAAAACAGGUUCAUGCUGCCUCACUAAAGACUGCUUCUCAUAUUGACAAUUAUGUUGCCAGUGGACUGAUAGGAAUUUACUCUAAGUGUCAGAGGAAUGAGUUGGCAGAACGCGUGUUUCAUAGAAUACCUGAACUAGAUAUCGUCUGUUGGAAUUCAAUGAUUGCAGGUCUGUCACUCAAUUCUCUAGACAUUGAAGCUUUCAUGUUCUUUAAGCAAAUGCGACAAAACGAAAUGUAUCCUACUCAAUUCUCCUUUGCAACUGUGCUGAGUUCUUGUGCAAAAUUAUCUUCCUCAUUCCAAGGGAGACAGGUUCAUGCCCAGAUAGAGAAAGAUGGAUAUGUUAAUGAUAUCUUUGUGGGGAGUGCUCUGAUUGAAAUGUAUUGCAAAUGCGGUGAUAUCUAUGGGGCCAGGCAGUUUUUUGACAUGAUGCAUGGCAAAAAUACAGUGACCUGGAAUGAGAUGAUACAUGGAUAUGCACAGAACGGAUAUGGAGACGAGGCAGUUAGACUUUACAAAGACAUGAUAGCAUCCGGUGUUAAACCCGAUGACAUAACCUUUGUUGCUAUAUUAACAGCUUGCAGCCAUUCAGGACUGGUUGAUGUGGGGGUUGAAAUAUUUAAUUCAAUGCAGCUAGAUCAUGGAGUGGAGCCAAUAUUGGAUCAUUAUACUUGCAUGAUCGACUGUCUAGGUCGAGCCGGUCAUUUCCAUGAAGCAGAAAUGCUUAUAGAUGAGAUGCCAUGCAAAGAUGAUCCUGUUAUAUGGGAGGUACUCCUAAGUUCUUGUCGACUUCAUGCUAAUGUGAGGUUAGCCAAAAGGGCAGCAGAAGAACUCUUCCGCUUGGACCCCAAGAAUUCUGCCCCUUAUUCCCUUCUAGCCAAUAUCUAUUCUUCUUUAGGAAGAUGGGAUGACUUGAGGGCUGUCAGAGAGCUAAUGAGUGAGAAUUGCAUUGUUAAGGAUCCAGCUUAUAGCUUGGGUUGAUUACAGGAAUGUGAUGUAAGCCUUAUGGAGGAUGAUAACCAAAGGACUAUUUAUCAUCAAGUAGUUUCAUAAACAAUGGAACAACUUACCUCUGUUGAUUGUACCAACCUGAAAUUUUGUCAGCUCAACAGGCCUUGGUUGCUUAAUGGUUCAUUUGUAUUUUGAAUGAAAUGCUUCACUCCGAACUGAUUACCAUCACUGGUUACAAAUUUUUCCUCAACUGAUAUUCUUUGUGGAAGCUGGAAACUGGAGUACUCGUGUCCUAAGCAUAAAAGAUUUCUGGUUGAAUGUGUUCAGACCUUUAACAAAUUGGUUGCUGAGUUGUUCGUUCAUCAAACUUGGACAGUCUAUCUUGAUCCAUCAGGCAGGAUGUUUGAAGGAUGAAUUUAGGGUGGACUGUGAACUAGAGAUUCAAUCCUUUGGGAACUGGUUGUACCGGAUUUUUUCACUAAUCAAUAAACCACAUGUGGAAAGUUGAAUGUUUUCACUGCCUGCAUUUGCUUCCAGCUGCUAAUGAGCCUUAGAGUGAUCAUUGUUGACAAACAAAGAAUCUGGGCAAGAGUUAGCACUGCUUGGUCACUGGCUAUCAGAAAAUCUCAUUUUGUGAUACGGAGAGCAUGUAAACAUUGUCAUUAUUGGAAUAUGCCUAUUCACCAUGAUGCAUUAAUCAUAAUUUGUGACACAUAAUUGUAUUGUUUGCCCAACAAUAUAAACCAAAUGAAAUCUUGGUGUUUGUCUGGAGCAUGUUUUAUAGCUGACUCAUCUGAUUUUUUUUUUUUAAUCCUAUAUGUACUAUUUCCUUCUAGUGGUAACGUGCUUUGCUUGUUUUAAACAAAACAGCAAUUAUGGUGCUCCUUUCUUAUGUGAGUCAAUACUUAAGUGCAUUACAAUGUUGAUGAGGCACCCUUUUGCCUCUUUAGUCAUCAUUUACCUUUAAGCUGAACAAGGGGUUCAGAGGAAACCCAUUGGGUAGAAGGUUCUGGUGUGCGAUUUUUGUGGAUAGCUUUUAAGGAUUAUGAUUGGUUGAAUUUUUACGAUGCUUAGUAUUUCCUGUACAUUUGCUUUACAGGCAAGAGAUAGUCUGCUACAAACGGAAAUCUAUGCAAGUUCAUUUUGAACUGUUUGCCUUCAUCUGUGCCGUGAACCUCUCUAUGAGCUUCCAUUCUUGAGCUCUAUGAUUGUUUAUCUGUGUCUUAGAGUCUCUGUUAACAUAUAUCCUCAAAUAUCAUGAUGGAUGGAAAAACUGCUAAUUUGCUAUCGAGAAAAAGCGGCUUUCCCUUGCGGCAUAUGAAAUUGUUAAUGAUUUCAACGUUCGGUAUUGCUUGUUUCAAUGAUACCAACAACAAAAACAUAGAAGAAAAAAAAAAGAAGGAUAAAGCUAAAAAUAACAUAAAAAUUAAAAAAAAAAAACAUAAAACAUAAAAAGAAAACUAGACCCAGCGGGUUUCAUUAAUACAAUUUCUUUUUUAAAAUUUAAUCUAAUUAAUCUGAAAGAAAAUUAUUUGACAGCGUGUACAAUAAAGAUAACCAAUCCAAAAUAAUAAAAAUAAAAAUAAAAAUAAAAUAUUCCUUAGAGGAAAUAACGCAAGAUAGGCCGAAUUUAUUGUUACAUUUAAUUGCAAUAUAAAAUGAAAUCAGAACUUUAUUUUGUUUUUAUUUUUUCAAAGGAAGUACUUGGACAUAUUAAUUAUUUGUGUUUCUUUACCAAUCAUUAACGACUUUAAUGCAGCACUUUAACUAUUAGGAUCCCUCUAACAUACAUUAAGUGUAUGUUAGGGUUUGCCUAACUAUUAUCAUAUGUUUUUGUGUAACUAAAAUUUAAAACUAUUAAAUUAUUAUAUUUUUAUGUUAUAAAUUAAACAAGUCAAUUAAGAUGAGUAUUCUAUUUUAACUACACGUAUAUUCAUCUACAGCCAGAUUCUGACAACGUUAAUUAACCAUUGGUCAAUGUGCAAACUUUGAAUAUCGAGGAGAAUAAAUAGGACAAAGGCAUUGAAUAGAAUUUACGUACGAAUGAAUGAAUGUUUCAUGGUUAUGCCUAUGUAGGAGUUCACCUACGGUGAAGUAUAAAUAUUAACCACAUAUAUAAAGUGAUAAAUAAUAAAAAAUUUAUUAUAACUCAUUUUUUUAUUAUUUAUCACUCUGUGUGCGUGGCUGAGAUUCAUGCUCUACUGUAGGUGAACUCUAACAUAAUUGAACCAUUCAUAAAUAAAGGAGCUUUUUUGUGUUCUAAAGCUUUAAAGACAAAACCCUUUUCUUACUAUUUUCUCACACAACAAGCACCGUUAAAGUUUAUAGGGAUAGGAUUAUAAGUUUUCUUGAGCCAUGCAAUAAACAAAGUUGUGUAAGAAUGACUGCUUCCAAAAAACACAAACGGUAGAAGUAAUUUGAUAGUGCCUUUCAAUCUUUGGUUGGGGUCAUUGAGUCAUGAUCAUUUCAUGCAAAAUUACUAGGGAAUGAUAUUUUAACUUUAAAUUUUAACUAUAUUAACUUUCUUUUUUUAUAAAAAAAGAAAGAAAGAAAGAAAAAGAACUACAUCUUGUACCGUAAAAAAGUAUUUUUACAUUAUAUUACAUUUGUGCAUGACUGUAGAUGAUAAUAGACAUUCGAUAGAUAAAUAUAAGGGGGAAAUAGUUAAACUGUAUAAUUAAUUAGGGAAAAAAAAGAAAGAUGUAUUUUAAAGUACCGCUAGCACAAUACCAGAUGCAUGCUUUUUGUUUCUUGAACUAGAAUUUUAUAUUUUCAUCAGUGAUCUCAUAUUCGCAAUUAAACCAUCGAGAAAAUAAAUGCUUCAUAACUAAACUUGUACUGAAAUUUUCUUUUAAUUUUAAUUCGGAUAGAAGGUGAAGAACACUACAACUUAGGGUGACCUAUGUCAUUUUAUGCCAGCAUAACAUAAGCAUAUCGAUAAGAAGGAAUCAACUACAUCUAACCUCUGCAUAUGCAUUCUUGACUCAAGCAGAGCUAGCUGUUGAUAAUCUUAGCAAAUACAUGUGUCAAAGAUUUAUUGCGCAUGAUAAAGUAAGGGGUUGCCCCAAAAACCCUAACUUUAUAAUAUGUUUGUUUUGUAUCAUCUCGGUCCAAUAUCCGUCAAAAAAAAAAAACAUAAAACAUAAAAAGAAAACUAGACCCAGCGGGUUUCAUUAAUACAAUUUCUUUUUUAAAAUUUAAUCUAAUUAAUCUGAAAGAAAAUUAUUUGACAGCGUGUACAAUAAAGAUAACCAAUCCAAAAUAAUAAAAAUAAAAAUAAAAAUAAAAUAUUCCUUAGAGGAAAUAACGCAAGAUAGGCCGAAUUUAUUGUUACAUUUAAUUGCAAUAUAAAAUGAAAUCAGAACUUUAUUUUGUUUUUAUUUUUUCAAAGGAAGUACUUGGACAUAUUAAUUAUUUGUGUUUCUUUACCAAUCAUUAACGACUUUAAUGCAGCACUUUAACUAUUAGGAUCCCUCUAACAUACAUUAAGUGUAUGUUAGGGUUUGCCUAACUAUUAUCAUAUGUUUUUGUGUAACUAAAAUUUAAAACUAUUAAAUUAUUAUAUUUUUAUGUUAUAAAUUAAACAAGUCAAUUAAGAUGAGUAUUCUAUUUUAACUACACGUAUAUUCAUCUACAGCCAGAUUCUGACAACGUUAAUUAACCAUUGGUCAAUGUGCAAACUUUGAAUAUCGAGGAGAAUAAAUAGGACAAAGGCAUUGAAUAGAAUUUACGUACGAAUGAAUGAAUGUUUCAUGGUUAUGCCUAUGUAGGAGUUCACCUACGGUGAAGUAUAAAUAUUAACCACAUAUAUAAAGUGAUAAAUAAUAAAAAAUUUAUUAUAACUCAUUUUUUUAUUAUUUAUCACUCUGUGUGCGUGGCUGAGAUUCAUGCUCUACUGUAGGUGAACUCUAACAUAAUUGAACCAUUCAUAAAUAAAGGAGCUUUUUUGUGUUCUAAAGCUUUAAAGACAAAACCCUUUUCUUACUAUUUUCUCACACAACAAGCACCGUUAAAGUUUAUAGGGAUAGGAUUAUAAGUUUUCUUGAGCCAUGCAAUAAACAAAGUUGUGUAAGAAUGACUGCUUCCAAAAAACACAAACGGUAGAAGUAAUUUGAUAGUGCCUUUCAAUCUUUGGUUGGGGUCAUUGAGUCAUGAUCAUUUCAUGCAAAAUUACUAGGGAAUGAUAUUUUAACUUUAAAUUUUAACUAUAUUAACUUUCUUUUUUUAUAAAAAAAGAAAGAAAGAAAGAAAAAGAACUACAUCUUGUACCGUAAAAAAGUAUUUUUACAUUAUAUUACAUUUGUGCAUGACUGUAGAUGAUAAUAGACAUUCGAUAGAUAAAUAUAAGGGGGAAAUAGUUAAACUGUAUAAUUAAUUAGGGAAAAAAAAGAAAGAUGUAUUUUAAAGUACCGCUAGCACAAUACCAGAUGCAUGCUUUUUGUUUCUUGAACUAGAAUUUUAUAUUUUCAUCAGUGAUCUCAUAUUCGCAAUUAAACCAUCGAGAAAAUAAAUGCUUCAUAACUAAACUUGUACUGAAAUUUUCUUUUAAUUUUAAUUCGGAUAGAAGGUGAAGAACACUACAACUUAGGGUGACCUAUGUCAUUUUAUGCCAGCAUAACAUAAGCAUAUCGAUAAGAAGGAAUCAACUACAUCUAACCUCUGCAUAUGCAUUCUUGACUCAAGCAGAGCUAGCUGUUGAUAAUCUUAGCAAAUACAUGUGUCAAAGAUUUAUUGCGCAUGAUAAAGUAAGGGGUUGCCCCAAAAACCCUAACUUUAUAAUAUGUUUGUUUUGUAUCAUCUCGGUCCAAUAUCCGUCAUCAUCUCUUUCCACAUCACUCCUCGGACAAGAAAAAUGGCAGCACCCACCCUGACCCAACAUAUAAUGGGAUCCCUUUCUAAGGCCCCUGCGACUUACACUCUCAGUCUCCCAAAAUCUCCACAAGAGUGGUUUUCCCCAAAAAACCCACAUUCCAUGCUCCCUCACCCGAAAACUCUCCUGCUUCAAGGAAAAAGACACGGUUCUUGAGAAACCUAAAAGGGAAGAAAAUGUUUUUGUUGACAAAGAAAAAGUGAGAGAAGCAGGUCUCCUCCUGCAAAAGUGGGCGGAGUCCGAUCAGCGGAAGCCUAGUGAUAUUAGCAAGGCAGAAUUGACGCUCCUAGCCUAUGCGGUUAAGGUUGUGGGAAAAGGUCUCAUUGUCGAAGUGGACUCUCAAGAGGAAGAGAUUAUGAAUAAAAUCCUUGAGCUUGAUUAUGUGCUUUUGAUCCUGCCCGUGAUUCCUAUAGUCAUUUGGUGGGUAUUUGCUAUCGUGAAUCCAAAUGAGACAAAGGAGGAGGAGGAGGUAGUGGCGGAGAAUGAGGACCAGAAGAAGUAAAGAAGGCCAGGAAUAAGAGUAUGAAGAAGGACAAGAAGAUAAAAAAGCAGGGACAGAAGAAAUAUGUAGGUGCAUCGUUUUACCAUGCAUCUGAUCUGCAAGUUUGUUGUUGCAUUUUACCAAGCAUUUGAUAUGAAAGUUUUUUGUUCCGUGUUUUUUUCCUUUUCUUUUCUUUUAAUGGAUCAGUACUUUUGUUAAUUUUGCUAUUAUUUCUCUUUAUUUCCCAUUUGCCUUUUUUUUAAUUUACCAAUUAUUUCUCUUUAUUAAGUUGCCAAUUAUACGACGGAUCUUGUUAGUUUAAAGUUCUACUGUUAUGUAAUUAAGCGUCAAAUCAAUAAGAACCCACAUACUAAGUGGGCCAAAUUAGAACUAUCUUUAUCAUGUAAACAUUUAAUAAUAUUCUAAAAAUUUCACUCAACUCAUAUUACAUUGUAAAUAACAACCCAUUGAAAUUCAAAUAUUAAAAUAAUAAUCAUAUCAUGUAUAUUUGAAUAAGACGAACUAAAAUUUGUUCGCAAAAUUUAAUUCCACAUGCAAUACCCUAGGCCAAGAUAUGCAAGUUGAGCUGGCUGGGUCAUUUUACUAACUAAUAUUUUUAAUUUAAUUCCACAUACAAUAGUCUGGACUACUAACUAGUAUUUUUAAUUUAAUUCCACAUGCAAUAGUCUAGACUACUCUCCUUCACCAAGGAAAAAGACUUGGUUCUUGAGAAGCCUGAAAGGGAAGAAAAUAUUUUUGUUGACAAAGAAAAUGUGAGAGAAGCAGGCCUCCUCCUGCAAAAGUAGGCAGAGUCCGAUGAGCGGAAGCCUGGUGAUAUUAGCAAGGCAGAAAUGGCGCUCCUGGCAUAUGCAGUUAUGGUUGUGGGAAAAGGUCUCAUUGUCGAAGUGGACUCUUAAGAGGAAGAGAUUAUUAAUAAAAUCCAUGAGCCCAACUAUGUGCUUUUGAUCCUACUCGCGAUUCCCAUAGUCGUUUGGUGGAUAUUUGGUAUCGUGAAUCCAAACUGGACUUUGUCUUCUGUUGGUAUUGUUGGUGCGACUAUUGCCGGGAUUAUAUGGGCGGCUUCUCAAGUGGUCCAGAUGAUCACCGAAGCGAGCCCUGCUUAUACCAACGUGAAGAAGUUCAUGGCCUACUGGAGAAAUGAGACAAAAUAGGAGAUGGUGGAGGAAGAGGACCAGAUGAAAUAAAGAAGGCCAGGAAGAAGAGCAUGAAGAAGGACAAUAAGACCAAAAAGAAAUGACAGAAGAAAUAUGUAGGUGCAUUGUUUUACCAUGCAUCUGCAAGUUUGUUGCAUCGUUUUACCGAAGGAGGCCACUUAUAUUAAUUUUCUUGCGACUUUGUUAGGUUUAGGGAUAUUGAGACAGAAAGAGAAAUGUUCAAUAGCAUACAAAAUCCUAGUGUGAGUUCAUGGAAUGCUACACUCUCUGCUAUUCCCAUAAUGAGAACCAUAAAAAGCAAUAAAGAUUUUCUGGGAAAUGCAGUUUUCAGGGGAGUUAGCUCUCUAGGCUACUUUGGCUAUUACUCAGCUCAUGAGGAGCAAUGACGUUUUUGGAAGCUGUAAAACAGGUCCAUGCUGCCUCACUCAAGUCUGCAUCUUGUAUUGACAAAUAUGCUGCCGGGGGACUGAUGGGAAUUUAUUCUUAAGUGCCAGAAGAAUGAAUUUGUAGAAUGUAUGAACCAUAAAAUGCCUAAACUAGUUAUUGUCCGUUAGAAUUCAAUGAUUCCAGAUAUUUCACUCAAUUAUCUGGACAGAAUCUUUCACAGUCUUCAGGCAUCCCUGACAAAAAGGGGUGUACCUAGAAUUCAAUGAUUCCAGAUAUUUCACUCAAUUAUCUGGACAGAAUCUUUCACAGUCUUUAGGCAUCCAUGACAAAAAGGGGUGUACCCUACUCAAUUCCCCUUUACAACUGUGCUGAGUUCUUGUGCAAAAUUAUCUUCCUUAUUCUUAGGAAGACAGAUUCUUACCCGGAUAGUGAAAGAUAGAUACGGUAAUGAUAUCUUUGUGGGGAGUGCUCCAAUCAAUAUUUAUUGUAAUUGUGGUGGUAUCAAUGCAGCCAGACAGUUUUUUGAUAUGAUGCCUGGAAAAAACAGUCACUUGGAAUGAGAUGAUACAUGAAUAUGCAGAGAAUGAGUAUGUAGAGCAGGCUAUUAGUCUUUACAAAGACAUAAUUGCAUCAGGUGUUAAACAUGAUGGUGUAACCUUUGUCGCUAUAUUGACUCCUUGCAGCCAUUCAGGAUUGGUAUAUGCAGGGGUUGAAAUCUUCAACUCAAUGGAGCACGAUCAUGAAGUGAAGCCAGUAUUGAUCAUUUUACUAGCAUGAUUAACUGUCUAGGUUGAGCUGGUCGUUGUUAUGAUGCAGAAAUGCUUGAUGCCAUACAAAGAUGAUCUUGUUGUAUGGGGGGAUCUUGUAAGUUCUUGCCAAGUUCAUUCUAAUGUGAGGUUAGCAAAAAAGGCUGCAAAAGGACUUUUCCACUUGGACCCUUAGAAUUUGGCCCCUUAUUCACUUUUGGCCAAUAUCUAUUCUUAUUUUGGAAGAUGAGAUCUUGAGGACUGUCAGAGAAUCGCAUUAUAUCAAGGAUCCAGCUUAUAGCUUCGGUUGAGUAUAAAAAUGUGAUGUAAGCCUUACAGUGGAUGAUAAUUGGAGGACUAUUUAUGAUCUAGUAGAUUUCAUCACAAUGAAACAUCUUAUAAGACCAUUUAUGAUCAAGUAGAUUUGUGUUAACCUAAACUUUUAUCAGCUCAACAGGCCUUGGUUGCUCAAGAGUUUGUUGCAUUUGACUCCAAGUUGAUUACCGUCACUGGCUAAAGAUUUUUCCUCACUGUUAUUCUUUGUUGAAGCUGGAAACCGAAGACGAGUACCUGUGCUCUCAGCCUGGAAAAUUUUUCAUUGUAUGCGUUCAAUGCUUUAUCAAAUUGCCAGUUUUAUGAGGUGCUGAGUUGUUUAUUCUUCACACUUGGGAGUUAUAUAUUGAUCCAUCAGGAUAGAUAUUUGAAGGAUGAAUUUAAAGUGGAUGGUGAAUGAGAAUCAGUCAUUUGAGAGCUAAAUUUACUGGAUUUUUUCCACUGCUAAAGAACUUCAAUUUUUCUUUCUCUGCCUCCGUUUGUACCAGCUACAGUUUUAGAGUGAUCAUUGUAGUCUGUAUCGGGACAAUACUUUGCAUGUUUGUGCUGCCUAUAUCAAGUGAAGAUCUGUCUCUUUGUUCUCUCUUAUGGAAUGCAUGUUAUAUGGUCAUCCUCGGAAUAUAUCUAUACACGAUGAUGCAUUGACCAUAACCCUCUGAUAUAGACCAAAUAAAAUCUAGGUGUUAGUCUGGAGCAUGUUUCUAGUUGUCUCGCCUGAUUUGAUAGUUUCACUGCAUUCCACACAUCUGAUGUGUGCUCUUUCUUUCUACUGGUAACUUCUUUUACUUAAGUUACAAAACAACAAUCUUUUGAUGGCGCCCUUCUUUCUGUAAGUCGAUGCCAAAGUUCAUUACAAUGUUGGUGAGGUUUAUUGGUGCCUCUUGAGUCAGCAUUUACCUUUAAGGAAAUUCAGAGGUUUGGAGGAAACGCAUAGGUAGAAGGUUUUGGUGUGUUCUUUUUUGUUAAGGGUUAUGCAAACUAAAAAGCAAAUUUGAUGAUGUUUAAUAUUCUCCAUACCUUUUCUUUACAGGCAAGAGAAAGUCUACUACGGACAAAGGGAAAUCUAUGCAAGUAAACUUAUGAGCAGUUGUUUGCCUUCAUCUCAUCAUCUGCCAGGAACUUCUCCAUGAACUCUCAUUGUUGAGUUAUAAUUGGUUUCUCCAUGCUUUGGGAGUUUCUUUUUGCAUAAAUCCUCAAAUAUUUUGGUUUAUGGAUAAAUUGCUAUCAAGAAAGAGAAGCUUUGUCUUUCAUUUUUUUGAAAUAGUUAAUGAUUUCAAUAUUCAUUAACAAUUGAAUCACUGGAUGACAACUUCUCAAGCUCACUCUUCACAGAAUGCUUGAAGAUGUGCUAAAACUUCCCCAAAAUCUAUUUGAUCUCUUUCAAGUGCUAUACCCACCAACUUAUGAUUAACACAGUUAGUGGCAGUCAAUUGUCAUCCGAAAUGUUAUUGAAUCUGUAAUGCUUUAACGAAAAGAGAAAAAUUUGUACUAGAUUUUUCAUUUCUUGCAGUGUGAAAUUGUUCUUUACUUGCUAAUAAACGGAGUUCAUGGAUUUUUUUUUUUUAAUCUUGAUCGUAUACUCUCUUUAGAUAAAUAGUUUUCAACUCUGGAUGGUCAUGAUACGACUGAGGACUAGGGUUUUCUUAAUUUUUUUCUCUUCCAGUUAUCUUAAUAGCAGUCGUGGAGCAACACAGACAAGCGCGGCAACUUCCUUCGCAAUCAUUAAUUUUUUUAGAAAAUACUUUUUAAAAUUCAACCAAAUAUGCUAAUGUAUUCUCCAAAAAAAAAAAAAAAUCAACUUUGAGUAACAAUAAAAAUGUAAGUUGAAAAUUAAAAUAUUAUCAUUAAAAUCACUUUAAAUGAGUAUGUUAUAGCCAAAACUAUUUAGAAAUUCAUUAGGAACAUCAAAUUCUUUAAAUUUCAAAAUUAGAAAAUUUUAAAUUAUGAUCGAUAAUUAUGAGAUACAUAUACAUAUAUAUAUAUAUAUAUAUAUAUAUAUAUAUAUAUAAUUAAGUCAACAUAAGUCAUAUCACUAUUGGAUUUAAAUUCUAUAGCGACAUACCCACGUAUCGAAGCCCAAAUCAAGAUAGUUCAAUUUUAAAGAAAAUGUACUCUCACUUUGAUAACUUAAUAGUAGAUAGACAAAUUUAAGAAAAAAAUAUAUAUAUUUUGCAAAUCCAAGAAGAUGAAAAAGUUUCACUUUCCCAGACGGUCGAAAUUCAGGACCGUCCUGAGAUUUUUGGUUGAUUUCAAAUGUAUUGUCACUUUCUUGCUAUGUAUCAUCACCAACCCCAAUGAAACAAAAAGCAAUUUGAUCAUUCAUCAAAGGAAAAUGAUAAACGAACUCAAUGAAGACAAAAGGACGAUAGAAACGCAACUUUGAAUUGUCGUUUCACGUGUUAGAUUUUUGCUUCUUUUAAUCUUGCGUGGACCCACAAGAAAUAAAAAAAAAUGAGAAAACGUUGGUCAUUUCUGGUAACUCCCCAACCACUCAUUUUCCUUUCCUUAGUUUUCCCCCUCUACUCAUUUUACUCCCCCUCCAUUUGCUUCGUUACCAGACUCCCCUCCAUUGAGUUUGCUUCGUUCGUUACCAGACUCCCCUCCAUUUGCUUCGUUCGUUACCAGACUCCCCCUCCAUUUGCUUCGUUACCGGACUCCCCCUGGACGACAGCCGCUUCUUGUUCUCGCCNNNNNNNNNNNNNNNNNNNNNNNNNNNNNNNNNNNNNNNNNNNNNNNNNNNNNNNNNNNNNNNNNNNNNNNNNNNNNNNNNNNNNNNNNNNNNNNNNNNNNNNNNNNNNNNNNNNNNNNNNNNNNNNNNNNNNNNNNNNNNNNNNNNNNNNNNNNNNNNNNNNNNNNNNNNNNNNNNNNNNNNNNNNNNNNNNNNNNNNNNNNNNNNNNNNNNNNNNNNNNNNNNNNNNNNNNNNNNNNNNNNNNNNNNNNNNNNNNNNNNNNNNNNNNNNNNNNNNNNNNNNNNNNNNNNNNNNNNNNNNNNNNNNNNNNNNNNNNNNNNNNNNNNNNNNNNNNNNNNNNNNNNNNNNNNNNNNNNNNNNNNNNNNNNNNNNNNNNNNNNNNNNNNNNNNNNNNNNNNNNNNNNNNNNNNNNNNNNNNNNNNNNNNNNNNNNNNNNNNNNNNNNNNNNNNNNNNNNNNNNNNNNNNNNNNNNNNNNNNNNNNNNNNNNNNNNNNNNNNNNNNNNNNNNNNNNNNNNNNNNNNNNNNNNNNNNNNNNNNNNNNNNNNNNNNNNNNNNNNNNNNNNNNNNNNNNNNNNNNNNNNNNNNNNNNNNNNNNNNNNNNNNNNNNNNNNNNNNNNNNNNNNNNNNNNNNNNNNNNNNNNNNNNNNNNNNNNNNNNNNNNNNNNNNNNNNNNNNNNNNNNNNNNNNNNNNNNNNNNNNNNNNNNNNNNNNNNNNNNNNNNNNNNNNNNNNNNNNNNNNNNNNNNNNNNNNNNNNNNNNNNNNNNNNNNNNNNNNNNNNNNNNNNNNNNNNNNNNNNNNNNNCCAACAGGAUCGUGACACCUCAUCAGUCAAUGUCACAUCAUCGGUCAAUGCCACGUCAUCGAUCCAUCUAUGUGAACAGUGUCGUGAACAGUUACGUAGACAGUACCGUAUACGUGAAUAGUACCGUAUAUGUGAAUAGUGCCAUUUUUUCUUUUAUGCUCCUCCUAAGGUUUUCGACCGUCCUGAGUUCAAAAGUGAUGUCCGUUUUGCCGUCUGAUCUCUCCUUUAUUGUGAAAUGACUAUAAUGCCCCUAAAAUACAUAAAAUACUUAAUUAAAAUAACACACACGUAAUUACAUCACAAGAAGGUUAAAUACAUAAAAGUAAGGGUUGUUAGUAAGACUUGAAAUGUAAAAUGACGGUUUUCUCCUUUAUAAAUAUGUAUUUUCUAACACUCAACAGUUACCGGACUCCCCUUAGAUGACAGCUGCUUCUUGUUCUCGCCGAGCCCCUUUUUUUUUUUUUCUCGCCCAGCCCCACUUACUUCGUUACCGGACGCCGACCGCUUCUUGUUCUUGCCCAGCCCAGAUCUACAACGGACAUGAUCGCCCAGCCCAGAUCUACUACGACGUCGCUGCUUUUGAGACUUCUAGUUGUUGCUUGCUGCUGCAGUUGUAGUGACCCAUCCGUAAGCAUUUUUUUUUUUUUAUGUUGUGGAUGAUGAAAUUUUGAGAUUGACAGUGUGAGCAUUUCUUCGGUAAGCAUUUCUUUUUAAUUUUUUUAAUUUUAUCUUGUGGAUGAUGAAAUUUUGAUAUUGACAGAGUAAGAAAAUUUCUUCCGUAAGCAUUUCUUGGGUGGGGUGUUUAUGGAAUAAGGGUGGAUCUUGAGACUUUUACGGUUUUCUUAAUUGGUUAGGAUGAGGCACUGCAGUAAUUUAUUUUGAUAAGAAAAAUUACAAAAGUUAUUAUUUAGCAUAUUCACGUCUUCUGAGGUUGGCAAGAUAAGAGAGAGGAGUAGUUGGGGAGAUAUGUAGAGAUAUCAGAUCUAUGGGAGAGAGGUGGAUGAGAAAGUAUUUGCUCUCCUGUCCUGAAUGUUGUAAGUCUGAGACACAUUUUGAGGCUGAAUGAGUGUGGAGAGUUAUGACCUCUUAUUGUAAGUAGUAAUUAGCUAGUCAACUUAUUAGUCAUGGCAUGUCUGUGGUAAUGGUAUUAGACUCAUAUUGAUAAAAUAUUUAAUAUGAUAUGCGAAGCUUGACACUUUUCUUAUAACAUAUAUGGAUGUUGUAUGGCUUUGGACAUUAUUCAACCUUUUUUCACUGGGUCUAAUUCUUUUCAUGACUAAAAAAUAAUCACUGAAGUUUAAUAGACGGCUGUAAUUUGAAUGCAUGGUGCAAUUGAACCCCUUGGUCCCUAAGGCUGUCUUAAUCGUCUAAGCCACUCAUAAUCCUCCAUUAAAGUGUUUGUGAUAUUGUAUAAGCAUAAAUUUAUGCAAGAUAAGAAUAUACAUCUAUAUAUAUAUAUUUUCAAAACUCCCCCCUUUGGGUUCGAGAUACAUAAUAACAUAGCCUAAUUUGUAGUUUUGACAUGUAAUUGCAGCAUUAGGAAGGUAGCUUUGUUAUUGUGAUAAUGAGUUUUUUUGUAGUCGCCCUAGAUUACAUUUUAUUAUUCUGCCUUGUGUAUAUUAUUUACGCUAUUUUUAAUUGAUUCAGCUCUGAAGCUUCUUUACAAGUGUCCCCCCCCCCUCAUUAACUUCCUUUUGCAUUGCCCUGUCUUAAUCUGUAAUGAUACCAAGGGGAGAAGAAUCAGACAUGCAUGAUAGCCACGCCUCAAAUAACCACGUAAAUGUCUCCGUAUCCUCGCGUGAAAUCAAUCCGCAUCCCAACAAAAUAGAUUGUCCAUGGUGAUUAACUGCAACAAAGGGCGCAAAUGGCAUGUCAUACUUGUUGGUCAGAUAUGUAGUGUCAAAUGUGAUGACAUCUCCAAAAUAUUUGUAAGCUGCCCUACUCCGCGAAUCUGCCCAAAACACAUUCUUUAAUCGAUCCUCUUCAUCCAAAUCAAUGCUAAAAAAAAAUUCAUUACAUUCUGCUUGCUUUUUCUGGAAGUACUUUAAAAGCGCCAUAGCAUCUCCUUCCUCAAGUUGUAAUCGCCUUGUUUUGUCAACAAAAUUUCUACAAUUUUUUUCUAAGAAUGGCACAUUUUCAUACCCACCAGCUCCAACAACAAUAGAAUUGAAAUUUUGGGCAAUUUUAAUUCCUGCACAAUCAUUCAUUUCAAUUCGCUUUUUAGCGCUUGCACUAAUUCUGUGAUUGCAUGGGAAAUACCUAGCUUUGUCUGGACUCAAUCCAUGGUUGUGUUGAAGAUUUAAAGUUCGAAGAACCCAUUUUCCAUCUUCAUUUAGACAACCUCCAAUUGAUGAGAAAGUAUUUGCUCUCCUGUCCUGAAUGUUGUAAGUCUGAGACACAUUUUGAGGCUGAAUGAGUGUGGAGAGUUAUGACCUCUUUUUGUAAGUAGUAAUUAGCUAGUCAACUUAUUAGUCAUGGCAUGUCUGUGGUAAUGGUAUUAGACUCAUAUUGAUAAAAUAUUUAAUAUGAUAUGCGAAGCUUGACACUUUUCUUAUAACAUAUAUGGAUGUUGUAUGGCUUUGGACAUUAUUCAACCUUUUUUCACUGGGUCUAAUUCUUUUCAUGACUAAAAAAUAAUCACUGAAGUUUAAUAGACGGCUGUAAUUUGAAUGCAUGGUGCAAUUGAACCCCUUGGUCCCUAAGGCUGUCUUAAUCGUCUAAGCCACUCAUAAUCCUCCAUUAAAGUGUUUGUGAUAUUGUAUAAGCAUAAAUUUAUGCAAGAUAAGAAUAUACAUCUAUAUAUAUAUAUUUUCAAAACUCCCCCCUUUGGGUUCGAGAUACAUAAUAACAUAGCCUAAUUUGUAGUUUUGACAUGUAAUUGCAGCAUUAGGAAGGUAGCUUUGUUAUUGUGAUAAUGAGUUUUUUUGUAGUCGCCCUAGAUUACAUUUUAUUAUUCUGCCUUGUGUAUAUUAUUUACGCUAUUUUUAAUUGAUUCAGCUCUGAAGCUUCUUUACAAGUGUCCCCCCCCCCUCAUUAACUUCCUUUUGCAUUGCCCUGUCUUAAUCUGUAAUGAUACCAAGGGGAGAAGAAUCAGACAUGCAUGAUAGCCACGCCUCAAAUAACCACGUAAAUGUCUCCGUAUCCUCGCGUGAAAUCAAUCCGCAUCCCAACAAAAUAGAUUGUCCAUGGUGAUUAACUGCAACAAAGGGCGCAAAUGGCAUGUCAUACUUGUUGGUCAGAUAUGUAGUGUCAAAUGUGAUGACAUCUCCAAAAUAUUUGUAAGCUGCCCUACUCCGCGAAUCUGCCCAAAACACAUUCUUUAAUCGAUCCUCUUCAUCCAAAUCAAUGCUAAAAAAAAAUUCAUUACAUUCUGCUUGCUUUUUCUGGAAGUACUUUAAAAGCGCCAUAGCAUCUCCUUCCUCAAGUUGUAAUCGCCUUGUUUUGUCAACAAAAUUUCUACAAUUUUUUUCUAAGAAUGGCACAUUUUCAUACCCACCAGCUCCAACAACAAUAGAAUUGAAAUUUUGGGCAAUUUUAAUUCCUGCACAAUCAUUCAUUUCAAUUCGCUUUUUAGCGCUUGCACUAAUUCUGUGAUUGCAUGGGAAAUACCUAGCUUUGUCUGGACUCAAUCCAUGGUUGUGUUGAAGAUUUAAAGUUCGAAGAACCCAUUUUCCAUCUUCAUUUAGACAACCUCCAAUUUUUGCAUCACAACCAUUUUUCACAAUCGGUUUCGGCUUCAAUGUAUUAGCAGAUUUACUUUUUGACUUGCCGCUACGCCCACAUGCAAAUGUCGCAUAUUUUACAAUUCAUUUCUACAAAAUAAUUAACAUUUGUAUUAAGAAACUUAUAUAACAUUUUGUCCAGUAAUGAAAAUUCCUAACAAUUUAAAUAUAUAAAAACACAUCCACAAAUUUUUAUAAUUUAUUCCAUUAUCUCCAACAAUUUAAAUUAUAAAAUCCUAACAAUUUAAAUAUAUAAAACACAUCCGAAAAUUGUUAUAAUUUAUUUCAUUAUUUUCAGCAAUUUAAAUUAAAAAAAAUCCUAACAUAUAUAAAACACAUUUAAUAAUUGUUAUAAUUUAUUCCAUUAUUUCCAGCCAUUUAAAUUAAGAAAAAUCCUAACAUAUAUAAAACACAUUCAGAAAUUGUUAUAAUUUAUUUCAUUAUUUCCAACCAUUUAAAUUUAAAAAAUCCUAACAUAUAUAAAACACAUUAAGAAAUUAUUAUAAUCUAUUCCAUUAUUACAAUUUAAAUAUAUAAAAAGUAACAAUUUAAAUAUAUAAAAAGUAAAAAUCUACGAAUUUUUACAAUUUAAAUUAAAUAUUCUAACCAUUUAAACAUCUCUCACUUCUGUUUGUAGAUCUAGAUCUAAUUUCUUCCUUGUGAUAACUGAGAUGCAGAGACAGAAUUGGUGAGAUGCAGAGACGGAACUCGUUUGAGUUUUUCCUUCCUGAACGCAGAGAGCUCACGUAAAUGAGAGGUGAGAAAUGGAGAGAGACUAAAGACAGAACUCAAAAAGUAAUCUCUUUCUUUCCUUUUCGUUACUUUUCUUUCUUUUUUUUGAUUAUUUUAUUUUUUAAACUCAAAAAGUAAUAGACAAAAGCUGUUAGUGCAGUUGAUUCACGUGCCAAUUUUUCUAUCGUUCUUUUGUCUUCGCGGAGUUCAAAUAGUAGAACUCUUCAUCAAAAUCUCAUAGGGACACUCAAAACUUUGAUCCUCACAAAUUCCCAAGAGUACCCUCAAUAAUGCUUCCCUAUAUAAACACUUCACUCUCCCACUUCAUUCUCCAUCAGCAUUCAGCAAGCAAAAGUGCUUACAAGAUACCUAAAAGCACUUUUCAAGAGCUUAUUACGAGAACUACUUUGCCAUUUAACAAUGAAGAACCUCUUCUUCUCCAUGGUUUUCAUGGUGUCUCUCAUCUUCUUCCUCGCAAAUGUGAGCGAGGCAGCCAUUGCAUGCGGCACAGUCGACGCCAAAGCAGCUGCAUGCGUUGGGUUCGCCACGGGCAAGGCUCCAACGCCGACUUCAGCAUGCUGCAGCGGGCUGCAACAGCUUGCUCAGAGUGUGAAAACAGUUGAUGACAAGAAGGCUAUUUGCCGAUGCUUGAAGGCGGGAGCCAAGUCAUUGGGGGUUCAGGACAGGUUCUUGAGCAAAAUUCCAAGCGCCUGCGGUAUCAAAGUUGGCUUCCCUGUCUCCACCGCCACCAACUGUGAAACGUGAGUAGAUAAUUAAUUAAUUAAUUAAUUAAAUUCUUGUUUUCUUGUUUGGUUUAAAAGAUGUUAAACACACUAUCAUUUCUUGAGCUGCUAGUCCAAAGUAAAUGAUCAUAUUCUGUGCUUCUUGUUUCUUUUGGCAGGAUUCACUAAAAUUUUCUAUUUGAAGCUCAAGGAAUUGAAGAUAAAAAGACGUAGUAUGGAGAGCUGAUAAAUCUCAAUAAAACUCUACUUCCAAUGUGGUACAUGGACUGUCUAAUCAGACCCUACCUUUUGUUACAGCAAUAGUAAUCCUAAUAAUAAUAAUAAUAAUGUCAUGUCAAAGUUAUGAGGAUAAAUCUUAUCGUGGUUGUGUGUUGCUAUUAUUGUUGUCAUUAUUUCUCAUAAGUCAUUCAUAUGAACAGAAUUCCCAAUAUCUAAUCAUAUAACAUUAAAUUAAAAAUAUAUUUUUAAUCAACUGAAUCAACUAUAACCAUCCAUUGAAAUUUUGCUUUAACUUGAGGAUUAUGAUGAGAACUGAAAUUGAUGAAGCAUCAGAAAAAAGAUGCGAAAAUAAAUAGAUCAAAAUACUAUGCUCUAAACAUAGAUCACUAAUUUUCACCACAUAAAAUCUCAUUCCUAAUGAAUGUUUCAAGAAUGCCCAGAUAAAGAAUCAGAAAUUCAACAACAAAACUUCUUAAUAUUUGACAUGAUGCUGAUUUCUAAGAGAAAUAGAAAAAGUGCGUAAAAGAGAGGAAAACAAUAAGUUAAAAAAAUUAUUUAUUUUGAAUUUUUAAUGAGGGUAAUUUUAAAAAUGGAUGAGUAAAUUAAAAAGUGAGGGCUCCCCGGAUAAAUAAAGGAGGACAAAUAUCACAAGUUCUUUUAUAAUCCUUAAAAUAAAUACUCAUUUUAAGGUAAAUUUUUAUGACAAAAUGGUUGAUUUUAAUUCAUGUGUUUGUUUUGUGAAAAUAAAUUAAGGAUAUUUUAGAAAAUAAAAUUUAAAAGAAGUGUUUUAAGGAGGUGUUAAAAGCGCUACUCCCCUUUUAACAUUUAAUUUUUAUAAUGUUAUGCUUCUCAAUCUCCAACAGGAAAAGUUUUAAAUGGUGUUGUUUAUAUAUACAAAUUUAAGAAUAUAAAUUUCAAGUUAUGAAUUUUAUAUUCCAACCUUUUUUUAUGUUCCAAUAUACAAUGGCUGCAUUUAUAAUAGAAUAAUGAUAUAGUCACAAACUCUUGUACAAACUUAUUUUGUACAAACUGAUGUGGCGUUAAUUCAUUGGUUGAAUUAAAUAUCUCUUAGUCCACAUGAUUUAUUUCUAUUAUUUUAUAUUUUCAUUCAACCAAUGAAUUAAUACCACAUCAAUUUGUAUAAGAUAAGUUUGUACAAGAGUUUGUGGUUGUAUCAUCACUCUUUAUAAUAUGCAUGAAGAAGUCAUAAGUUGUCCUCUCUCCACUCAUUUGAAAAAAAAAAAAAAAUCUACUAUCUAAUUAUAAGUUGACUCGAAUAACAUGUAGAGGUAGAGACACGGAUUCAAAGAGAAACUUUUAUUUAAUUAUAAUUUAUCGUUAACGAUUGUAAUUUAUUUUAUGGACAUUUAAAUAAUAAAAAAAGUAAAAUUGAGUUUAAUGGGUUCAAAUAAUCUCAACUCCUUUAUUAUAUUAUAGGUGGUCUCUUUUAUUUUAAAAAGAGGUUAAUAAUAAAGGAGUCCUGCUCUUACAACCGAAUUUAUAAUUCAAGCACCUAAAUCAGAUACUAGAAAAUAUGAGAAAUGCUCAACAAGCGGGUAGCUCAAUCAACUGAGUCUGAGGUGUGCCGAUAUUGAAGACACACAAGUUUUCAUCUUCAUUCUUCACCAAAUUACUUUCAAUUGCAUAUGCAAAAGGAAUAAUAUGGACUUCUAAAAAGAAUUUCUUGACCAUCUCAUGCCGUCGUCAGGGCUCUUUGCACUGUUGAUGAUGUUUAAGAGCUUCUGCACUGAGAACUCUUCGAUGAAAAACUUGCCCUCUGGCUCUGGAACGUUAAAUCUCUAAAAGAUCACUAUCCAGUAUCCACAUGCAACAGAAUGCAUGUAAACUGGAUCGUUUUAUUUCGACCAAACUCCACUGGCACAGUUUUUGUUAUUGCAAUACAUCAGUUCAGUUGACCAAUGAUUUGUCACUGGAACAAUACCAAAAAAAAAAACAUGUAUAUAUCAACAGGUAUAAAGUAAAUUAUAGUACUACUGCACUGCAGAGAGCACUACACCAAUGCAAUCAACAGGUAACCGAAUAUCAGCUUAACUCUUUCUGUACAGGGCCAAGAUGCAAGCAUAUUUGAUCAGGCACAUCCAUCAAUGGAAGAAAUGUCAGUACAAAACCAUUUACUGAUUUAUCUGAGAAUAUGUGACAAAGUGUUCAUACCCAUCCAGUUGCCACGAAACAGAUGUCAUUCAAGGGAAACUAGGAGUAAUGCGACAACAUGUUCCGAAUUUGCAUUAACCUUUUAGGGAAUUUGAAGAUUCUGUCGACGGUGUCUGUUUGUGUCUACUCUGUUUAUUUAAUCUGAAAAAUACGGCAGAAUAUAUAUAGAGAUACUCGCACAGAUACAUAUUUACAGUCAUAUUUAAUCACAACACAAGGGCAGAUAAAGAUCAUGCUACAGAUACUUGUAGUAAUAGAAUCCCUGCAUAAAAGAGAGUCCCAUUUUUUGAGAGGAUCAUAAACACUCGUUACAUUUAUUCCUUGUAUCCACACCCCCCCACCAAAAAAAAAAAGAAUAAUCUUUGAAUGAGAUAGAACAACAUCGAUAACUUCACUGAAAACCAGUUAAGCAUAUGAAGCCCUUGAGUUGAUUGCAUUCAAUAGGCCAACGAAAAAGGAUUACACGAGUGGUAGUGUCCUAUGUUCCAAAGCUUGGGAAGUGAUCAAGAAGCAUCAAUUGCUUCGGUAUCCAAAAUGCAAAGCAAGGAUCUUACGCUGAUUAAGGGCAGCAUUUGAUGCUCGAUAAGAGUGCCAACUACUACCCAGGCGAUUGUCCCUCCCAAUGGAUCCUGACCUGGCAGUGGGCCACCGGCACUUGAAUCGGCCACAAUGGCAACAUCCCUUUCAGGGUAACAGUCCCAAUGGGCCCUUACAACUUGAGAUUCAACUGAUCAUACCUCUAUCACUAGAGUUCGGCCCACCGAAUUGACCUCAUAAGCAACCAUCGAAGAAUUGUCUAUCUACCUCAUUCUAGUUCCGCGCUAAAAUGAUAGGAAAUAAGCUAAUAUCUAUGCCUAGUAGUUGAAAAAGGUAAAAUAGUUCUGGAGUUUUUAGUUUUACUACAGUAUAAUUCUACACCCACCUGGUUGCAACUUGCAAGACAUUUUGGAAUUGAGAGAAUGCCAGAGGCAUUAAUGAGAAGGAUUAAAGAGCAAUAGGAAAAUGUUUAACGCUAAAGAUCUCAUAACAGCUUUUCCAAACUCAUUUAAUUUCUCGGGCUCGUCCCCCUAUUUCUCUCCCAUUAUUUUGGCUAAUAAAUGGAUCAUAAACUGAAACUCUUUAAAGAAGAAAAUUCAUUAGGCUAGGAAGAAAAGCCUUGAGAGAUAAAAUUGAAUGAUGAUACAAGUUACAGGCUAAAACAUGAUUACAAAAAUCUUUUGGAAAAAAAAGUAAGACAAGUUCCUUUUGAUCUGGAUAAAAAACGCAAAAGACGGCAGCACAUCGUGGGAGAAUGUAACCUCUCUGUAUAGACGACUUGUCGUAAAACGAUGACGCUAGUCGUUUGUAUUUUUCGUUGUUUGUUUUAGUAAUCAAAAUGCCAAAUGCCGAGUUCUUCGGCCUUAAAUGGGUCCGAGUACUUUUAACGUCUUUGUCAUUAUUUUUAAUUUUAGGAAGCUUUAAAUUUUAACUAGAUACUUUACGAUAUUAUUUCUAUAAUUGUUUGUGAUAUGAUUUAAAAUUUCACCCACAAAAUUUAUUUUCACACUCGCUUUCUCAAUAAACAAAUCGUUAAAACUUAAAAAUAAAAAUUUUACGCUACGCACCUCUGUAAACGCCAAAAGUACCCUAACUUUUACACCCGCUAUUCUCAUCUUCUUCGUUUUCACUUUUCAAUUUUGUUUUUUCAAACAUUGGUUCAAAACUGCAAAUUGACAUCAUUCAUUUUGAUCUCCCUAAUAGCUAUAAACAUGAUAAGGUUACUUACAUCAUUCUUAUGAAAUGGAGGAUCUCUUAGAAAAAUAAAUAAAUAAUUUUCUUUCUAAGAAUAGUCCUCUGCAAUUGGUUUCGCGCGCUCAAUUUAAAAAGCUAUGACAAUCAUGAGUAUUGUAUUGAAAAUGGAGGGCAACCUACUGCACACGACCAAUAUUUUCACCUCCUCCAUUGGUCAAGAGUUUAAUUAUUUACCUUUCUUAUUCUUAAACUUUUUUUUUAAAGUUUCUUAUGCUUGGAACAAUUUAAUUGACAUCAGGAUCAUUUUAUAAUCUAAUUUUUCUCUUGAGUAAACUCACUCGAGUAAUUAGUGGUUAAUAAAUUAAACAAUAAAAGUGAUUAAACCAUAAUCAUACACUAAUACUAAAAGACAGGUGGAAUAAGAUUUUUAAAAAUUCAGGAGAGUUUAGAUUAAAAGAUGAUCCUCUAUAUUGAUAAGAGAAAGAAAAUGAAGAGAAUUGCAAUUUACUAUAAAUAGAUGUAAAAAAGUAAUUACGUUUCUAAAUAAUUGUGCCUUGUACUUAUCAAUAAUUUCUUUAUAUAGAAUUUUGUAAUAUAAUAUUUUAUAAAUAAUUAAGCUUAAAAAGUAUUUUAAUGGGUUGAAAUAAUCAGCAUCAUGAUAAUUUUCUUCCAAUGUUUGUCAUCUUUUUUUUUUAGAAUUAAAUGUUUGUCAUCUUAUUAUUAUCAAAGGAUGGGGAUUGAAUAAUCUCGUGGAGUUGUCAAGAUCAACGGGUUUUAUUAACAAACAUAAAUUAGUAACUUGUAACCAACAACUUAAAAUAUGAAAAUAGUAGUGAAUUUAAUAAAAUAUUGCGUUCGUCCUGUAAAUUACCUAAAAAGGUGUUUUUGUCGAGCCUAUUCGGAGUCAAUAUCACAAAUUGACCCAUCACAACUGCGGGUGAUAAUUCAUGUCAUCCAAGAUUGUUGAAAUUAAACUAAUAUAAAUACCACUCAUAAAUUAAUAAUUUAAAAAAUUAAAAUGAAUUUAUAUCAUUUUAUUAAACGUGUUAAAUCGUGUUUACUUAUUUAAUACAUUUUAUUAAAAAAAAAAAAAAAGAGGAGUUAGAUAAUAAUUCGAAAUACGAAAAAUAUGUCAACAUUAUUCUUAAUUAAAUUAUAAAUAAGUUGACACACGACACAUAUACUUGUUCGUAUCGUAAACAUAUUCAUGAGUUGAAGUCUCCUUAACAUUAAAACAAUUAUUAUUCAUGUUAAUUUUUGUCCACCUAAUAACACAUUAAAUGAAAUUCAUGUCGGGAUUGAUGACCAUGUUGCCAGUCCUAUCAUAACGUUGCAGAAAAAUCCUUUAAUCACCAUUGUAAUUGAUGCGACAACUUGCACUUAAAAUUUUAUGACCAGGCAUCAAGACUACAAAUGAUCGUCAUGCACAUGUUUUUUAAGAUUACGAUGAUAGCAGAGAGAAUAUAGUGAUGAAGCUUUUAUGAACGUCAUCAACUAAUUCCAUUGCUUUCUUUUCAAAAUUCAUUAAAUACGGUGCCUCCCAAAUCCUCCAAUUGCACCCAGAUUUCCUUCGUGUGUAUAAUGACUCUCAUCCCAUAAAUCAGGGAAGGGCAAAAAAAAAAAAAAAAACCAAAACUGAUGAGUAGAACUUUAGACUGUUCCUUUUUUUUUCUCCAUUGAAGUGACUUGAAUUGUAUUGAUGUGAAAAUUUCAUUAAAGUUGAUGGAUUUGACAGAACUUAGGGUCACUGUUUCCUGAUCCGUAGAAUUUGCUUCAAUUACCCAAGAAGGGAUAAAGAUUCCAAAGCCGUAAUGUCAGCAGUUGAAAUGUGUUAGCAGGAAAAAAUGAAGUCAAAUAGUUUAGUUGCAUUGAUAGCUCCAGCAUAUGAAAUCUGAAUAGAGAAAAAGUUAUUAAACUAUGGUGCUAAUAAUUUGAGUUGAUUUUGGAUUACACCCUCAAAAUAUGAUAAUUUUUCAAAUAUUUGUCAAAUUAUUAUAAAUUUAAACUUACCAUCUAUUUUUAUUAAAAGUCAAAAAAAAUUAUUAAAUAGUCCUUACUUUUUCCUUAUUUUUUAAAUAAAAAUAAGAGUAAGUAAAAAUUUACAAUAGUUUAAGAAAUAUUCUAAAGAUUAUCAUUUCAUGAUGAUAAUUCAAAAUUUACUCUAAUAAUUUGGAAUUAUUAGAUGUUGACUAGAGCGAGCUUCUUUUAACAGAUACUGAGUUUAAGUUUAUGAAAAAUGUUUUUGAAAAAGUAAAGAAUAUUGUAUUUGUUCAUAUGGGUUUCCAUUGAAAUGGAGUAAAAGAUCUUCUCAACUUACAUGGUGAAAAAAAUGAUUGAUGAUUUCUUUAACUAAAUGCUAAUUUUACACUAUACAUAUAUUAUCACAGGAAAAAAAUGGGUUUAUGAAAAAUGUUUUUGAAAAAGUAAAGAAUAUUGUAUUUGUUUAUAUGGGUUUCCAUUGAAAUAGAGUAAAAGAUCUUCUCAACUUACAUGGUGAAAAAAAUGAUUGAUAAUUUCUUUAACUAAAUGCUAAUUCUACACUGUACAUAUAUUAUCACAGGAAAAAAUUCAAUUCAUCCCUGGUAUAUUUAAAUUUAUCCUUAGAUAAUAUGAUAAUCUUCAGUUUAUCUCUCAAAGUGUGAAAACUUCAAUUUAUUCUCAUUUCCAUUAAGAAGAUGAGUUAGACUAUUGACACCCCUUCAUUAAUCUCAUAAAACUCCUGUUAUAUAACAAUUACAUUUUAAGGACAAAUAUAAAUAGAAUUAAACCAUUUAUAUUUUCUUUCUCUCCUCAAUUUUAUUUUGCUUGCACAAUAUAAAUUUUUUUAUUAUCAUUAAAAUUAUUUGAAUUUGAGAAGUAAUCCUCUAAGCCAAAGCAAAAUUUUUGUAAUGAACAUGACAACUUAAUUAAGAUACAACAUAGUAGAAAAAUAAAAUAAAUAAAAUUGUAUCCCAUCGCAACUAAUUUUUUAAGGAUUCUCAAACUAAUUGUUGAACCCAAUGAACCCAAAAUUUAUAUGUAUGAUAAAAUUGUAUUACACCCAUAAAAUACUCAUUAUUUUCUAAGUAUAAUGUUUUUCUUACUUUUCUUUUAUAUUUUUUUUUAGAAAUUAAAUAAUAAAGAAGGUUUGAAGAGAGAAAUAUAAAUGUUAAGACUGAAAAGAGUGAGAAAAUUAUAAGAAACUGAAAAAUUCAUAAAUGAAAAGAGUGGUCAUUUAGAAAGAAGGGUAUUUUUGGUAUUAAAUGGAAUAUAAUUGAAAAAGGGGUUUCAAUAGAAUUUUGGAGGGUAUUAAUAGUCCAACUCUAACAAGAUAAGGAAAAUGAAGGGCAUGUUGAUGAAUUUAUUUUUUUUUACCAUUUUUUAAAUAAAUGAGGUAAAUUAAUAUUUUCACAUUUUUCAGAAUAAAUUAAAAAUUAUCAUUCUCAGUAGGAAUAAAUUGAACUUUAUCUACCAUGUUGAUGUAAGCUAAUUAUAAGUGAACAACUUACUGCUGAUGAAUUAAGUACAAGCUAUGGUCAUAUGACUCAUAUGUAUAGUUGUUUACUUUUUAAGUCUUCGAUUUUUUUAAAUAUUAUAACAUAUUUAUCUUAUGAAUAUUAUGUAUGUAUAUGAACUAUUCAUUAAAAUUAUCUUAGAGUAUGGUGUGUAUUCAAGAUUCUCUGACGAAGAUAAUGAUAAUAUAUGAUUUACAAAUGAUAAAUGAGAUAAAAUUUGGAAUUUAUUUAUUUACUUUUUUAUCUCUAGUGAAGUUCAAAGAGAUUGCAGCUAUUGGUAUCAAAUCAGUUCAUUCUAAGUGACUGUUUGAUAUGAUUUAUUUAAGAGCCAUAAGUGCUUAUUUAAUCCCAUAAGCACUUUUUAAAAAUUUUUAUGGUGUUUGGUUAUUUUUUUAGUAGAGUUUUUUUAGCUUAAAUAAGUUAAUUUACUUUUACUAGCAAAAGCCCAAAAUUUGAGCUUUUGGGAGUAGAGGUUAGAGAGCUUUUCCAAAAAAUAUAUAAUAUAAAAAAUAUCCGUAACAUAUUUCAUUAAUUACAUAAUACCUUUUGUAUAAAACCUACCCAACAAAAAUUGUUGCCGCCAUAUAAACAUAUUGCUGCCGCCACUUCACUUUAUCUCUUUUUGUUUUUUUUUUUUAAAUAACCAGCACUUUAAUUUUGCAAUCUCUAAUACAUAACCAACACUUGAGAGAGUAAUCAUAGUCAUAGCCAACGUUUUUGGUGAGGAGAAUGUCAGGUAAUACGACACUUCUCAUGUUCCAUUAACAUUUCACUUAUAUUAUUGAUUAUCAUUUUAAUUUGGAUAGUAUUAUUUAUUUAGGAGAAUAUAUCAAUUAUGAAAUUUUUAAUUUUGAAAAUUAAAAAAAGAUUGAACUGAUUUUUUCUUAUUAAUUGAUAGCUUGGAUGCAUUUUGUUACAUGUUAAAUAAUUAUGAAUACAUAUCCUUUUUGGUAAUUUAAUUACACAAAAGCACUUUUAAUUUUACACAACCAAACUGUUUAAUGGUUCAAAAGUACUUUUUUAAUUGACAACCAAACACCCAAUGACUUUUUGUCCAAAAGUUCUAUUGGUAUAAGCACUACUGCUAUAAGCUCUAUUUAAUAAGUUGUACCAAACAAAGCCUAAAUAAAAAGUACAAUUACUAGAAAGAGAGAACAAUUUCAAUUUGGGUAUUGUGUUGACGUAAGUUAAUUAUCAUCUAACUUAAAAAUGUCAUUAAAAUUUUCAUCAAUUUUGAUUUGAUUAAAAUAUUCAGCUGUAGAGAUAGCAGGAAACAAAUCUAUCCAAUGCAUGCACACUCAACUGCAAAAAAAAAAAUAAUGGCCCUUCACGUGAUAAAAUGACAAAAUCUUGAUCAGUUGAGACUUGAUCCAUCAUAAUUAGCGGUGAAUUAAGAAGAGAAGCCAAUGAUUAGAGAUAAGAUUGAAUGGACACAUAAUAAUGCUUUUCAUGUCCUCUUUAAUUUUGGUAUCAAACUACUUAGAAAUGUCAUAAAAUCUUAUAAGAGAGGGUAGAAUAGUAUAUUAAUAAAAAAAAUUAACUUUUCAUACUUACUUUUAGUGGGAGAGAUGAAACAAGUGAUUAAAAAUCUAAUAUAGUUAUAAGUGAUAAAUAUGACAUUUGUUAGAAAUGAAACAUGCAUUCUCUUUUACCUAAUAAGUAAUUUAUUAAUUUAUUAAAGUAAUUGUUGAACUAAAAUAUAUGCAAAAUUAUAUUUGAUUGUGUAUUUAUAUAUACACAGAUAGAAUAAUUUUCCAAUGAGAGAUCCUUUUAAGAUACUAGAGUAAGAGAUAAGUUAAAAAAUAAAAAAAAUACAUACUUCAAUGCACUAUAGGACAAAAUAUACUACUAUGUGUUUUAUUUAUCUUCAAUUUAUUCCUUAUUUUAAUAACUUAAGAGAUUCUUAUUAGAUUAUGACUAUAUAUACACACGUUGAUAGAGUAUUAAUCUAAUUUAAAAUCCUGAAUGGAAACGUUUCUUCACAUACAUACAUACAUAGAUAAAUAGAUACAUACAUACAUAUAUAUAUAUAUAUAUAUAUAUAUAUAUAUACACAUUAAUGCAAAAACAAUCCCCCAAUGCCUAAGACUUCAAGAAAUAAACAAAGACUGAAUGGAUGGGAUAAUAACAAAGCUGAGGAACCCAAGGCUUGCAAUUGUUUUGCUUUUGUGUCUCUCUCCCAUCUCUCUCCUGUGCACAUCCCUAGAGAAGAUUGAUGAGAAAGGUCAAGCUUUUUCUAUUUUUUUCGAUCUCUUUUUUCAUUUUCUUUCCCCUAUUAUAAUAGUCGUUUAUCACCUUCUCUCUAUUUCUUUGCAUCAAAGCAAUUAAACUUGAGGGGAUUUUUUUUCCCCUGAGGGGUAAGGUAAUUUUGAGAAUACCUCUAUGAUGAUGACCCUAACUCCCUAAGAUAGAGGGUGCGUAGGGCUUUUGAAAAUAUUAAAUUAUGUUCCACUUGAAAAGAAGAAAGGGCAAGUCCCAUCCUAAAUCAAUCACUUUCUCUCUGAGCUUUCCAGUCAUGUCCGAUGGAUGUACUUGGUUUUAACUGUUGAAACCUUCUGUUUCUCAGCUUUCUGUCCCAUCCACCAAUAUUCCAAAAGAGAAUGUGGGACUCAUUUCUUCUGCUCCCAAUCAACCAACACUCGUCUUUUUAUUUGUUUUUCUUUUUUUAAACUACACUUUUCUCCUAAUUAAUAUAAUGUACUGACUCUUCCGGUAAAUAACAAGAACUAUAAAAAUAAAAAGUAGAUAAGAAAAACUCUCACCUAGGUAAGAAAAUCAAACCAGAAUGACAAGGUUUAUAGCAUGACCUUGAGUGCAAUAGCACCCCAACAACUUACAUAAAAAUAUAUAUAUAAUCUCUAUAUUUUUAAGUGGGAAAUGAAGUUUUUUUUUUUUUUUUCUUUUGUUGCUUUGCUUAAUUGCUUCAAGGUCUUGUCAUAAACCCCUCUUGGUUUCUCCAAAUGAAGUGUUGCUGCUGCUGCUAUUGUUAUUGUUGUUGUCCCCUGACCAAUCAAAGAUAUUAAAUGGAUCCAAAACUCUGGUUCCUUUAUUCUCGUGAUCUCCAGUACUGAAUCCUUGGCUGAACAAAAGAUUAAGAGGGUCAGCUUCAAUUUCUCCCAAAUCAGCAAAGAAGUCCUCAUGAGAUUGGUUAGAGUCAGGCAAUGCAGGCUUGUAUAUCUCAUUUGAAUUAGAAAACCCUUCACUGAAUUCAUCAAGAUCAGCACCUUCCAUUUGAUCAUCAUCGAUUGGCUUCUCAAUCUCCUCAAUCUCCUCCUUAACAGAAGUACUUGAGCUUGGUGCAGCAUUAAAAUUAUUAUUACUAGGAGACAAAGUAGUAGUGUCAUUGCUGCUGUCUUUCACAUUUUCCUUUGUGUUACUAUUAUUUGUAGUUGUGUUUUGAGGUGGCUGAUGAGAGCUUGGUGAGACUGAGCCCUUUGCAGCAGCAUUAGCUUUUGAUGGCUGAGACCUUGUUGAGCCAGCUAGAGCAUUUCUUUGUGUUGGCCAUGGAUGGUUAUGCUCUGAGGUGUAAGUAAUCACCAGCAUGUUUGGAUCUGUCCGGCUCCUCUCCACUUGUUUCCUUGCUGAGCAACCUUUGGAGCUACUGCAUCUGUAGUAGCCCCUGAAUUUUUGUAUUUCAAAACAUCAACAAAAUAAAAUAUUAUUAAGUAUAAUCAUUCUAUCAGAUACUAAAAAUUUAUAGUUGAUAAUUACACGAGUCCUUUUCUAAUGUGAAUAGCCAUAUUUUUUUUAACUUUUACAAUAUUGUAAAAUAAUUUUCAGCAAUUUACAAUAUCAUAAAACCAUAAAUUUAAACUAAAAAAGAGAGAGAGAGUAUGUUCAUAGCUGAAGAUGAUUAAUUACUACUUGAGCAUAUGAUGAAUUAAGAAAGAAACAUAACUAGUUUAGCAUCAAAUUAAAGUUUGUCAGAAAAAGUAAAAAAGAGAGAAGAUUUAUCAGUUAUAUAAUUACCGAUCAUGCAUAUUAGGUACUUUAGGUUUAUUCUGUAACAAGAAAAUAAAAACCUAAAGCUAAAAGGAUAUUUGUUUUGUUACCUUGGGUAAGGCGAACCUUUGAUGGGUUUCUGUCCGUACUUUCUCCAUGCCCAUAAAUCAGAAGGAACAACUUCUCCACUGGACCUGCUGUUUGCUGCUGCCGGUGCCGGAAUACAAACCACCUUCUUCGCCUGGCUCUUCCUGUGUUAUAAUAACAGUAUAAAAUAACUCUGUAAAUAAUUGGAACAUUCGACCAUGUAUGUUUCUUCAAUUUUCUCACAAACAGAAAUUAAUUUCAGAAAAAUAACAAUAACAGUAAUAACAUCAGCAUGAGGAUGCAUGAGGCAUAUAUUCAUCACCUUAUCACUUUAAUUUUUAGCCGAAGUUCUCUAUAUUUUUCUCUUGAAGAAAGAGGAAAGGUUGGCAUAUUUGGAAGAACAAAUGGACCAAUACAUGGUUAUCUUUCCAGGCUAGUUAGAGAAGAAAAAGGAAAAGUAUUUUCUGAAAACAACAUGAAAGCAAAGUAUGUGAAUCUUAUUGUGACAACAGUUAGAUUACCUUUUUCAGGUUGAUAAAAACACAUCAUCAAGAUAGAUAUAUUAUUCACUUUUGGUGUUCAAAUUUUGACUAGGAGAGCAAUCUCACCUGAAAUCACACCACGCCCCCUCUCUAACAACUGUUCUGGUUCUUAAUACCAAACCCUAAUUGCUGCAGAUCCUCAUAUAUACAUGAUUUUAUGAAAAUACAAUAAAUUUCAUUAUUUCUCUAAAUACAGCCGGCAUCAUAGCAACAUUUAAUAAGCCCCCCGGGUCAAGUAAUACUUUAAUAAUAAAUAAAUUAAUAAUAAUAAUAAUCCAGUUUGUUUUUAGUUAAUUCAUGCAAGCAACAGGUGAAAAAGAAAUUAAAUAAUAAAUCUGACCUUCUCUUAAUACCCAGAUUCCUCGGAGAUGAGAUCUGAGCAGGGCCGGUGUUGUCAACUAAACAACUUUUUGAGGUGCUGUUAGCAUUAAUCAUGUCGCUUGCAACCACAACAGGCGCCUUAAUUCCCCUCGGUGACGCGGCAGCGGCAGCGGCAGCGGCUAUCACAGGUGAUUCACAUGGCGAUACGGCAGGCUGCUGCUUAGGACUUUGUGAUGAUGGUGAGAUCUGAAUCCGCGAAAAUAUGUUGCAAGGACUCUUCAAUUCAUCUUCAUGAAAAAGUCCUCUCUGAUGAUGAUGACAACGACCAAUAUUAAUAUUAGAAGCCGCUGUUGCUGCUUCAUGAUCAACAACUCUAUCUGCUGGUGGUAGUGGUGGUGGAGCGUAAUAGCCUGAUGAGUUGGGUAUGUUCAGCUCGUGAAGCAGCGGAUCUCGCGUGUUAGAGAAUGGAUCACCAAAAAGAUUCUCUCUGUUAUCAUCAAUUGAUGAACAAAAGCUUAGUGGAUCCGAAGGAAACUGCCAGGUGGGCAAGGGGUUAUUAAGAUGAUCAGAGGCCGAAACAACAGACGCUGAUGAUGAAGAAGCUGAAACUGAAGCUGAAUUAUUACUACCAAUUUGUCGACCGCCGGCUCGAAUAAUAUCGGUCAAAUCCCCUUGAUAAUUCUCCAUUUCUACCCCAAAGAAGCUGCACAUACUAGUGAUGAUCAGACAACAAGUGAUGAGAGUCAAUACUCAAUAGGGCUUUCAUCUAUUUAGCUACUCUAGCUGGCUGCAGGCUAUAACUAGUAGCUAGCUAGCUAGCUUGUGCUUUUGUGAAGCACAUAAAUAGCAAGGCUUAAAAAAUAACAUGCAGAUAAUUAGUAGGCGGAAUUAGAAUUCUUCUGGGGAGAUGGGGUCUUGGUUAUUAGGAAGCAAGAAAACAAAGAAACAGGUUUUUGAAGAUUGAAACAAAGCUGCUGUUGUUGUUGUUGUUAAAGAUAAAUGGUGUUUGAGAGAUAGAGAGAGAGAGAGUCGCUGACUUUUCAUACAAAACAGCUCUUCUCAAUACGCAACCAGAUUGAGAGAGAAAGAGACAGAGUGAGGAUUUAAUUGUUUAAACUAAAAUUAAUGGGGUUUUUUAUUUUAAUUUUAGCUGCUCGAUUAAUUUGAUUUAAUUAUUUCAUAAUCAUAUAACAUCCAAAUGGUCAAAUACCUACAACUGCUUAGUUUGUUUAGUUGUAGAGUUAAAAAAGACUUUGGCUAAAAGUCUUUUUGUUUUGUUUCCUUCCAUUUUUAUUUUUUAAUCAAAAACCAAGCGAUGGGAAAGUAAAGAGGCGGCAGGCAGCCGCAUUUCUCGGAAACGUUUCUGGUUAGAACCCCGUUUCGAAAAUGACCCGUUUCUUUUGGGAAGCCUGCGCACCUCACAAUGUGAUAUGCACUUUUGUUAAAUUUUAUUCAACUAGCUUGCAAGAUAGAAAUAAUACCACCCCCCACAAUCACAAUCCCACCAAAGGAAAUAUUCACAACAAUUAUUCAAUUUGAAAUUGUACUUUUGAUUGCAUAAUUUUGUGAAAAUUCAUAUUAUGAAUGUCCAUUGAUUGAUUAUUAGUUAAACAACUAGUCGGUGUCCUGAUUUUUUAUUCAUCGUUCAAUUUUUAUCCAAAAACCAGUUUAAAAAUAUAAGAAAAGCUAGCCUCCCUACACAAACAACCAGUCAAAAGCAUUGCAAAUUGUAACUCAUCGGUGGAAAUAUACAUUAUCAAUUUGGUUCAAUUAUGGUCCGAACAUAAUGCAAUGGCAUUGAUAUAAUGAAAGAAUGGGACAUCUAUAACAAUGUCCUCACAAUAAUCAAAUAGAUUAAUUAAUAGAAAAUAUUUGAACGAAAAAAAAAAUCAAACACCAACACUUACAGAUAUUAUUAGACUCUAUAAAUGUUGUAAUAGGCUCUCUUUUUAAUAUUUUCAUCCCCUCAUUUACAUUCCUAUACAUGGAAGAAAAACAAACAAUUACAAACUUUUAUGUUAUGUGCACAAAGUCCAAAAUGUUUUCUGACUGUCAUUAUUAAUUUGUUAAAUUAAAAAAAAAAAAAAAGGAAUAAGAAAAGCAAGAGGACAAGGCUAUACACUGAAAAAUUAAGAUUACAAUAUAUGUAUAUGGAAAUAAAUGAGAAAUAAUGAGUACCUUUGCACGAUGCAGUCUUGAAUGUUUGAAAAGACUAGAGUCCAGAAAAGUGAAACCAUUUUUUGGAGCAUUCUGUAAGGAGAAGCGAAAGUGAUUAUGAAGUAAAAGAUCCAGUCGCUGAUUUAUACUUAAUAUUCAAGACAUUUUUAGAAUAAUUAACUAGAAACGAUUAGGAUGUCAAUAUUUAUGCAAAUGUUUAUUGGAAAUGAGUAUCUUGCAAGGAUAAGGAAGAGGGAUGUGGAAUGGGAAAGUAAGAUUUGUACAGAGAUUUUUGGAAUCACAUGCAUUUCCAAUUUUUCUUUCCAUUUUCAGAGAACCAUUGUGUCAUAAAAGUCCUUUGAUUUUCAAAACUAAGAUUUUUUUUUUCUAUUUGAUUUUUCAAGUAUUAUAUAGUAUCGGAAAAAAGUAUAUAUAUCGUAUAAUAAGAAAUUAAUGUAAUUAGAAGAUCAAUUUUUUUUGGUUCUUAGGCAUAAGUGAAGAAAGGGGCAUUAAAAAAUUUCAUAGAAGCGUCAUUUUGGCAGAAAUUUCAACAUGUAAAGGCAAGUGGGUAAAAAAAAAGGACGAAAAAUAGUUACAACAGCUACUUAUUACGGAAAAAAAGGUUUCCCCCCAACAAAUCUCUUUUCCUUGAAGUACAAAGAGACUUACAAGUAUGCUGUGUACUUGGGGAAAAGAUCUAAAAUGAUAUUUAAAAUUAAAAGAUCUAUAAUCCUUUAAUCAACAAACAAAUUUUUAGGAUGAAUUCUAGACUUAUUCUAGCACAUAUACGUUAUAUUUCUAUAGUUAUUCUCUCAUAUGGAUGUUAUUAGAAGACAAAUUCAAUGCACAAAAAGGAAAAAAUACGAAGCACAACUUUCAAUACAAUGAGGGGAAGCACAACUUUCAAUACAAUGAGGGGCACAAAAAGGAAAAAAUACGAAGCACAACUUUCAAUACAAUGAGGGGUUUUUUUUUUUUUCCCAAUCUUUUAGCGGUGUACUCCCUUUUCAAAAUAAGUACAUCUUCACAAAAGAAUUAUUUUAUAUCCUUUAAUUUGUGUUUCUUCAUUGACAUCAUUAUUGCAUAAAUUUUAAAAGAUGCACUUCUUACGAAUGUUAUAGCACGUAUAUACGAUGACAUAGUGAGUGAGAAUAGCCCCACUUAAAACUUUCUCAACGAUUAUUAACCUAAAAGAACAGUUGCUGGAAAUCCUACAACAACACAGCACUGGAUUGCUACGAUUGACUUAAGAAAGAGUUAACUUGAGUUGGCUUCUGGCUAUGGCAUGAGUUUGCUAUGGCAGAGAGAAGUUUGUCCUUGCCUGAUUUCAUUCUUUCCAGAAUCCACUUUAUUUCCCACUGCACUGUUCUUCCAACCUCUUGCCAUCAUGUGUUGAUCAUCCUUUUGUCUUCAAAUUUUACACACACACACACACACACAUUCAUAUGUGCGUGUGUGUGCGCGCAUAGAUUUGAUUUGAGGUGACCAUAUGAUGAUAAAGCUAUGUGCAAGCAAGUCACGAACAUGGACAAAUAAUUUGACAGCUUAACUUAGAAUGUUUAAUUUGGGGCUCAAAAGGGAUUUAUGGUACGUAACCUACAAAAAGGUGAUAAAGAUCGACUAAGAAGAAUAUAAACUAGGGUUAUAGCAUAUUAUGUCGGGAUGAUUAAGGACAAAGAUUGGUUUUAGAAAGUCUGAUUAAAUUAAUCAUGUAUAUAAAUUUUUAAGAUUUGAAGUUUUGUUCUUUUGUAAGGUUGAAAGGUUAGAUAAAGGUCAAAUAACAUAACAUAUACAUGCCUUUUCUUUUAGGCUUAAAGUCCAGCUCUUUUUUGAAAUCUGGUGGGUGUCAUGACCUGAACUGUUCAGUUCCAUUCAAUUCAAUUAAAAAUGAGUGCUCAAACAUGCAGAAUUAGAUAAAGGUCAUAACAUUGAUUAGACAUUUUUGAUGGCUUUCAAAAUUGAGGAGAGUUUCUUUUCCAAGUUGAGAAACGUUUCACAGACUACAGAUACAUAUAUACAAAACAAAAGAUGUGAAGUGUUCAUCAAAUGGGCCAAUGAUCAUCGAGAGAGUCGCCGACCUUUCAUGUUUGAUGAGACAUUUUAAGAAUCUACUAUUGCUAUGCUAACAACAUUUCUCUCUCUCUUUUAUCUCAAAGUGAUUCUCUCUCUCUCUCAAAAGUGCUCCUGGCUUUGGACUUCUUCAAAAGACCAUGGUUGCCAACUAAUACUAUCCACUCUACUCUCACUAAUUUACAACUGUUCUUCUGUUGCCAAUCUAGCUCAAAACACUUUGUUUAUUCUUCAGAGAUGACUGUCUCCCUCUCUCAUAUUUAUGAUGGAGCACUUUCUCCUCCUCAAAUUGAUAUUCUUAGAAGAAACUCGAGCCUAAUAAAUUCCCCUCAUGAAGUUGGAAUAAUGAAGAAUUAAAUGGUUCAAACGGCACCUACUUGCAUAGAUUUAUAUGCAUAUAGCCAGAUUUUAGCUUUUUGUUAAUUGAAUUAUGAUGAGCUAUACCUAUAAGGAGUUAAAAUAUUAAUAGCAAUAAAAUAAAUUCACCAACUUGGCUUACUGGUUGUCUCAAUUAUAUAAUUAAUAUCUUUCAAUUUGUCUCUUUCUAUCAAGAACUGACUCCCAUGAUAAACCAAUUUGUUAGGGUUUCUUAUUUCUUAACUGGGAUUUUUGUGGUCCAUGCUUUUGCUUCUUCUCACUUGAUCAGCCCUGACCAACAACAAACCCUAGUUUUUGUUUUUAAAUAUUUUGUUCAUUUUUUGUUUUCUGAAAACAGAUUUUGAUUGGCUUGGAGACAACACUUGCCCCACGUUCCUGCAUGACAGAGCCAGCCCAAUCACACGGCACCCACAAGAGAACAAAUUCAACUGGGAUUCUCUGAGCAAUGCAAUACUGUAUACACACAGUUUUUUUGUCUUUGUAUAUACAAGAAUCAUAUUCAUCACCACAGCAAGCUGCCAUGUGAAGCAGGCCAAUAAUUUACUCACUUAUUAUAUAAAUACAUUUAUUAUUAAUUUAAAUAAAAUCUUAUGUAUAUCCUCAUUAACAUGCCAGCCCUUUCUCGAUGCUGACGAUUGCCUACUACAUUAAUUAUAUUAAUAAAAAGUUCGGUGUUUUUUAAAAAAAAAUCCAAUUUAAAAAUAUGUAAGAUUAUAUUAUAUAUGAUCAUAUCAUCUUUAGUCCUGCCUGUGACAACGGUGUUGAUCAGCACGCGAGACACAUGCCUAAGCAUAAUACGUCUCCAGACGUCAGCCAUCUACCGGCAAACUCACCGGUUACGUGGAUCAAGACCGUCUAAAUAUUCUACAUGGACGGCUUGGAUUAAAAAUGCCACCUGUAUAUACUUUGUCCUUAAUUAAUUAAUUAUCACAUUCUCUAAUGCUGCCAUGUACAUUAUAUAGUACAUUAACCGUGUCAAAGUUGGAUGUCAUACAUACAAGAAUAUAAUAUUUUUGAAUCUCAAUUUAUAUUUUACGUAUAUGUGUUACUUAUUUAUUAGAUGAUGAAUUUCAUAACUAAUAAAAUUAUUAUUAAAUCAUCCAGUAAAUAAAUAGCACAUUAAUUACUAUACAAAUGACAUAAAGUAUUCAUAGAAAUAUUUAUAGGGUAGAGGCCCAAAAUUCAUAAAUUAUUUCAAGUGUUAGUUGUCAAACUUUAACUAGCUAGUAGUAAUCAAUGGAAGCUUCUUCCCCAUGUAUAUGUUAUCAAUUCUUAUUUUUGGGGGGAAUUUCGUAAUCUACUCAACCUUCUAUAUAUAUAUAUAUAACACUUAAGACAAAUAGUAAUAAUGGUGAUGAUGAUGAUAGUAUUAGUAUUAACUGUAUACACAUUGGGAACAUCAAAUCAUCAUCUCUACAUGAGAUUAAAAAAUAAGAUUCAUGGGGGUAACUAAACUCUUGAUCUUGGAUAGUGUGGCACAUGGUAGUUCGCCAUGUGAUAUAAAUGACUUUACUUCCAAUGAGAAGAACCCUAAAAUAUUUCCGCCUUUAUUUAGGGAAUCAUUUAGAGAUCCCAUAUGAAUAUGAUGACCUCUUUUAGUGCAGAGCAAGUUUUAAACAUUCAAAGCAAAAAAAAAAAAACCAUAGUCAUGGUUUCACAUCUCUUUUUCAGAGCUUUUUAAUUCUCUUUCACUUAGUUAUUAAUUUAUUUACUUAUAUUUUGGGUGUUGUCACAAUAUUUAUAGGAAAAAAUGGGAUGAAUUGAAGCUUCUUUGAAUUUCAAUCACUAAUUUCAGGACUGGGAUUUUUCAAACCGGGGAUAGAGGUCUUAAAUAUGCCACCAAAAUAAAAGCGUCUAAUCUGGGUUCUGUCAUAUAUACAACUUAAUUUAUACAAUAAGUACUUCUUAAAUACUGUGAUGUCUCGUUUUUACACAAAAGAAACUUGUAAAUGUACUUUCUAGUAUAUACAUAGUAGAAGCAAUAUUAGUGUCUGUAAGAACUUUAGUUUUAAUUGUUUUGUUAUUUAAUUAAAUCGAACCUCAACAUCUCCCUCCCACAGACUGAAUGCAGCCUUUUUUUUUUUUUUUCUUUGAAACAACAGUAAAUGCAACUUGCAACAUCAUGUUACCAGCAAUAAAUGUUAUUUCGGUUUUCAUAUAUAUGGGUCGUCACUAUGGCCACGAGCAUUAUCGAUCAUUAUAACUCUUGAAUAUCACCACUUGAUAACAUCAUUAAUAACCUAUUGAAGUGUUUCAAGUCAUCGUGUAGAUUCUUUUUUCAAAUAUUUAAAAAUUUCAUUAACAUAGACUAAACCUUUUUUAAUUCUAAUAUUAGUGCAAUUUGAACUUCAAAUCUCUUUUGUUAAUAUUAUAUUUUAAAAAAGAACAAAAUUCUUCUUUUGUUUGAUGAAACUAAUCGAAACCCUCCUAAUGUUUUAAAACACAUCCAAACACCCUGAAUGUGAAUUUUUCUUUUUUGGCUGAACUUACUGUUCUACCCAUGGUGGUUGUUUGAUGUUGAGAAUACGAAUAUAUUUAAUUAAUUGAAUAAUUAAAUACAAAAUUAUUAGAAAAAGUAAGGGAAUUUUCAUAAUUUUCCAAUUAAUUCCAAAUCUUUUAGAAUUAAUUAAAAAUUAAAUAAAAAACACAUAUACAUAUGUAUCUUUUUGUAGAAUAAUAAAUUGAGGUGUGUAUAUAUAUAUAUAUAUAUAAUUUAAUUUUUAAUUGAUUUUAAAAAAUUUUAAAAUUUAUUUAAAUUAUGACAAUUCCCUUUCUUUUUCCAUAAUUUUAAUUUAAUUUUUCAGUUAACUAUGAUUAAAAAAUUACUUGAUUAAUUAAAUAAUUAAAAAUAUUCAUAUUCUCAAGAUCAAACAACCAUCAAGGGUAAAAUAUAAGUUUAGUAAAAAAUUUGACACUUAGGAAGGGUUUUAUGUGUUUUAAAACAUCAAAGGGGUUUCGAUUAGUUUAUUCAAACAACAUGAGAUUUCACUCUUUCUGCAUACAUCUAUAAAUUUGCAUUCAAUUUUUCAAUUAAUUUUGAGAAAAAUUUUAGAAUUAGUUUGAAAAAUUAUGACAACUCCCUUACUUUUUUUUCCCAUAAUUUGUCAAUUAAUUAUGAACAAAAAUUUAUUCAAGUAAUUAAUUAGUUAAAAGUAUUCAUAUUCCUAAUAUUAAACAACCUCCAAGGAUAAAUAAUAAGAUUAACGGAAAAAAAUUGACACUUAAGGAAGUUUGGAUGUAUAUUAAAAUAUCAGCAGGAUUUCAAUUAACUUUGUCAAACAAUAAAAAGAUUUUACUCUUUUUCUUUGUUAUGUUUAAAUAUUUAACAUCUCAAAAAAAAUGUUUAAAUAUUUAAGAAGUAUGUUGCAUCCUUCUAAAACUCCUCAUCAAUUUUAUCCUUCUAUUAGCUAAUGUACACAAUCGUGGGUUCAGUUAUGUUGCAACUGUGGUAAGGUAUCACAGUUGCUUUCAGUCAUUGGAUCCAAUCAAUGCAACUGUGCAACUGUGGUAUGAUACCACAGUUGCAACAUAAUUUUGCCCUACAAUCGUAUAGAUAAUUAGCAAUUCUUUUUUUCUUUUUUGAAAGUCAUUUUUAGCAAUACAGAAAAAACACACACCAUUUCUUUUACUUUUCGCCCGCCCUCAAAUAUUUGCAUUUCGCAAGCAGAUCUGAUUGCAGAUCCCAAAGCGGUGGAAAACCUAGCACUGCAGACUGCAGCCCCACAAGAGUCUCUUUCUCAGCUAAAAUGAUGGGAGUUCUCUUUUCUUUUGUUUUUUUCCUAACCAUUAUUAUUCGACUUCCAUGCAAAAUAAAAAUAUAUUAACAAAUUAUUUUCAACAAAAAAAUAUCUAUAUAACAAAUUAAAGCUGAAAUAACAUGACCCUGCUCCGUGCAAUUUGAAGAGCGGCACUUAUACUGUUAUACAUACUACUACUCUACUCUAAUGAGGAUAUUCGGUUAGAAUCCUACUAAAAUAUAAAAAAAAAAUAAUUAAUAUUGUCUCUAAUUUUUAUUUUUUGUGUAUUUAUAUAUAUGUAGUUUUUUUUAUCUAUUAGUAACAUCCUUAUUUUUUUUAUUAGAAAAUUAUUUUAAAUAUAUUAUUAUUCUGUAAUGAGAAUAUUUUUAUUUUAAUGAAGUAAUGAUAUCAUUAAAAUAUAAAAAUAAAAAUAAAAUUCAAUAUAUUGAGACAAUUUUUUUAAUAUGUUAGCACAUUGAUUUUUUUUUUUGUCUGUUUGUGGCAUCCUCACUAUAUAUAUAUAUAUAUAUUCUCUUACUCUAAUGUGGGCACUCUCAUUUUUUUUUGUCAUGCAAAUAUGUUAUUAAGCCAUGUGAUUUAAUAGAAUAAGUGCAGACAUUUUAUUAAACCAUAUGAUUUAAUAGUGAAUCUACAUGAAAAGCCAAAGUGCAAAAGGGGUCUCUGCUGCUGCUGCUGGCUGAUAGUAACUAUUCGAAGUGUUGAUUGAGCUCAGUGUGCAUUGCAUUUUUCAAUGUCACUAAAUUCACUUCUGCAUAUGAGGGGUCAGUGCACGUCAUUUUCUCAUCAUUUGAGAGCUUCAAAAUCAUCAAAUGUCAUUUCAAUUUUCAUUUUAGUAGAUUUUGGUGUGUCUCACUGUGAGAAAAUAAAAAAAAAAAGAUAUCAAGUAAUGAUUUUAAAGGGUUUUUAGAAAGACUUUUAUUAUGAUCGAUUGGUGUAAUAAUUGUCCACUAUCUUAUGUUAUUAGUUAUUCCAAUCACGAUGAUGAUUUUGCAUGUAUUUUCAUUAUACAAAGACAAAUCUAUGAGAAUUUAAUUAUUUCUUUGAGUGAUCUUAAGUGGCACCGAAGAACCCUUUUUUUUAAAAUAAUAAUAAUAAAUAAAUAAUCUUUUUUUCAUCCAAAACCCUAACACUUACUGGGUUGGGCUUAGUUCAGCCCUAGAUACUCGUACUCCUAACACUUUUGCGGAUGCAUGAAUUGCAGAUCAAGAAGGCCGAAAUGGGCUGAGAGUCCAAUCCGAAGAUUUACUAGUUUUGAAAUGUGGGACCUAUAUGAAAAAAGUAAAUAUGAAAGGUACGUAAAUGUGGUUUUUCUACAAAGUGGGGAUCAAUUUGUUAUUACCCAGUAUUUGUCAUUUGACCGUCAUUCUCCCGCGAGGUGGAUUGGCGGAACAAAAAUUUCUGCGGGUGACGCUUUGCAGUUUGUUCAACUCAUAAUGUAAUGUAUCAAAGAUUGAUCACUUCAUCCCACAAAUGUUUAUCUACUUUCUCUGCAUUCAAAUGCAAAUCCAUACAUUCAAACUGUGAACACUUCACGAAUCAACUCGUGUCGUCCCACAAAACAGACACUGCUCUCGCAAGUCAUCUGGGUUCAAUCUUAGAGGCUUGUGCUGAUCAUUCAGUUCUUCAACAAGGCCGACAAGUGCAUUCCCAGUUCAUUCUAAAUGGAAUCAGUGACAAUGCGGCAUUGGGUGCAAAGAUACUGGGCAUGUAUGUUCUUUGCGGGGGCUUUAUUGACGCCGGCAACAUGUUUCCGCGUCUUGAUUUGGCAACCAGUUUGCCGUGGAAUCGGAUGAUUAGAGUUUUUGCUAAAAUGGGAUUGUUUCGUUUCGCUUUGUUGUUUUAUUUUAAGAUGUUGAGUUGCGGGAUUCGCCCUGAUAAUCACACUUUUCCCUCUGUAAUGAAGGCUUGUAGUGCUUUGGGUAAUCUGAGAUUUGGUAAGUUGGUUCAUGAUAUGAUUUGGUUAAUGGGCUGUGAGAUUGAUGUGUUUGUUGGGAGUUCUUUGGUUAAGCUUUACACUGAGAACCGCUGUAUUGACCAGGCACGUUACGUGUUUGAUAAAAUGUCGCAACGAGAUUGUGUUUUAUGGAAUGUGAUGCUAAAUGGUUAUGUUACAUGUGGGGAAUCAGAUAAUGCGACAAGGGCAUUUAAAGAAAUGAGAAUUAGUGAAACCAAACCAAAUUCUGUGACAUUUGCUUGUAUUUUAUCCGUUUGUGCCGUGGAAGCUAUGACUGAUUUUGGUACCCAAGUGCAUGGUGUUGUUGUAAGUGUUGGGUUGGAGUUUGACCCUCAGGUGGCAAAUUCGCUGUUGUCUAUGUAUUCGAAGAGUGGGCGAUUGUAUGAUGCACUCAAAUUGUUUGAAUUGAUGCCUCAGAUUAAUUUGGUGACCUGGAAUGGAAUGAUUGCAGGACAUGUACAAAAUGGGUUUAUGAAUGAGGCUUUGGACUUGUUUCGUAAGAUGAUACUUUCUGGUGUGAAACCAGAUGAGAUCACAUUUUCAAGUUUUCUUCCUUCAAUCUGUGAAGUUGCAAGUAUCAAACAAGGUAAGGAAAUUCAUGGCUAUAUAAUACGAAAUGGUGUGCCUUUGGAUGCAUUCUUGAAGAGUGCACUUAUUGACAUAUACUUCAAGUGCAGGGAUGUGAAGAUGGCUUGCAAAGUUUUUAAAGAGAACACUGCAGCUGAUGUAGUAAUGUUCACAGCUAUGAUUUCGGGGUAUGUGCUUAAUGGGAUUAGCCAUGAAGCUUUAGAAAAAUUUAGGUGGUUGAUUCAAGAAAAAAUCAUUCCAAAUACUGUGACCCUAUCAAGUAUAUUACCUGCUUGCGCUGAUUUGGCUGCUCUGAAACUGGGAAAAGAGUUGCAUUGUUACAUCCUGAAGAAUGGGCUUGAUGGGAAGUGUCAUGUGGGAAGUGCAAUUACAGACAUGUAUGCUAAGUGUGGAAGAUUGGAUCUUGCUUAUAAAAUAUUCAAAAGAAUGUCUGAAAAGGAUGUUGUUUGUUGGAACUCAAUGAUCACAAGAUAUUCUCAGAACGGCAAACCAGAGGAGGCCAUUGAUCUUUUUCAUCAAAUGGCGAUUGAAGGAGUGAAGCACGAUUGUAUGAGUUUAUCAGCUGCUCUUUCUGCUUGCGCAAACUUACAUGCACUGCAUUAUGGAAAAGAGAUUCAUAGUUUGAUGAUAAAAGAUUCCUGCCGCUCUGAUAAUAUUGCUGAGAGUGUACUGAUAGACUUGUAUGCUAAAUGUGGAAACUUGGAUUUUGCUCGUACUGUUUUUGACAUGAUGCAGAGGAAGCAGGAAGCUGCAUGGAAUAGCAUGAUUGCUGCUUAUGGAUGCCACGGCCAUCUGAAGGACUCUCUUGCUCUUUUCCAUGAAAUGUUAAAUAAUAAAAUCAAGCCAGAUCAUGUCACGUUUCUCGCUAUAAUAUCUGCUUGUGGCCAUGCUGGCCAAGUUGAAGCUGGAAUUCAUUACUUCCAUUGUAUGACUGAAGAAUAUGGAAUCCCAGCUCGCAUGGAGCACUAUGCAUGCAUGGUAGAUUUGUUUGGGCGUGCUGGUCGUUUGAAUAAGGCAUUAGAGACCAUAAACAGUAUGCCAUUUGCACCUGAUGCAGGUGUCUGGGGAACGUUGCUGGGAGCAUGUCGGGUCCAUGGCAAUGUUGAGCUAGCUGAAGUGGCUUCAAGUCAUCUGUUUGAUUUAGACCCACAAAACUCAGGCUACUAUGUGCUGCUUUCAAAUAUACAUGCUGAUGCUGGACAGUGGGGAAAUGUGAAUAAGAUACGACGUUUAAUGAAAGAAAGAGGAGUUCAGAAGAUACCCGGGUAUAGCUGGAUUGAGCUCAAUAACAUAACCCAUUUGUUUGUUGCUGCAGAUGAAAGUCAUUCAGAGUCUGCCCAGAUCUACUCUUUGUUGAACAUUCUUCUUCCAGAGCUGGAAAAGGAGGGUUACAUCCCUCAACCCUGCCUUUCAAUGCACCUGCAAGCCUUAGGUAUGUGAUUACCGGAGAAGGUUCGAUCUUUCCGACUGACAAGGAGCUCUGCACAUUCUUGUGAACUUACCAUAUUUUGUUAUUUAUAAACCGGUAAACACUAUAGGAAAAUUCAACUGAACCCAAUUAGAAUUUGACUUAAAAACACUUUGUAGGAUUUAUAUAAAUGCAAUGUGUAACACAUCUAUUUUGACAAAUAUCAAUAUAUGAGCCAUCAAAUUUUGAAGCUCUCGAGCUAUGUUUCCGGAAAGGAUAGUCUAAAAAAUUUGAGAAGAUAUUUGCACAAACAAAUAAUAUGAGAAAAGGAGAAAUAAAUUGAUUGAAGCAACUAGAGGAAUUGCUAUGAGAACCAGGAUAUGAACGAAAAGUAUUCGACUAUAUAUGCACAUUUGAUCUCUUCUUGAGUAAAAAUAUACAUGAGUGAUUGGUAGUUAAUAAAUAAAAAAAAAUUAAAUUCUACUCAUAUAUUAUUACUUAAAUACACAUGAGAUAAGAUCAUUAAAAGCUCACGAGGGAUCUUUAUCCGUUAAAAAUUCCUGCAAGUGACCAAAAUCAACGCUAAUUGGGCCAAGUGUUCGUCUGCCUGCGGGUUUUUAACUUACCCAGCUUUGGCCUUGCCUACGUUUGUAAACCAUGUAAAAUGGGGUGACUGUUCACAUAAAAGAACAGGCUUCCUGCACCACUACUUUGUUGAGAAAUGAAGAGUUGGGUCUUCUUAAAUUAAUGCCUAUUUUGUGGAUGAAAAAAGAUGUCUGCUGAGUAAGUAACAUCUCAUAAAAUCAUAUGAUCUUAUCCCAAAUUGGAAUUUUCUCCGGGAAAUUUAUAAAAUUAGCCAUAAAAUUUUUACGUUUUUCAACUUUAAUCCCCCAAAGUUUUUUCUAUCAUAACUAGCAAAGUUUUUUCUAUCCCCAAAUUGGAAUUUUCUCCGGGAAAUUUAUAAAAUUAGCCAUAAAAUUUUUACGUUUUUCAACUUUAAUCCCCCAAAGUUUUUUCUAUCAUAACUAGCCAAACACCUUAUGUUUGGACUACAUUACCCUCAUCACUUUCAUCAAAUUUACAAAGCCAUGCCACUUUUUCAAUUCCAGUACAAGUAAAUACGGAUCUUCUUCAACAACUUGACAAACCUUCAUCACUCUCAACAAACUUCAUCAUUCUCGAUAAAUCAAUUGCAUAAUUGAAUAUAUAAUCAUCAAUGGAAGAGCUUCUUAAAAUUAGUUUAUGCUCUUACACAAUGUAAACCUUUAAUCUAUUAAUUUUAUCAACUAAGUUCGAAAUUAAAGUGGGUUUUGUUACAAAUAUUGUUAUUUUUCAUUUAUAAAACAAUGUGAUUUGUUAAAGUACUAAAAAUCGGGCAAAAAAUGAAGUUCAGAACAAGUGAGACAUGCAAGUGGGACAGGUGCCUGUCUCACAUAAACGCACUGCAUUUAUGUGCGACAGGCACCUGUUCCACUGCUUGUCACACAUAAACUCAUACAUGAUUUUGGAUUUGAUUUGUCUCGUCGUAAGCUUCGAAAUGGUAUAUUAUACGCCUAAAACGGACAUAUAUAGCUCAAGUUAUGGCUUUCGAAACAUAUAUGAAAUUUAGUGAGACAGGCAAGUGGGACAGGUGCCUGUCGCACAUAAACGCACUGCAUUUAUGUGCGAUAGGCACCUGUCCCACUGCUUGUCGCACAUAAACCCACGGCGUUUACGGAAUACAUGAUUUUGGAUUUGAUUUGUCUCGUCGUAAGCUUCGAAACGGUAUAUUAUACGCCUAAAACGGACAUAUAUAGCUCAAGUUAUGGCUUUCGAAACAUAUAUGAAAUUUAGUGAGACAGGCAAGUGGGACAGGUGCCUGUCGCACAUAAACGCACUGUAUUUAUGUGCGAUAGGCACCUGUCCCACUGCUUGUAAUUAAAAAAUAAUAUUAAAAUUAGAUAUCCGGGUCCGGGUUCCGGAUGUCCGGGUUAACCUAAACCCGGACCCGGACCCGAAUAUAUCCGGGUUAAAAAAAUUAAUUCCGGACCCGGAUUUUUUUACAUUCCGGUACGGGUUCAACCCGGCCCGGAUUAUCCGGGUUCGUCCGGGUCCGGGUUAUUUUGCCAUCCCUAGUUUGUUAAGUUGUUGAGAAAGAUCUGUAUUUACUUAUACUGGAAUUGAAAAAGUGGCAUGGCUUUGUAAAUUUGAUGAAAGUGAUGAGGGUAAUGUAGUCCAAACAUAGGGUGUUUGGCUAGUUAUGAUAGAAAAAACUUUAGAGAACUAAAGUUGAAAAACACAAAAAUUUUAUGGUCAUUUUUAUAAAUUUCCUAUUUUCUCCAUCAUCGAUGACCAGAGAGUGGUACCAAUAAUAAUUAAAUAUGAUAAAAGUUUACCUGAUAGAAAGUUAAUUAUAGUCACUAUAAAUAUGCUAAAGUAUCCCCAGCUUGUUUUACUUUGAUCAAAUAUCUAAAUAAACAGAAACAGAUUAAAACAGGAAGUAUUAUUACAUGAAAAUUUAUUUUAAUUUAAUUUUUAAUAUUACAACAAACAAGCAUCACUUCUAAAAAGUAAAUACCCAUAUAUAUAUAUAUAUAUAUAUAUAUGGAUUUUGCUAUGUUACAUUGAAUGUACCAUACACAAUCAAUAAGAACCACACAAUUAUGUAGGUCCCACAAUUUAUGUGGUUCUUAUUGAUUGUGUAUAGUACAUUCAAUGUAACAUAGAGGCUCCCUAUAUAUAUAUAUAUAGUAUAGAGGUAGAUGGCCAGCUAUUUGAUUAACACGUAACUUAAACAUGAAGAUAUUUUUCCAAUAAAAGAAUUGAAAUGAUGGUGACUUGUUAGAGACGGUGGCACCGCAAACAUUGUAAUUGUAAGUAUGCUUAUAAAAGUUGAUAAGGACAAAAGGUCAAUAGCUGAAGUAAAGUCAAUCCUACAUGUCAUAUACCUUUUUUUUUUUCCCCAAGAUCAAUUGUGUCAUUCACUUUCGUAUUGAAACGAUAUGGAGAAAACGAAAAACACUUUUGGAAUUUUAUAAAAAGUUUAAAAUUAAACAGCCCCAUUUCUUAAUAGAAUUCCUUUAUAAGGUAACUUAUUAUAUGAAUGCUCAUCUUAGGAAAAAAUAAAUAAUAAAAAGAUUCCUAAGCUUGGCAACUGAAAUGCAUAUAUAUUACAACGCAAGGAUAUUAAUUAAUAUUUAGAUUUUUUUUUCAUGUAGGUCUUAUUUGAAAUGGAAGUACGGUAACUUUUAACAUGCAGCUGUUGUGAAAAAAAAAAAGCUCGUUUGUUGUGCUUGCGGCGACUUUUUCUGCGGCAUUUUUCUAUUUUGUGAAAGACCAUUAUACCCAGAUGAUCUUAGAGAUCGACUUAUCGUCAAAUAGGGUGGUUUGGUAAAUUGAUGGGAACUCAUUGACUUUGUAAUCGUAAGUGGCUUCGUAAAAGGAAUCUGAGGGGAACUUACGAGGGGAAAGGGGUUAAAGAAUAAAACAAGAGCGAGACUGAGAUCAUGUGAGUCCUACUUUGGCUAUUAUGAAUGACUGCAUCACUUCUAAAAAGUAAAUACCCAUAUAUAUAUAUAUAUAUAUAUAUAUGGAUUUUGCUAUGUUACAUUGAAUGUACCAUACACAAUCAAUAAGAACCACACAAUUAUGUAGGUCCCACAAUUUAUGUGGUUCUUAUUGAUUGUGUAUAGUACAUUCAAUGUAACAUAGAGGCUCCCUAUAUAUAUAUAUAUAGUAUAGAGGUAGAUGGCCAGCUAUUUGAUUAACACGUAACUUAAACAUGAAGAUAUUUUUCCAAUAAAAGAAUUGAAAUGAUGGUGACUUGUUAGAGACGGUGGCACCGCAAACAUUGUAAUUGUAAGUAUGCUUAUAAAAGUUGAUAAGGACAAAAGGUCAAUAGCUGAAGUAAAGUCAAUCCUACAUGUCAUAUACCUUUUUUUUUUUCCCCAAGAUCAAUUGUGUCAUUCACUUUCGUAUUGAAACGAUAUGGAGAAAACGAAAAACACUUUUGGAAUUUUAUAAAAAGUUUAAAAUUAAACAGCCCCAUUUCUUAAUAGAAUUCCUUUAUAAGGUAACUUAUUAUAUGAAUGCUCAUCUUAGGAAAAAAUAAAUAAUAAAAAGAUUCCUAAGCUUGGCAACUGAAAUGCAUAUAUAUUACAACGCAAGGAUAUUAAUUAAUAUUUAGAUUUUUUUUUCAUGUAGGUCUUAUUUGAAAUGGAAGUACGGUAACUUUUAACAUGCAGCUGUUGUGAAAAAAAAAUAUAAUUAUGAAAUAUAAAUUAAUAAUAUAUAGUAAAUAUAAAUUUUAAAUAAUAAUUUUGACAAAAUUAUUAAAAUAUAAUAAAUUAUAAAAAUUUAAUGGGGGUAAAAUGAAAAAUCUAGGAAAUGAGAGAUUGAUUCCUAAGGGGGCCUUGGGAAUCAAUCUCCCAUUUUCCAUUCCCAAAUUUGGGUGGGGCUCACGAUUUCGAUUUCGAUUUCCGCCUCCAUUUUGCGAAGUUAAAGCUGUCAAUGAUUCCGAUUUCGAAUUCCAAUUUCCUAAUAUGUGAAGUAAGCAUAAUUUUAAGUGUUGUAGUUUUUAAAUUACCGUUACCCAACUUCAAUUUUAAACGGAUCCUUAAUUACCACAACUUAUUGUAACAUGAAUUAACUAUUAAAAUGGGGAGCAAGGACACUCGUGCACCUGCAUGUCUUGUCUUUUUUCGUUUUGAAUUAAAUUUACUUCAUUAUUUGGAUUUCGAAUAUUUCAUCUCAAACACUGGCAAAACUUCAAUGUUGCAGUAGCAUUGUUUCGUUUGUUCAAUUUCUUAUAUUUGGACUUACAUUUUCUUAAUUAUGUAUUUGUUUUUUUUAACUAACAUAUAACAUAAAACUCAAGAAAAUAUUUUUAAAAUUUUGAACGGCUAAUAUAAUUCAUUAGUUCACCAACCGCACAGGGAUCCAAUCACCUCGAACAUACCAUCAAAAAUUGUGGAAUUAGAUAUUUUUAUAAAAGAAAAAGACCUAGUGAACUGAUUUUUUCUUUUUUUUUUGGCUGAUCGAGAAGUAUAUCAAUGGUCAUAAUUUAUUUUUCAUUUUUCAUUUUAUUCUACUAUAAAAUAAUGAAAGGAUUAGAUAUUAAAAAUGUUUAAUACGAAGAUUAGGGCUAAUCAUCGAACGAAGGAGCAGUUAUAUGACAAAAAAUUAAAGUUAAUUCCAAUUUUGAUGUAUUAACUCUAAUCUUGAUAUUUAUUAGUCAUGUUUCGAACUCAAAAUUUUAUUUUUAAGAUAUUGAAAUAUUUGAACCGUUGAAAUUAUUUAUCCCACGAUAGAUUAAGAUUCUCUCUUAAUGAAAUUCUUUUCUAAUCUUUAAAUUUAGUGAACAACUAACUUAAUUGUAAAUAAAAUGAAAAAAAAUUAAUUUGAUUAUCAAUAUUAAAAUUAAAAAUUCAACCUCCACCACUUAUUUUACUGUGAGAGAUUGGGAACAAAAAAACGUUAAGGAGAGGAUCCUUGUCCAGAUGUCCUCCCAGAACAACUUGUUCCAUUCAAAGCAAUUAAACCACAGGUGCAAAAAUUAAAAGUGACUCAUCAAGAUCUAAUUGAUAAAUCAUGCACUAAAAUCAAACCCUGUUUUCAGCUCGUGAUAGUAAUCAGCAAAUUAAAGAUCAAUCAUAGUACUGCUCUUGUUGUUGAAUGUGGUGUGGCAUGUAGUUAUUCUUUCUCGUCUUCUUUUGAUCAUAGCCAAUCAUCCCUCUAGCUUCAGCCUGCACAUCCCUCACAUCUCUAAGAUACAGCCUCACAGCACGAGCAGAAAACGGGUUAAUCUCCGGCUGCCCGCCGUUCUCUUCAUAGGCUGCCCGGAGCCUCCCCACGAGAGCAUCAAGGCUGCCCCAGGCCUGCAUCAUCGGGCACCGGCACGGAGCAGGGGCGUGGGCGUGGCCAAAAAGAGGACAAGACUGAGCAUGCACCUUGGUCUUGCCAAACUGAUCGAGGUACUUCAGGAAUUCAAGAACGUGGGCUCCACUGCAGCGGGACAGAGCCAGCGGCGGACGAUGCUGGCUCAGGUACUGCAUGAACGUGUCCCAGUCUCUUCUUUUUUGAGCUUCAUAUCGACCAAAUGAUACCACCGGUGACUGUAUUGAAGCCUGUGGUGAUGAAAAGAGCAUUGAAUGGUGGGUCCUCGCAGCAGUGGUAGUUGUACGAGAAGUAGUAGUGCCGCUGCUCUUGGAAGAGCAGCAUGCGGCGGCUGCGGCGGCGGAAACGGCGGCUGACAUGAGAGAUUGAAAUGGGAAAGAAACAAUUUUAAUAUGCGAAAGAUUUGGGGCAGGGAAGGGGAUUAGUGCGGUGAGGUAUAUAAAGCUAGGAAAAAAGAUUGAACGGGGAAUUGGAGGAGACAAGAGGUGGCCCAUGCAAAGGAAAAAUACACGUCCAGGGAAAGUGAUGACUGAUGACAGCUUGAAUAUGUAUCACUUAUCAAAAAUGUUAUCAUCUUUGCUUUCUUGGCCAGCUUUUAUUUAUUUUAACCUAUCAUAAAUUAAAAUAUUGCAUGUCUUUUCUUCUUCUUCUUCUUCUUCUUUUUUUUUCUUUUAAUUUCAAUCUUUUAAUUUUGUUUGGCACUAGCUUAAGUGGCGGUGGACCGGUGGUUGAUGCUUAUUCUAGGGUUUAUAGACGAUAUAUUUUUGAUAUAUCAUCACUUCCCACUGAUGCGAAUGCGAUGUCACAUGGUUAUUUGGCCUUCAUUGGUUGGAAAAUGUCAAUUCAAUUAUGCACGUACUUGGUUUUGUUUUGAUUGUCCGAACAAGAUCAUGUUACUUUGCGGUACAGCUUAUGAGAAUUAAUGUUUGUUGAUGUCAUCAUUCACGGACAGUCUUAACAUCAACAUUAAUCCAUCUAACCAAAGUAAAUUAAUAUUACAACGUGGCCAUGAUACCUGAACAAAUUAAUUAUUUUGAAACCAGCAUGGCUCCUGUUUAUGUCCAUUCCUUAGUAAUGAUAACUGAUAUGUAUGUAGUACAGCUAGCAGUUUUUUUUUUUAAUACUGAUUAAUCAUCAUAUUACUGCAUUAUAUAAAUAUUUACAACUGUUAUUAUAGCAGAUAUAUUACACUGAUAUUUACAAUCAAAAAUACAUGAUUGGGACUUAUAUUAUUACAUUGAAUUCUGUGAAGUACAUGCCCAGACAAAUAAUCCCUUACAGAAGAGGGAUGUCCAUACUCCACUCGUAUUGCACGAGGGAGAGGAAAUUUUUGAAAUAUUAAACAAAUAAGCACGUUAGCCCCCACAAAUACUUUUGUGGGGGCUUGAACUGCUGCCCUCACAAUGCUUGUGAGGGCAGCAGCCCAUCACUCCGACCAAAGCCGAAGUGGCGUACAGCUAGCAGUUAAACAAGAUAACAAGGUCGU